rnacentral:lncRNA from 1 species
GUCCUCUACCUACAUGCAUAAUUUGGUUUUAUGCAUGCAUGAAGGUAUCUUUCUGGUUAGGCAGGUUGUUCACCUGGAUGCUUCCUUUGUUUGCAGCUUCAGCAGUUGCUCUUUUCUACAACAAGGUCUGGUUAUUGGGAUUUUGUGGAGUCUUGAUCUUUUUCAUCCUUUGUCGGUCAUAUUGAUGGUUACCUGUAGAGUUUUGAGGCAUUCCAGGCGCCAUGGCGGAAUGAUGUAAAUGCCUGAGUUUUGUUCUGACAGGAUUGGUAGAAGCCCGGGAUAAGUUUGCCAGUCCCCUCCCCCCCACCCCAACCUUUUUUCUUUUCUCCUUCACGGAAGCAACUUAUUUUUAAAUGAAAUGGAACGAGGUCGAAGCCAAGAAGGUGGCAGCCCGCUCAUCUCACCUCAGUGUUUGUGAUAUGUGAAGAUAACAAUUAGGAUGUUCUUUCCAAAGGGAAACAACUCCUAAUGUGAAGUGUUGCAAGUUGAGAAGUACAAAUAUAUCCCCGAUGUCAAAAAGAACCUUCAACUCCACUGACCUUUUAAGUGUAAUAUAUGCAGGUUCUUUUGGAGCGUCUGCAAUGUAGUAGUACAAAGCAAAAGAUGUCAUGCAGAAAUGGAAUAUAAACUAGUAUCAUAAAUUACUCAAGUAAAAGAUGAAUACUUGUAUAGAUGAAUUCAGCUUUAUCAUCUCUUUUUUUAAUUUUUAACUGGUAUUUGAGUUGCUUGAUGAAUAAGAUAACAAAGUCAUUAAGAUGCAGGUACAAGUGCAUUUCUCAGGUAGGGAAGAAAAUAAUAAUAAUAAUAACGAUCAUGCUGACAGUCAUGAACAAUUUGGAGAUCAUAUUAUAACUUUAUAAGAAAGUUAGCUGAACAAUCCAUUUCCUCAAAGUUGGACUGCUCCUACUUAGGCUUCAGAGUUAAGGGCUGAUUGGUUUUUUAACUCAAUGAUUUAAUUGCCGUAAUUUUAAUUAGUUAAGUCAUUAAAUUUAUUUAUUUUUUCAAUUUAAUGAAAAUUUCUGUUAAGUGGUUAAGUUAUUAAAUUAAUUUUUUUAGUUUUUUACUUAACCUAAAAGUUUGAAUGAUACAUUAAAAAAUAUUCUCUAAAAAUAUCUCUAUCUAAUUAGUUAAUUUUCAUCCUUAUUUAAAUAAAAUUUAAUAAUUAACAUUGUUACUCAUUUGUAUAACAUGUGAUAAUAUAGUGGUAAAUUAUUAUUAUUUUUAUCUUUUUUUUUCAAAUUAGAAUUAUUUGUCUUCAAAAUUUUUAUGCAUACAUUUCGUAUAAAAAUAUCAUGAACUACAAUAAAAAUUGAUUAACAUGUACUAAUUUAGAAUAUAUUGGAUCAUAUUUAAUUGAUAUAUAAUUUAUAUUAUGAUAAUAUAUUAUCUUAUUUAAAUUCUUUGAGAUAUUUGUUAUUUCACAUUUAUAAUUUGUAAGGACAUAAAUGGAAAAAUAUUAGUUUUCAGAUUUUUUUAAGUUAAAAAAACAACUUAAUAAUUAUUUUUAACAAUUCAGACUCAAAUAUAUAUAUCAUUUUGAUUCAGACAUUCAAUUCUACUUGAAUUUAGAGUAAUUCAGGUCUAUUAGAUUUCAGAUAAAAAAAUAAACACCACCUUAAUCACAAAAGAACCAACCAGUUCUCUCAAUAAUCAUAAGCUAAGAAGUUAGACAUUAUGCCCUUUGCUUAUUCAUUAUCAGAAUGUAUAAUACAAAAGGUUUACAUCUAAACUAGUAGAAGCAUUUUCAAUGCAAAAAUGAUCAGGAGAAAAGCCUUUCUCAUUCCCUGUGAGUUAGCACGGGUCUUAGAAAGAGUGCUCGGACAUAAAGUCAACUCUUCAAUUGAGCUGCCUAGGCUUUUCUUUUCCAGUUGAUGAGGUGGAAAAUCGGUGCUCUGUCAGAGAAAAUUCUGAAACCAUCAUCGGAGGUGAAUUCAUACUUCAAGGCAGGUCCAAGAAGCCAUGAAAUUGCAGCUCCACCAAGCAAGCCUCCUACCUGACAUUAAGCAAUGUGCAUACCACACAUGGAUAUGUGCAUAAACAAAUCAAUUGAUAUCAGCGACAUAUAAUAGCGACUUGCAUAAAGAAAAUCUGUAUGAUAAGCACAUGAGAAAAAACUAGGCCAGCAUAUAAUGGGGCUUUUUGUGCGUCAAAGUCGAUGGCUCUCCCAUGGAUACCUGUGAGGGUUUUGAUUUGGGAGAAUAAGUAUAAUUCUAGGGAAGUUUAGGUAAUUCCUAACAGUUGUAGAGGCACUCUUCUCCCUGGCAUAUCCUAGAGAAACAGGUGAAGUAGAAAUGUCAUUACAUGUAUAAGCCAUUUAUAUGUAAAACAUAAGUAAUUAGGUGUCAUUCAUUUUGUGGUUAUAACCUAGUCAAGUCAUUGACACAUCAUCCAAAUGUUGGUUAUAUAACUCAUCAGCGAUGAUAGACACACAACAGCUGUUUGUUGGCAACAUUUUGCAGUGCUAUUUGAUAAGGAGAUUUUUCAGAAUACUAUAAAUAACCCAUGAUUCAUAUCUCCAAUAUAUUCUAUGACAUUGUAAGCAAGACAAGACUCUCGCGGAACCUCCCUAUGAUUGCCUCAAUCCCACUGAAAUCAUAAUUUCUAACACCGAGAUAUACGCAGAAAAGAAACUUUAUAAAACAAUAGCAAAUGCGCAAUUGCCAAUGGAUGAAGCAGUCAAAAUCGGAAUCCGCCAGAAUAUUAAAGGCCUAGAUCUACAAAGAUUCAGUAACCAGUUCUAACUUUAUGCAGAAUAGCAAACACUUGUGCCACAUUGGCACAAUACGGUCAGAGCUGCAGUAUCACAACAACUGAACCAAGGCAGAAAGUUUUGGCCUUUGAGGAAAGGAAAAGCCAAUCCAAAUGCUUGUUAUCCUUAUUUUUAACAUAGAUACUGAAACUGAUUUUAAAAUAUAUGCAUUUUUAUAAAAAAAAAAAAAUUCCAUAUUUUUUUGGUUUUUCGGGGAAAAAAUAUCACAUACUCAGAGAGAAAACAAGAGAGGGUGGGACUUGUAUACUUACAUGUCCCCAGUUAUCAAUGCCUUUAAUCAGAAGUCCAAUAGCCUGCAUCACAUUUGCACAUUACCAUGUAGCUUAGACAUGCGCGCGCGCGCGCACACACACACAAAAAAAAAAAAAAAAUUCUAACAUAUCAGUUCAUUUGUUUGGAAGGAUCAAUAAAAUAACAUGUUUCCCCAGUCAAUGUAGGCCUGCUUUCUAUUUUGACAAUGUUUGCAAAGCUGCAGAACAUACCAUAUUAAAGAUAAUCACUUUUGCUAAAUGCUGUAGCUCUUCUUUGCUACCUCCAAGGAUGUUUCUAUGUCUCAUGAUAAAUACAGCAAAAGAUCCAACCUAUAUAAAAAAUAUAAACUAAGUACAUCAGAAAGGAAACAAUUACCUUGAAAAAAAUUCACGGUAAAAAAUUCAACCAACAUAAAUUCAAUCAGAAAGGAAACAACCUACGUAAAAAGUUCAAUCAGUGAACUCCACAAUAAAUUUGAGGCAUUAGAGUGUUGAUUCACUGGUCAAAAGAGCAUUAAGAUUGAAAUUGUAUGGCACUGAAACUUAAAAGAGCCACAAUUUAAAAUGGUGACAAGUUCAUUUAUAUAUUAUCGCCAAGGGUGAGAGUGAAGGGGGAAGGGAGGGGGGGGGGGGAGAGGGAAAUCAAACGUCAAAACUGCAUGUGAAAUUGUAAUAAAUAACAAUACAGGGGCACAUGAUCUAGCAUUAUUGAGAAAGGGAGAGCAAGAUUGCAUCAAGGGCUGUAAAUGUUUCCACUUUCCAGGUUCUUAAAGAAGAAAACUCAGAAAUAAUUAUAAGCUUGAAAACAUACAGCACUGAACCUGAUCGAGUUAUUGAUUAUUUGCCUUACGGUUGUAACUUGGGUACAUACUGCAACAGAAAGGAGAUUCAAUUUUUGCUGAAAAGGAGUUCAAAAUGACAUACCAAUCCAAAGAUUGCUCCUGAUGCACCAACAGCAGGGGAAUUACAGAAUCGAUAACUCAUAGCUGAACCUAAUUUCUUCAAAGAACUAAGUCAGAAUAAUAAUGGGUAAACAAUUUCAUCACUUGUGCAAGUGAGGUUAUGAGUUGUUACUUGCAAUUGCCGAGGAGAAGUACACUCCAAGAUAUCUCCUUGGACCACAGAUUUUCUCCAUAGUAGGACCGAUAGAGUUCAAAGAAUAACAAUUGACCUAUACAACGUAAUUUUUUUUCUUAUCAGACCAACAUGAAAAGGAUCAACAAUGAUGAGAAAUAAUUCAAGCCAAAAACUUCAGACCAGACCAUUAGGUGUACAAUAUUUGCAUGCAAGAAGGCGCUCGUGGCCAGCCUCCAGAACUGCCCUUUGUCAAUUAGACUAUUAAUCUGCAUACUUAAAAAGUUAAAAUAGGAAAUCAAGCAAAAAGGGGUAAUUCAAAAGGGGAAUAUUCAAAAGUCUACCAGAAUUAAUGUUUAAACUUUCUUCUGUAGUCUAAGCAUCUCACCUUGGCUCCCCACAAAAGAAGCUUGUCUUGUGUUGCAAAUUGUGCAAUAUAAACUCUAGAGAAGAAAAAGAAAUAGAAAGCUAUUACUCUGCUUAGCACUCUCUCAGAAAUUCGGAAAUGAAGACUGCGGCCUAAGCUAAAUAACUGAAAUCAGGUAAUGUAGAAAAAUUGUAAAGAAUUGGGGAAUUUGUUUAUGUAUCGUACUUAUUAUAUAGAUAAAUGAUAACUACAAUUUAUUUCAUACAAAUAUAAGUGAUACUCACAAGACAUUAACUGCAAGGAGGAUAUUCGUCCAUUGCCUUCCAAUAAAUAAAUUUCUCCUGGCGGUCUCCAAAUGUGAUGUACCCUCAUGUCCAGAGUUUUUCCUAGUACCUCCACCAUUGAAAAAAGAUAAUGAGGAUGCAAAUGCAUCAUUUGUGAACUGGAAAAAAUUGACUCCAUUAAACCGGAAGGCGUUUUCACACCAUUGAUCCUUCAAUCUGGGUAUAUGACAGAGACGAGAGAGUUUCUGCUCAACAAGAGACAUCAGAUGGCAGAGAGAAAUUUUGACACUCAAACACGUAACAGAUGUUGCAGUAGAAACAACUUAACCAUUCCACAUCAAUCAAGAAAUGACUAAGGAAUUUCAGCAUUAUACAGACAAAUUUGACCUUACAGAGCCAUGGGUUGCCAAACAUAAAUAUUCUAUGAAUUCCGUAGACAUACAACUAAAGAUAAAAAAGUCUAACAAAAUGAACCCACGUUUUCAAUCAGGAUUUAUACAUUCAAAACUAAAUGGAGCUACAAAGUCUAUGCAUUUGAUACUUUUUAUUACAUUUCAACCAAAGAUUAAAGGGUUCAGAUUCUCAUUUCUUAAAAAAUUAAAAAUUGGUGGAACAACAAAAUGGCAUUACAAUUCCAUUAAUUACAAACUCUGCACUGUCCUGAUAAUAUCACAUAUGAAAAACGGCAUGGUAUAUCUGUAACUGCUGUGCUUCUGAUUAAACUCGAAGCACAACAGCUAAACUGUUUGGCAAACAUCGCACUUCUACUUGGCAGAAUGCUGACAAAAACAAGAAUAAACCGGUUCCGGUUUACUUAAUUGCAAACACAAUAAAUUGGCACAAGCUUAUAGAUGUUUUUGUCAGCACUCUGUGAGCUCCGUAUCUCUUUAGCAUUUUUCACUAAUGAAUUAUUAACCACCCAACUACUUAUACAACCAGUGAUUUCACAUUCAAUCCAUGGCUCAUAAGUCAGUGGCUUUAUUGAAAUUUCCCAAUCAAGUCAAAUUUAUAAUUUUUUCCCCUUUUUAUCAAUUGAAUUGGACAGAGUAACAUAAUUACUUAAAAAUUCAGAGAGUGUUAACAUACCUACAUAACAAAUUUGCAUUGGCAGUGAAAAAACAGAAAAAUUGGUUAAAAGAAAGGGGUAAUUGAGAAAUUGUACCUUGACGGAGGAAUGGAGAAGGCGGCGGGCGUGGAGGGGCUGGUGGUGGAGAAGACGACGAGAGAGGCUGAGAGAGAGAGAAUGUUUGGCUGUUGUUGUUAUCAGAUUCAACGGCGGUCUGAUCAGCCAAUCGAACGGCUCACGAUGAUGAGGCAAAGCUCUGCCUGAUGCUGAUGAUUCCAUUUUGUUUCUCUCUUUCAAGUCUCAACAAACCUUCGUUUCAAAGUAACAAAACUAACAAGAAGGCAAUGGUUUUUAUUUAUUUUUUUUUUAAGAACGCCUUUCCACAUUCGGCCUUUUUAACCUUUUUAAUAAUAAUAAUACUAAUUUUUUUUUUGAGAUUUUCGACAUUUGUGUACGAACAUAUCCAAAUUUCAUUAAAUUAAAUAAAACUCUCUUAUUUUAAAAAAAAGAUUAAAUAAUUUUUUUAAAUUUUUUCUGUGAAACAGAGCCUCGUCACCGUAGAUAAAGGAUAUAAUUAUCCUAAAAAAUAGUCUACGCCAUUAAUUUUAAAAAUAAAAAGUUUAUGUGACCAUUUUCGCUAAAUUGCUCUCUAUGAUCGUUUCAUUAAGGAUUUAAAUUCAGUCUUAAGCUGACUUUUUUUCUAAGUUUUUAAAAGUAUAAAAUUGACAGUUAUUAAAUAAGAAUAUAAAAUUAAUUAAAUCUUAACCGUACAUUGUUAUACAUGCAUGAGCUAAUUUAGUACUCAACUUUUUAUAAUCUUCUACCACAUGUGCAUAUAUAAUCUUUCGGCAAAUUGUCUAAUUCUCAAAUCUAAAUAUUGAAUAACUUAGAAAUAAAAAUUUAGAUAAGAAAAAUAUAUCCGCUAAUAACUCAUUAGUUGAGUUGAUUGAUAUUUUUCCUUUAUUGUUAAGAAAAUUCAAAUAUCUCAUAGUCGUGUGGGUAAAAUGGAGACAAGUUAAAUAAAUAAAUAAAAAAGAGAAAAAAGAGGAACAAAUCAUAUAACCAUAUGUAUUGAGGCGGGAAUGAAAGAAACAACAUUAGCAAGUAUCAAACCAAACAAAUAAGUAAACAAAUUAACAAAACAAAGCCUCUGGUUGGAAUUGGGAUUCUGGAAUCUGCAACAUGAAACAAUGUCAUACUCGUACGUAUAUCAUGGAUAUAACAAAAUAAAUAUGAAAAAAAAAACCAGAUUUAUGAAAAAAAAAAUCAUUAAUUGCAGUUAUGCCAUCUCUUCUAUAUUCAACCCAACGACUGAAAGGUGCAAAAAGUAUAAUUAAUUUGAUUAAUAACAUAAAUAUGUAACUAUGAUAAUUUUAUUAAAAAUGAAAUAGAAAUUAAUUUGUAAGGUAUUCAUAAUAUUCUUAGGGGUGCUAUUGCUAUCUUUAAAUCAAUGUAUGAAUUAUGUACAUACCUGCCUAGCUAAUAAGAAACAACAUAAAGCUAGCAAUGCUCGCACCACUUCCAAUUAACUUGACCAUGAUCAUUGACAUAGUAAUUAAAUAGCUAAAGAAUGAGCCAAGAGUGCCACCAAGGUCUAGAAGCUGCAAAAUAAAUAAAUAAAUUACAUACAAAGUCAGCUUGUAAUGCUACAACAAAAUAAUCAAAAUAUUUGUCAUUACAAAUAGAAGGGCUAUCAUCUAUUUGAUAUAAUGAAUAUAGUAACUAUUACUACCAUAGUUUAAUUUUAUUAUUAGUGUCACAUGAUACGACAUUCAUAAAUAAUGCUUAAUAUAAUAUAAUAAGUUUUAUUUAUAAUUAUGAAAAAAAGGAUUUGGAUUAAAUUAAGGUAAUGAUAUAAUUUUAUAAUCAUAUUGCGAUCACAUACUAUAUUAAAAAAAAUAAGGAGAUUGUUAAUUUUCUUUCUUCUGAAAUUAAUAUAUACCAUUUAUUCUCCUAUUAUUUUCAUAAUAGCCAAUAACCAUAUGAUAUUAUUUUACAUUAUUACCCUUAUUUUUAAAUAUAUUUUAUUUAUAUUUAUCAUAAAUUAAAUAAAUCAUUUAAAUGAAAAUUGAAAUAAAAAAUUAUAUAUAUAUAUAUAUAUAUAUAUAUAUAUAUAUAUAUAUAUAUAUAUAUUCAUGUGAUGACCAGAAGCUACCGCUAUGAGAAGCAUUAUUAUUACCAUUAUUAAUCCUGCUAUCGAUAGAAUCAAAAUGCCUCCGUGCCCAUUCUGAUAUUGCACGAAAUGGCCUUAAUCCCAUCAAAUGAUUCCACCACAACUCAAUAUUAUUCGCCAGUUCUUCUUCAAACCUGUAAGUAUUAUUAUUAAUAUAAUAGCGAUUAUUAACAUAAUUAUUAUUCUCACCGUCUCCAUCAUCUCGCAGCUCAUGAUGAUGAUGAUGAUCAUUCAUAAUGUUUCCACCACCAGAACCAAUAAUAGAAUCUUUCAACUCGUAACGACAAACGGGGCACGUAGUGCUGUAAUGUCUCAGCCAUGGGACAAUGCAAUCAGAAUGAUACAAAUGCUUGCAUGGCAACUCCAUGAUCAUCACUUCAUCACUAUCAUCAUCAACAUCAUCCCGAACCCUAAACUCUUCUUUGCAGAUUGGACAGCAUUGCACCUCGUUGUUCCUCAUCAACUGGGUACUCUCGGAUAUUCUCACUCUUUUCAAUGCUUCAACGGCUGAAACCGGUGCCGGUGUGGGCCCCGCAUCCGGCUGAAGAUCGUGCAUUGGAUAUUCAAUCAUGGCUUGUGGUGGCGGCGGUGGUGGCGGAUCAAAAUGGAGGGAAAUCCAAGAAUGAAGGUUGUGUCCGUCGUUAUUUGGUGUGUCGAGAGCUUGAGCCAAUGAGUCGAGAAAGCGACCAGAGGGCGUCGGGAAAGACUCGACAGCUGUGGGAGAGGAGGAAACAAGCCUAGGCCUUGAGACGUCAAGCUCGAGAUAAAGUUGUGCGGAGCAAUGAGGGCAGAAGAGUUCAGACGGGUCUGUGGAUCGGAACCUCGUGGUACGCUGGCAGCUUUGGCACCAGAAGUAAUGAAAAGUUCUCGUUCUUUGAGUUCCAUUGACGAUAACUCGCGGACGAUUUUGAGCCAAAGACAUGGAUGGUUGGUUGGUUGAUUCUUUAGCUUCAAGUGAUUGAAAUGGGAUUUGUGUUUUUGUUUGACAUGAUGAGGAAAUGGAUACGGGUAUUAUAUAUAUAUAUGUGUGCGCGUUGUUGUGUGCGGUUUGUGGAUGGAGAGGGAGAAAAGGAUAGCUUUUAGAGCUACAGGAAGUGAUUCCUUGUUUUGUUUGCAAGUUUUGUUUUGGGUUAAUUUGCAGCUAGCUGCAGGCUUUGUUUUCUUUGCUUUGUUAAAGCAAAGGAUGAUUGCAAAAUGCUGCACACGUUUACUUAUUACUAUUUUUAUAUACUAUUUUGAUGGUUUAGUCUAACCACAAUCUAAUUUCGAAUUAACCUCAAACCUCUUGCUUUCAACAAAAGAGAUUUUAUCACCUCAAUUAGGUGGUACGCACUCAUACAUUUGAGUUACAUGUUGGGAAAAAUCAUAGCUAGGUUUGGUAAAUCAUAGUUAGGUUUGGUAACCUCAAACCUCUUGUUUUGGGAGGUUUAAAAGUAAUUUUGAAAAGUUAAAAGUUAAUUCUAGCAUUUGGUAAAUAUUUUUGGAAAUCAUUUUUGACAACAUCACUUUAUCCUACCUAGAUUUUGAAAAAUAAAGAAGAAGUAGUUUUUUAAAAUUUGAUUUUAAGAAUCACUUUUAUACUCAAUACAAUUCCAUAUAUAUAUCCCCAUGAGUAAUGAUACAGUCACAAACUCUUGUACAAACUUAUUUUGUACAAACUGAUGUGGCAUGAUAAGAUUGGUUGAAUUAAAUAUUACUUGGCCCACAUGAUUUGUUUUUAUUAAUUUAUAUUUUCAUUCAACCAAUGAAUUAAUGCCACGUCAGUUUGUACAAAAAUAAAUUUGUACAAGAGUUUGUGGCUGUAUCAUUACUCAUAUCCCCAUAUAUAUUAUAAAAAUUUAAAAUUAUCCUUAAUAAUUAGUAAAUAAAAUCGUUAACUUUAAAAAAAUUAUUAUGAUUACAAUUAUAUGAAGAUAGGAAAAAUAAAAAAUAAUUUUUUAACUAUCCAUUAUAUGUACACACUUGAAAAAUUAUAUAUAUAUAUAUGUUUAAAUAAAUUUUAUUAAUAUUAUGUCCAAUUCAUUUAUUUAUAGUUUUACAACAGUUAAUAAUAAGAUUUACCAAACACAUACAAUUACUUUUAAAAUUUACAACACUUUUAAAAAUAAAAUUUAUCAAAUAUUUUACUGAUUUUCUUCAUAGUUGAUUAAUUAUAUAGCACAACUAACAAUAAUUAUUUUAAAAGCUACAAUAUUACUAAAUUGACCCUUAGUGUUUGUACUAAAUAUGAUGAAACAUAGUGGUAGAUCCGGAAAAAUGAUUUACUAAAGGCUAAAUUAUGUAACAACAAGAUGUAAAAACUAAAAUUUCAUGGUUUAAUGAGUUUAUAAAUGUUAUUUUAAAAGGUUUAAAACCUGCCUUAAAAUUCAAGUAAUGCCACUCUAUUCUCAAAUCAAAUAAAUCAAUUACAACUUACAUAAAGUUUAUUCUCUUUUACUAGAAAAUAAAUUAAAUUUCUGCAUAAACUUAUAUUACCUUCUAUUUUCAGUUUUAACAAAAAAUAAUAACAAUAAUAACAAAUAAAUAAAUAUUCAUUUUUGCUCAUUGAUUCGUGGUCAUGUAUUUCGGAUUGAAAUAUUGUUAGGUAUAAAAUUUGUUAAAGUUUUACCACCCAUGUAAAAUUCAUUUCUUGUUAGCAUACCUGAAAUGUUAGGUAUUUGCUGACUAUGUCUUAACAGAUUAUCCCUUUAGUUUCUGAGUUUGUUUUGAAUAAAUCCUGGUUUGUAGGGUGAAGAUUUGUUUUUGAAUUGUUCUUCCUUAAUCUUAGCACUUUAGAUCAUUCUUGUUUGUAAUGGCUAUAUAAAAGCCUCAGUUCAGUAUUUAAUAAACAAGCUUUUACAGCUACCAAAGUUUGUUGCUUUCUGCAUUCGAGUUCUAACUCAGUUAACAGUGGUAGAGCUUCACAAAGGGGCCAUAUUGUAAGAAAGUGUGAGUAAAACAUUGUGGGAAGAGUGAAAGAGAGAUGGCUGCCGAAGCUAGCAACUUUGCACAACCAAGCAUUCCCAAGUUUGAUGGAGAUUACGAUCACUGGAACAUGCUGAUGGAGAACCUUUUGAGAUCGAAAGAAUAUUGGAGCAUCAUCGAAACAUGUUACACUGAGCCUGCUGAAGGAGAGACAUUGACAGCUACACAAAGAAAAACCUUGGAGGAUUUAAAGUUAAAAGACCUGAAGGCAAAAAAUUAUCUCUUCUCGGCAAUUGACAAGCCAAUUCUGAAGAGCAUCAUUCAGAAGAGCACAUCCAAGCAGUUGUGGGAUUCAAUGAAGAGAUAUCAAGGCAACAUCAGAGUGCAGCGUGCUCAACUUCAAACCCUUCGCAGAGAAUUUGAGAUUCUGGAGAUGAAGAUAGGUGAGUCUGUCACUGAUUAUUUUUCAAGGGUGAUGCUGGUAACCAAUGACAUGAGGAAUAAUGGAGAAGAUAUGCCGGACGUGAAAAUCAUUGAGAAGAUCUUGCGUACUCUCACUUAAAGAUUCAACUACAUUGUAUGUUCCGUUAAGGAAUCAAAAGAUAUUGAUCAGCUCUCUGUGGAUGAGCUGCAGAGCUCACUACUUGUUCAUGAGCAGAAGUUUCAGAAAAAUGGUGGCGAUGAGCAAGCUUUGAAGGUCACAAGUGGUGAGUGGCUUGGUGCAAGUGAGGAAGACAAGUUUGGAGGAAGAGGCAGAGGUCGUGGAAAUCUCAGAGGAAGAGGGAGAAGAAGAGGUCGAGGAAGACAACCUGUUGACAGAGCCACCGUUGAAUGUUUUCACUGUCAUAAGUUAGGACAUUUUAGAUAUGAAUGUCCCAGCUGGGACAAAAAUAUCAACUAUGCUGAGUUGGAUGAAGAUGAAGAAAUGCUACUCAUGUCCCAUGUCGAGAUGCAUAAUUCCAAAAGAAAGGAGGUGUGGUUUCUAGACUCCAGCUGUAGUAAUCACAUGAGACAUGAGUGGAGAUAAGAGGUAGUUUAUUGAGCUCGAUGAGUCAUUCAGGCAAAUAGUAAAACUCGGUAACAAUUAAAAAAUAGCUAUCAUGGGAAAGGGAAACAUCAAGAUACAAGUUCUUGGAAAAACUCAGGUGAUCAUUGAGGUAUAUUGCAUUCGCAAGCUAAAGAGUAAUUUGAUUAGUAUUGGACAACUUCAAGAAAAAGAUUUGGCCAUUGUGAUUCAAUAUGGUGUAUGCAAGAUUUAUCACCCAAUGAGAUGGUUAAUUAUGCAAACAAACAUGUCAGCAAAUAGGAUGUAUAUGUUGUGUGCUACUGCACCUACUCAUGCUCCAGGACAAGCUUGUUUUCAAAUGGCAUCCGAGACACAACAACUCAUCUGUGGCAUCGAAGGUUUGGACACUUGAACAUGAAAGGCUUGAGAACUUUGGCAUAUAAAAAACUGGUGAAUGGUUUGCCGAUUCUUAAAUUUUCUGCCAAAUUAUGCACUGAUUGUGUUGUUGGCAAGCAACACCGUGACCCUUUUCCCAAGAAAAGUUUAUGGAGAGCUUAUCAACCAUUGCAGCCUGUGCACUCUGACAUUUAUGGUCCUAUCACUCCUGAAUCAAAUAGUUACAAGAGGUAUAUACUCACUUUUAUAGAUGAUUAUAAUCGUAAGAUGUGGACUUAUUUCUUGCAUGCUAAGUUAAAGGCAUUUGCUAUGUUUAAGAAUUUUAAAAGCAUGGUAGAAAAAGAGAAAGGGAAUUAUAUUUCUUGCUUACGUAUUGACCGAGGUGGGGAGUUCACCUCAUUGGAGUUUAAUAAAUAUUGCAGUUCAAAUGGGAUCGCCAGACAACUCACCGCAGCUUUCUCCCCACAACAAAACGGGGUUGCAGAGAGAAAGAACCGAACCUUAUUGAAUAUGGUGCGGUGCAUGUUGACUAACAGAGGAGUUCCUAAGCAAUUCUGGCUAGAAGCUGUGAAUUGGGCAGUGCAUAUUCUCAACCGAUGUCCUACCUCAGCGGUGAAAGACCAAACACCUGAAGAAGCAUGGAGUGGACUCAAGUCUUAUGUGGAGUAUUUUAAAGUGUUUGGUUGUAUCAGACAUGUUCACAUACCAGACAUCAAGAGGAAGAAACUUGACAAUAAGAGCUUUAAGUGUGUGUUUUUAGGGGUGAGUGAAGAAUCGAAAGCCUUUUGAAGAAGAAGAAAAGUGGAGUUGGGAGAAAAUAACUGAAAUAACUCGCUGUGAUAAUCUUGAAUGGGGAGAUGAAAAAGAAUGUGAGAAAGAAAGUGUCAUUGGAGAAGAAGGACAACUUAAGCAAGGUGAAGCUGGUGGCUCGGGUUCUUUUACUCCAACAGAUGUAAAUAAUUCGGUUCAAGGGAGGAUUAGAAGAAAACCAGUAUAGAUGGAGGAUUAUGUAAGCGGUGAGGGUCUGUUCGAAGAAGAAGAAAUGCAGCAGCUAGCUAUGCUCACCUCAUUAAGUGAUCCAGUAAGUUUCGAAGAAGCUGUUAAAAGUUCUACUUGGAGAGAUGCCAUGGAUCUGGAAAUUCAAGCUAUCGAAAGAAAUGGUACCUGGGAGUUGACAUAAUUGCCAAGAGGAGCCAAGAAAAUAGGUGUAAAGUAGGUUUUCAAAACUAAACUGAAUGAGAAGGGAGAAGUGGACAAAUGCAAAGCUCGGCUUGUAGCAAAAGGAUAGACACAACAAGCUGACAUUGAUUAUACUAAGGUAUUUGCUCAUGUUGCUCGUUGGGAUAUUAUUAGAUUAAUUCUUGCACUAGCUGUUAGCAGAGAUUGGGAGGUGUUUCAGCUUGAUGUUAAGAGUGCUUUCCUGCACGGUUAAAUCACUAAAGAAGUUUUCAUUAAGUAGCCACGAGGUUAUGAAGUGAAGGGUGUUGAGAACAAAGUCUAUCGGAUGAAGAAGGCAUUGUAUGGGCUCAAACAAGCCCCACGAGCAUGGUUAAGUAAAAUUGAGUCCUAUUUUAUCAAAGAAUGGUUCGAAAGGUGUUCAAGUGAGCACACUUUGUUAAAAAAGAAUGGUGGGGAUGGAAAAAUCCUUAUAGUCAGUGUAUGUUGAUGAUAUGAUUUUUACUUGGAAUGAUGGGAAGAUGUUUGAGGAGUUCAAGAGGUCAAUGAAGCAAGAGUUUGAAAUGUCUGAUCAUGGAAGAAUGAAAUAUUUCCUCGAAAUAGAGGCGGUGCAGGGUUUAGCUGGAAUUUUCAUAAGCCAAAGAAAGUAUGUUAAUGAGGUACUUGAAAGGUUCAGAAUGAAGCAUUGUAAUCCUGUGAAAAAACCUAUUAUGCCUGCAUGUAGACGUGUGAAAGAUGAAGGAGGUACGAAGGUUGAUUGCACCACUUACAAGCAAAUGGUGGGCAAUCUCAUGUAUUUGACUGUCACCAGACCUGAUCUUAUGUAUGUAAUAAGCUUAAUAAGUCGUUUCAUAGAGGCACCAACUGAGUUGCAUCAACAGGCUGUGAAGAGAAUUUUUCGGUACUUGAAAGGAACAAUAGAGAUAGGAAUAUUAUACAAGAAAGGAGGUUUGGAAAAUUUGGUUGCUUUCUCUGACAGUGAUUAUGCCGGGGAUCUUGAGGAUCGAAAAUCCACUUCAAGUUAUGUCUUUAAAUUGAGUUCUGGAGUUGGGGCGUGGAGUUCCAAGAAACAGCCAGUUAUGACACUCUCUACAACAGAGGCAGAGUUUAUAGCUGCUGCUUCAUGUGCCUGUCAAAGUAUUUGGAUGCAGAGGAUUCUAGGGAAACUUGGUCUCAAUCAAAGUAAAUGCACUAUUUUCUGUGAUAAUAGUUCUGCUAUUAAGCUUUCGAAGAAUCCUGUAAUGCAUGGUAGGAGUAAGCAUAUUGAUAUUCGAUUCCAUUUUCUUCGAGAAUUAACUAGAGAUGAUGUAGUUGAUUUGGUGCAUUGUGGCUCUAAAGACCAAUUAGCUGAAUAUUAUGACAAAACCAUUGAAGUUGGAUUUGUUCUUGAAGAUGAGAGGACAUCUUGGAGUAUGCAUCGUUCAAGAGGUAAACUGACUGCAAAUUUUGCAGUUCAAUUUAAAGGAGUAUUUGUUAGGUAUUUACUGACUAAGUCUUAACAGAUUAUCCCUUUAGUUUCUGCGUUUGUUUUGAAAAAAUCAUGGUUUGUAGGGUGAAGAUUUGUUUUUGAAUUGUUCUUCCUUAAUCUUAGCACUUUGGAUCAUUCCUGUUUGUAAUGGCUGUAUAAAAGCCGCAGUUCAAUAUUCAAUAAACAAGCUUUUACAACUACCAAAGUUUGUUGCACUCUGUAUUCGAGUUCUAACUCAGUUAAUAUGAAAUACUAUAAGAACAUUUUUAGUUGUUGGUAUGUAGAUUUGUAAUCUUGAUUUUUAUUUGUACUGCUCUUUUGCUUUUCCUUCUUCUGCUGCUAUAACACCUCCCAAUUGAGAUAUUAAAUAAUAACUUUAAAUAUUGGAGGAAACUAAUUGAUAUAGAAAUUUAUGCAUGUGAUGAUGAGCUAUAUAUAAAUUUGAUAUUUGCUUUUCCUCCUAAUUUUAGUUAUAAAUUUUGCGAUCAACCCAAAACAUUUAGAAUAAAUAAGUUUCUUCUGUUUGAGUUCCUAACAUCCCUUUAAAACUCUUAUUAAACCCAUUGUUAUACUUAAAUAUAUAUUUUUGUAAUAAAAAUUCUAGCAUUAGGUAAUUGAUUUCUUCAAUAUCUCAAAAUUCUUUUAAAUUUAUAAAAAAAUAAUUAUUUUUUUAAUAAAAAUUUUAGGAUUAGGUAUUUUAUUUCUUCAAUAUCUCAAAAUUCUUUUGAAUUUAUAAAAAAAAUAAUUAUUGUUUGGGAGGGAUACUGUUUGGGACAAAUGCGUCGAAGGGACCAGGAACGACGAGCAGACAUCUGAUGGCGGAGUUCUGCGAACCGGUGUUUUCCGUUAAAGCCUGGCGCGUGGAAGAACAGGAGCAGAAACAUCCUGCUCGUCCACGAUGUUGUCGUCCGCGAGGCCGAUUCCUAUAAAAGGCACGAGGCCAUUCCGGCUAGAGAUCGAGAGGCGAGGAGACCCGGUCGACGGCAGUUGGCAAGACGUGCUCUCCAGCACGAGAAUCUAGGCACAACAGCCACGCUUUCCCCAGAACCGCGACGUAACACGCAAGAUCUCACGGAGCCAGGACAGCCACACUUUCCCCAGAACCGUGGCGUAACACGCAAGGUCUCACAGAGCCGUGGCAGCCACGCUUCCCCUGAACCGUGGCGUAACACGCUAGAUCCCAUGUUUUGCCCAUAACGCAGCAGUUGGAGUCCCAUACCGUCUCGAAAAGAGCGGAAGACUGAGAUUCAGAGGAAGCCUAUAAAAAGGUAGCCAACGAAGGUAAAAGGGUUGGCAUUCUUGAGAAAAGGGGAGAAAACCACAAGAAACGCCAUAAGACCUGUGGCAAGCUUUUCCCGAACCUUCAUAUCUGACUUGAGCGUCGGAGGGUUUGCGCCGGGAAAACAACCGGCGUACUCUGACUUAUCUGUGUACGCAGGGACCUCCGGAGAAGAAGCCUGGCGAGGAGACCUCCUGGUAGUGACGAAGUUGAUCGAGCAGAGAUCCUGAUCGUAGAACGAGGAGAACCGGAAUCUCGCAUCAACAUAAGUUGUAGUUUGUAAUUUGUCCACAUACAUACAUACAUACGUACAUCCAUCCAUCCAUCGUUCAAACAAAAUUCUCAAGUAGAAGGCUUACCAGAUGCAAUUCCUUCUUCCAUGGCAGCCUUGGCAGCAUUGAGAGCAUGAGUAAGAAUACGCACUUUUUUAACUCACAUUUUGACUGUUAGAGCCUCCAACCUUAGGAAAGAGCAAACCUCCAUUUAUAGGUAGUUAAGAUGCCACGAAAAUAAACUUAACACAACUCAAUGAGCAGUUCCAAAGAACCGAACUUUUAAAACAGCAUAUCACCGAUCUUCAGCUGUAAUGCUUUUAGACGUCGAUCUCAACUGUAUCAGCAGUAAAAAGAAGAAAAAAAAAGUCAAUAAUGAAAUGAGAUUUACAAAAGAGUGGUCUCGACUCAAAAGACUGUACAGCUGGAAAAACGAACAUCCCAGGCAAAUGUAAUAACUAAUAAACACAAUCAAAGGCCUACGAACCUGCUGAAAAAUCAUGUGAGAAGCCACAAUACAAAUCUCUUUAGACUUCUUCAAUCUUUUCCACGGUAAGAGAGCAUUUAUCAAGGAAAAUGGUUUCAUUCUCUGAUGCUAUAACCUAUGUGAAAGAGGACAUUUAAUAUUUAUGUUAGAAUUCUAGACAUGCUUUUAGACCACAAAACAUAGGUCUAUCCCACUGUCUGGCAACAGCAAGCCAUUAGUAUCAUCAGCUGAGGCACUUUCCCCGCAAAUCCUAAAAGGUCAACGUAUUUUGAGCAAUCCUUUUCAGUGAUGACCUAAGGAAAGGAAAGGACAGAUUGCACAUCACAUCAUAAUGCAUGUUCAGGAGAUUAGUUUUUUCCAUCUGAUAUUAAGUAGAUCUUUCAUAAUAUCAUGUCCAGGAGCUUUGAUGGCACAAAUCUUCAAACAAAGUUAGAAAAACUCCAAGAAUCAGUGGCGGAUAAAAAAGUUGAUUAAAAAUAGAACAAUAUCUUAAUGUUGCAUAAAACACAGAAUUUGUAGUUUCUUGACAGCUGAAAACUUUGAAGUAUUCCUGAUCCUUCUCGCACGGACUAGAUUACCUUGGCUCCAGUAGUUUGCUUAUUCAUUAUAAGAGUAUCCAGGACAUCAUUUUCAAAAUCUUCAGCAACAAAUCAGGAGUCUGAUGAAUACUGUUUGGGAGGGAUACUGUUUGGGACAAAUGCGUCGAAGGGACCAGGAAGGGACCAGGAAUGACGGGCAGACAUCUGAUGGCGGAGUUCUGCGAACCGGUGUUUUCCGUUAAAGCCUGGCGCGUGGAAGAACAGGAGCAGAAACAUCCUGCUCGUCCACGAUGUUGUCGUCCGCGAGGCCGAUUCCUAUAAAAGGCACGAGGCCAUUCCGGCUAGAGAUCGAGAGGCGAGGAGACCCGGUCGACGGCAGUUGGCAAGACGUGCUCUCCAGCACGAGAAUCUAGGCACAACAGCCACGCUUUCCCCAGAACCGCGACGUAACACGCAAGAUCUCACGGAGCCAGGACAGCCACACUUUCCCCAGAACCGUGGCGUAACACGCAAGGUCUCACAGAGCCGUGGCAGCCACGCUUCCCCUGAACCGUGGCGUAACACGCUAGAUCCCAUGUUUUGCCCAUAACGCAGCAGUUGGAGUCCCAUACCGUCUCGAAAAGAGCGGAAGACUGAGAUUCAGAGGAAGCCUAUAAAAAGGUAGCCAACGAAGGUAAAAGGGUUGGCAUUCUUGAGAAAAGGGGAGAAAACCACAAGAAACGCCAUAAGACCUGUGGCAAGCUUUUCCCGAACCUUCAUAUCUGACUUGAGCGUCGGAGGGUUUGCGCCGGGAAAACAACCGGCGUACUCUGACUUAUCUGUGUACGCAGGGACCUCCGGAGAAGAAGCCUGGCGAGGAGACCUCCUGGUAGUGACGAAGUUGAUCGAGCAGAGAUCCUGAUCGUAGAACGAGGAGAACCGGAAUCUCGCAUCAACAAUUAUAUUAUGAUUAGGAUUUAAAGAUGGGAUAGUUCAUAAUUUGCGGGUGUAAAACUUUUAAUUUAAUUAAUUUAAUAAUUAUCGUUUAAUGUAAUUUCCACUAAUAAUAGAAUUAUAAUAAAAAUAAAUGGAGUUUAAUAAAAAUUUUAAAUGGGUGUGGAAAGCGUUAUACUUUCUUAUAAGGAAUAGACGCGCAAGCCCAAUUUACAAAUUCAUGAUUAAAGUCCAACAUGGAGGACCAUUAAAGUCUGCACAUGAAUCAUAAGAAAGUAUAGAAUAACACAAUCAAACUCAACCAACUCAACAAAUGAGCUGUUAACUUCUGUAUGAUUAUUUUAGUUUUAACUUUUAUUUGAGCAAUUUUACGGAUGUUUUUUUUAUUCCUAUCUUAAAGACCCAUCUAGCUUUAGGGUCGAGUACAUUACAUUAUGCAUUUUAUCUAUAUUUUAUUAGAAUAUAAAUAUUAUUUAUAAAGGUCCCUCACACUUGUAUCAGGAUGACUUAAUACGUAGUGAACUAGUGAUACUCAUUAGAUGGUAAACACUUGAAUAAGUGAUAAAAUUCUAUGUCUCUUUAUGUAUAUUAUUAAAAUUUUGAGUUAAUCAGACAGUAUCACGUGAUAAUGUCACUCACCAUAAAAUGCGUAUCAUCGCCCACUAGAUCAUUACUUUUUGUAUAAAUAUAAUGAAUUUAUUUUUUUAUAACAUCAAAUAUAAAAAUGAAAUAAUCUUAUUUCUGAAUUAUUAUCUAUUAAAUUCAACUCUAUAUCUAAUAUAAUUUCAUCACCAUUUACAGUUUAUUUAAAAAGAAAAGUUUUGUCAAAAAAUUUAUAUUUUAUUAAGCAAGAAAAGUUUGUUAAAACUCGUUUAUUUCUAAGGAUUUGAAUUUCAAUAGUAAGCUAAACAAACUACUUGAAAAUGACAAUAGACAAAUGUAGUAGACAAAUGCUUUUGUUAUCGAUCAUAUUAUAUUUUUAAUUUUUAUUAUUUUAUUUAUUAAAAUAUCUAUUAGCUAAUUUUUUUUCUUCAAUAUUACAUUAGAGAAUCCAAAAUAAUAUAUUCAUUGGAACCUAAGUUCUAAUCCAAUGUCUAUUGAGAUUUGUUGGUACAAAAUUGAAGUUCAGCUAAAAAAUUCUAAUAUUAAAAAUAAUAAAUAAAUAAACUACCAUACACCCAUAAAGAAUAUAGAACUUUCCACAUCAAGAAUAAGAUGGGAAGAUGCUUAACAAUAAUUCAAGGGUAUCUUUAACAUCUUGUAUUUCUUAAAUUGUUUAAGAAAUUAAAUAAUUAUUAAUCUGCAACAAGUGACCAUCUGUAAUUUUAGAAACCACAGGGGCUGUAUUGUAAUUUUGCAGCAUAUUAAAAAAUAAGUAAUAAUAUAACUACUUGUAUAAAUUUAUAUUAUAUAAAUUAAUGUGACAUAAUAAAAUUGAUUGAAUUAAAUAUCUCUUAAUUCAUAUAAUUUAUUUUUAUUAUUUUAUAUUUUUAUUUAAUUAAUAAAUUAAUAUUAAUAUUAUAUUAAUUUAUAUAAAAAUUUACCACUGUAUCACCGAGCAAUCGUUAAGCAGUGAGCAUCGAUCGGCUACUGCUAGCGGACAGUAGUUUAAGCUCUUCGUGUCAGAGAAACGCCAACUCAGCGAGCCGGCCGAGUGAACACGUGAAACCGGACGAGUUAACUCAACGUCUCAAAAAACUACGCACACUAUCUGAUUACGUUUUUGUCGUUUAGUCGAGCUUAAACUGAUCCUUCAAAACCCUUUCAAUCUCUCUCUCUCAUUUUCUCUCUCUCUAAAAUCUCAGAGAGAGAAAGAAAACCAAAACAAAAAUUAAAAAAUAUAUAUAUAAAAUUUCCGGGAAAAUUACCAAAAUUUUCUCGGUAUCCAAACAUUCCAAUCAUGUCUCACAUCAUGUUCCAAACGACUCCCGUCCCCACAACCGCUGCCAAAGCCGUGUCAUCAGCAUCAUCAUCAUCGACUCUGGCGGCUCCUCGAUACAGUACGAGUUAUCCGGUGGGGGUUAGGGUGCGGAGAAAGAAUAUGCCGAUAACGUGUUCGGUGCCGUCGCCGUUAAUUGACGGCGGAGACCAUUCUGUGGUUUUGUUGGAGAGGUGCUACAAAGCGCCCAGUGCUCUACCGUCCGGUUCGACUGCCGAGUACGGUCCGCUUAUGAAAGGGGGUCAAUACGGUGCAUUUGGUGCUGUUACGUUGGAAAAAGGGAAACUUGACACGACGCAGCAGCAAUCUGAGACUACACCUGAGGUCUGUAACUGUUAUUUUUGCUGCUGUUGUUGUUGUUGUUGUUUUCAGUUUCAAAAUUCGUUAAAUUUUUUCUCUUUUUUUAAUUUAAUUUUUGCAAUUUCUUAGAGUUAGGUUUUUGGGUGAUUGAUUGCCAAGUACAAAUGUUCCGCGCCCCCCCCCCCCCCCCCCCCGGCGAAAAAAAAUUUCCUUAUUAAAAGUUUCCUGCUUUGAGAAAAAGGCGUGGUGAUAAACACUGUUGAUGUUGAAUGACGUUGGAAGCUGCAAAUUGAGGUCAUUUCCUAUGGAUUCAGUUGCUUUAGGGUUUAAGCUAUGCCUAAAAGGAUUACUAAUCCUGGGGCAAUUGUGUGGUAUGAUACGAAUCUGAGAGCAAUGACGGUUUUGUUUAAAGGUUCUAGGUUAUUUGGGCUAAUGCGAGAUGGGGGUGAGGGUAGAUUUUUGAAGUAUGGAUUUGAGUGUUUGAAGGUGUUUUAAUGUGAUUGUUUUAAUGUGAUUGUAUUCUUGUAAGUGGUUGCUCAAAAGCUGGGAAAAGGAAAAAUAGGUAGAAAUUGUUUGCUUGACUUGUGAUUUUCAUUCGUCCUUCCCCUUUUGUUUGCAUUGCUUUGACACAAGCUCUUAAGUUGUGUACUUGCAGAAAAGGUUUAAGAUGUAUUCUUCCAUGAAUUUGAGAAGUUAUUUUGAUAUUUAGUAGUUGUCAUUUUUUUAACACGACUUUAGGAUUUUUUUGAAGUUGAGUUUUGGUUAUUUAUUUAUUUAUUUUCCCUAAAAGUUAGCUAUUGGAAAAAGAAGUGGUUGUUUGUCUGUUAAUUGUAUAAGAGUUAUUAAAGGCUACUUUGGGCAUUUAAUUUUUAAUUUGAGGUUGAUAAAUUAGUUUUUAGAGGAGCUAAAAAAUCUGGUUUUAGAUAUAUGGAAAUGAGUUAACCAUGAUUAUAAAAAGCAUAUUUGGAUUAAAAUGAAACAACUAAGAAUUGAAAAUGUUCUUCUUGAUCCAAAAAAGUUGGGAUUUCAUCAAAUAAAUCUCUAUCUAAGCUACUUUGAGCCACUCAUUAAACUCAAUAAUGUAAUGAGCUCCACCUAUGGAGAAAGUGAAAUCAUGGAAUGUUACGAAAAGUUAGUUUGAUGCUGUAUUCAACACUCUUUAGAAUAUAACUAGUUUGAUGCUUUAUUCAAUACUCGUUAGAAUCUAACAUAGUUGUUCAGUUGGUUAGCUGCCUGCGGAAAACGCACUAGAUUUGAUUUUAAUGACAUCCCUGUGCUGGUCAUCAUUAUGUAGAUUAAGAGUAAAAUAAAGUAGUGAUAUAUGAAUGACAUCCCUCUGCUGGUCAUCAUUUAUGUAGAUUAAGAGUAAAAUAAUGUAUUAAUAUAUGAAUGAGCACUUAUAUAGCAUUUAAGUAGUUUUCACCUCAAAAGUGUUUGUGAAAGCAUGAGAUAAGUACUAUUUGUAAAAGCAUGGGAAAAUAAAAAAGACAAAAACGUAGAAUCACUCUACAGAAGAGAAAAUGGGCUUAAAUGGUUUUGAAUUUACCUCAUGAAGAGGUCAUCAUGACCAUCUGAAGCUCACAUAUUUCUCAUCUCAAAUAUACAUACCCUUUCUUUUUCUUCUCUCUUAAAUGUUCCCUGCCAUACUUUCAAAAUCUUAAAACUCUUGCAGUGUAACUUACCCCACAGUAUGACUCGAAGCAACCAAAUUUGCAAGUACUGGUCUGGAGACACCCCGUGUUAUGCAUUUAUCACGAGUUGUAAAUCUUAUCCCCCCAUAAUCACAUUGUCAUUGGUAGAAUGUUUUGAACGGGUUGCAGUUCAAGCACAGAAAGCUACCUUGAAAUGUGUUCGGUGCACUAGGUUUCCAUCAGUGAAAUAUCAAGUUCCUUGCUCUUGUACAAGCUAUUUUGUGUUUUAACUGCAAAUUUUCAUUACAAAUGAUCUGAAACCGAUUGUUCAGUCCCUAUCACUAGUUUAUGCCCCUGGUUAAAACUGCCAAGAUUAUAAAUUGCAGUGUUAAAGUUUUAAAAGAACUUACAUUUAGUUUUGUAACUUUAGGAUUUUUGGACAAAUGAUGACCAGUCCUUGUGCUGAGCCGCUUUCUUACUUGUCCUCUACAAUACAAUGCAGAUCAGGAAACAUGAACCUUAAUAAUAAACCUCAACAUUUUACAUUCCUGAAAAACAAUCUCAAUUGUGUUCCCUACACAAAAUAUUGUUACUGCAGAUACUAUUAAAAACUACUCUAAUUCUUUCUGUAAAUUUACUCCAUAUCAACUUGUUACUUCUUUAGUACAAGAACAAUCUGUUCUGCCUAUUAAACUUGCAAGUCAUUCCAAAUGGUGAUUCCUUUUACAAAAGUGUCCUCAAUAUCAUCCCUAAAAGGUGUUUAUAAGCAGUUAAUACACUUCAUUAUGAUUUGAUACCACACCGAUUGUGUCGUUCUUAGCUGUCUCAUAGAUAUUAUGAUUUGAGGUUUUAUUUGCCAAAAUAUUAUUAGUAGAGGCAUUGGUUUUCUUUGCCUGUGACCUUAUGUCAGUAGAAGAGAUUUGCUUUUUCAUUUGUCUUUCUAGGAUGGUGAAUAUUCAGUACAUGCAAUAAUUGGUUUAAAUCUAUGGAUUUGUUACUGCUGUUUUUCAGUCAUUGCUAUUAAUUAGUUAGUACAAUCAUCUCCCCCUUAAUGAUUCCGGUGGCUGUAUGUGGUAUACAAUGCUUUUAUUUUUGUUUAAAAUUCAUUUUAUGGAGAAGUUUGUUUAAUUGGUUUGUUGACUUAAUUGUUAAAAUUCUAUGUUUAUGGAAUCGUGAACCUUACGCAUUGUUGGACUUUUAUCAUUCAUUUGUGAGUGGUGUGCUGAUAAAUCGUUCAUUUGUGACUGGGGUGCUGAUAAAGGCCUGAAAGUGAGGUUCAAGGUUUUGCUUUUGCAUAACAUCCAAACGCAACAUUUCAUUUUCCUUUUUUUUUUUUUUGGCUUGCAUAAUAGCUAGAAAUUUUGGCAAGGAGGCUAAUUCAUUUUAAAAUUACAGCUUGCAACUGGUGGCGGUGGUGGAGAUAUUGGAAAGAAAAUCAACCAUGGUGGCGGUGAUGGAGGUGAUGAUGAUGGGGAUGAUGAUGACUACUUCGAUGAUUUUGAUGACGGCGAUGAGGGAGAUGAGGGCGGACUUUUCAGGAGGCGGAAAAUCCUUGAAGAGGUUGAAGCUUAUAAGCUCUGAAACAUACUUAUGGAUAUUUGUUGAUUAAAUUAAUAUUUGCUUCUGCUCAUAUUCUUUUGAUUUUGAAUUUCGAUGUAGUAACUAUUUCCAUACUUUCUGCCAGCUCUUUGAUCGAAAAUUUGUAGACGCUGUGUUGAAUGAAUGGAUGAAGACAAUGAUGGAUUUACCUGCUGGGUUCCGACAAGCUUAUGAAAUGGUACAUAGUUGCUCGUGUUAUUGCUUUUGUCUGUGAACUCGUAUGGCUAAAUACUCACUGAAAUAUUGUUUCUAGGGAUUAGUCAGCUCUGCUCAGAUGGUAAAAUUCCUUGCUAUUAAUGCCAGACCAACAACUACCAGGUUCAUUUCUCGUUCACUUCCUCAGGGAAUCUCGAGGGCAUUCAUUGGCAGGUAGUCUUUCUUGUUGUGCUCCUGGAAUUACUUUUAAUUUAUCAUUUAUGGGGUUUUGCUUUUUGAUUGCUUUGUGAUUUGUGUAUUUAUCGCUUUGUAGCUAAUUAAUCUUGGCUGUUUUGUAUCUGUGUUGGAUUUAGAAGUUUGGAGCUGAAAACUGUUAAAGCUUAGACUAGUAGAAGAAAUUUAUACAUUCAUUUAUCUUGGACAAAGUUUUUGGAAAAAAAAAAUUAUAAGUAUACACUUUCCAAUGGUUCAGUGAUGUUUGAUUGGUUUUAAGAUGUUGGAUCUCUCAUGAUGUAUCGACUGCUGUUGCCACAGGAUGCUCGCAGAUCCUGCUUUUUUGUAUAAACUUGUACUAGAGCAGGCUGCCACAAUUGGUUGCACUGUUUUGUGGGAGUUGGAGAAUCGUAAGGAGAGGUGUGUUUUUUCUUUCAUAACAAAGGAACUUUCCCCUUCCUUUUUAUUUUCAUUUUAUAUAUUAAGCUAAUAAAUAUUUGUUUCUGUCAUGACAGGAUAAAGCAAGAAUGGGAUCUUGCCCUAAUAAAUGUGCUCACAGUAACAGCAUGUAAUGCUUUUGUUGUUUGGUCGCUUGCUCCUUGUCGUUCUUAUGGAAACACCUUCCGGUUUGACUUGCAAAAUACAUUACAAAAGCUCCCAAACAAUAUAUUUGAACGGAGUUACCCAUUUCGAGAAUUUGACUUGCAAAAGAGAAUUCACUCCCUUUUUUACAAGGCUGCAGAGUUGUGUAUGGUGGGAUUAAGUGCUGGAGCAGUGCAAGGUUCUUUGUCAAACUAUCUUGCUGGUAAAAAGGACAGGUAAACAUGGUUGCAAAACUUCCUGUUCAUUCCUCGUUCACUUAUUCGUUAUAAAUAAAGAAAACUUAGAAGAUUGUUCUGUUUACUGUCUAAACCAGUUUAACAUUUGUUAAAUUUGGGCCACCUUUAAUGUCUGACAGGUUAUCUGUGACAAUCCCAUCUGUGAGUACUAGUGCGCUUGGUUAUGGUGCUUUCCUUGGACUAUAUGCAAACAUGAGAUAUCAGCUAUUGUGUGGAUUUGAUAGAGCGGUCAUCAACCAUUUUGAUGUUAUUGGAGUAGCACUGUUCUUAAGCACUGCUUUGAGGUAUCUCCCUCUCUCUCUUUUACGUAUUUGUUUAUUGAUCUUCAUCUCUAUAUACAUUGAUAGACUAUUCUGGUCGUACCAAAUUACCCUUGUUUUAAUGUUUUGUUUGUUAAACUUUGACUGGGGAAUCUGUUUAUUGGUCUGAUAUGAUGUUAGUGUGGUUUCUAUUGGAGUGUGUAGAUCUAUCACCGAGUAUUAUUUCAAUUUUUCUUUACUUAAUCAACUUGCAUCCUUCCCAAGUCCAGAUCCUUAACAAUAGUGAGACUUCGCUACGGAAGUACAAUUUCUCUAGUUUUACAGUUAAAUACGUAAGAAUGGUUUUAAAUUAACUGAACUCUGAGGUAGUUCUCUAAGGAAAUACAAGUGGUGAAUACGGUUCCAACUUUUAAGUGCCUUAAUUUACCCAUUUGUUCAGCCCUGUGCGUAAACAAUCAGUAAUUGUUGUCCAAAUUAUUCUUUACUGCCUAUAUGUGUUGGGACUUUGUCUAUUGUUCAACUUCUCAAAUGGAUUCUAUGCAGGGUUCUUAAUGUCCAAUUAGGAGAAAGAUCAAGGCUUGCUUGGCUAGGAGUGGAAGCGGAUCCGCUACUUCAGUCAGAUGACCUUUUGAAGAAGGCUUACAACAGGCCGUCUCAGGAUGUCAAUGGCUCAACUCAAAAGUCCCCAAGGUGGUUGAUAUCAAAGAAUGCCAUUGUCUCUGGGCUUGGGCUCCUUGGCAUCAAACAAGGGAAUGUCGACUCUGUUGAAGAGGAAGCAAGGGCUCCUAAAGUGCGAAGAAAGAGGAUAGUCCGGAAGAAGGUGACCGCAUAAAUUUCUUGGGAGUUAAUCCUAGUCAAUAGCCCAAUUUUGCUGCCUGUCGAAGAGAUACAACUCGGAAGUCCUCAUCAAACUCUUUGAGACAUCUAAGAACUAGUAGGGAGGUGUUUCCUGACAAGUAUAGUUCACUGCUGGAGGGAUUCUUUUCUUGAUGUCUAAAUACUAUAUGUGAUACAACGACGUAUAUUCCAAUUUUUCUCUAGUUAAAUUCUAGUAAGUUAGAAAAGUUAAUUUUGUUCUAGCGAUGAAUUGUUUUCUUAAUAAAAAUAAUGGCCUGUUGCUUUGGAAUCUUAUUUACUCUUUGUAACUCAGUUAAAUUGUGCAAAUUCUACUGCAGAUUUAUCAAACAGAGUGUCUUUGUGAUUGUUUUGAUACACUUUUGAUGGCAAGUUCAAGUUUGAAUCAUCUUGUAACGCCAAAAAACCAGAGCUUUUAAUUACGAGAUCAGCUUUUAGUAUUAGCGGUAAUUAUAGUAUAAACGUUGAUAUUAUAUAAUAAACAUGAUUGUCAAAACAAUAAUUUCGAUAAAAUUAUUAAAAAUAUUUUAGAUUUUUUAUAUUAGAAUAUGAGAUUAGAUCAAUUCAAGUAAUAUUGUAAGUGUUUACUAAAUACUCUUUAACGUUGUAUCUUAAAAAUUAUGCCCUACGAAACUCUUACCAAAUUUUAGUUAUACUUUCUAGUCCGAUUGUAGAAAUCCUUACUCGAUGUACUUCACCAUACAAGAUGUUAACUCAAUUUUACUUAAAUCUUACUCGUUAAUUUUAUGCCUAAAUUUUUGUCAACAAAUUGGUCCCAGUUCUAUGCUUCUUCGGCUUGGGUGAUCCCACCAAAACCAUUACGUCCAUUCAAAAGGGUUCCACGUUGAGUGCACGAAAUCCACAAGUUUGAUUGACCAGAAAUAGCCAAAAAAGCUGAUGAAACCCACGUCCAAAGAUGCCUUUUGUCGCGGAGGCCUAGACACUACCCCCAUCCCCUCUUACCAUAUUUUUUAAUUGAAGAGGCUAUUAUUGAAUUGAAAAAUUAUGAUUCAAAAUCCCAAAAUAGAAAAAGAAAAGCAAUUGUUGGAAACACAAUCGGAGUUUUAAAUUGACAUGAGAAAAGAAUUUAUUAUUAUUAUUAUUAUUAUUAUUAUUAUUUCUUUUUAACAAAAAUUUAAGCUCGGACAACAUUCUAUGCCCAAAAUACCCCUCAGGUUAUCCCAAACUGUCUAAACUCCCCCACUCCUCUCAACAUCAUCUCUUUCUAAUCUUUCCUCCCCCUAAAAACCAGCCAUGGCUUCAAAUUCAAUCACCUCAACACUCCAAUAUUGGCUUGUAAACCAGCCCCAAAUCCUCAACUUCACAUGGACUCAAAACCAAACCCCAGCUUCCUCCCCACACUUCCUUAUUCUCUCCAUCCUCACUUACCUCUCCCUCACAUUCAUCCUCUACCACACAUCAACAUCAACAUCACCACCAUCAUCACCUCUCAUUGAACCCCACAUCCUCAAGCCCAUCACAGCCGUCCAUAACCUCACCCUCCUCCUCGUCUCCCUCGUCAUGGCCGUUGGUUGCACUCUCUCCAUCGUCCUCCAUUCACCCGACCUCCGUCACACCCUCUGUUUCCCCCCCACCAUUUCUCCCUCCGGUCCCCUCUUCUUCUACGCUUACAUCUUCUACCUCUCCAAAAUACUCGAAUUUCUAGACACCCUUUUGAUCAUUUUGUCAAACUCCAUCCAACGGCUCACGUUCCUCCACGUCUACCACCAUGCAACCGUCGUCGUAAUGUGCUACCUUUGGUUACAGACGAAGCAGUCUUUGUUUCCUAUCGCACUUGUCACCAAUGCAAGUGUGCACGUGAUCAUGUACGGGUACUAUCUAUUGUGUGUGAUGGGGUUGCGGCCAAAGUGGAAGAGAUUGGUCACUGAUUGUCAGAUUGUUCAGUUUGUGUUUAGUUUUGUUGUUUCGGUUUUGAUGCUGUAUUAUCAUUUUGCGGGAUUUGGUUGCUCUGGGAUUUUGGGUUGGUGCUUCAAUGCUGUGUUUAAUGCUUCUCUUUUGACACUUUUUGUUAAUUUUCAUUCCAAGAGCUACGCUAAAAAAAAGCAGGGAUGAUCAGAACAAAUAGUUUUUGUGAUUGUUUUUGUGUGUGUGAUUUGUUUUUUUAAGUUUGAUUUUGUUUAAUUAAGAAGGGUUGUGAUCUGUUCAUUGCAAUUGACAGAGAUGUUUUCGAAGGAAUUGCGUGGGAUAUACACGGUUUCUCUCGUAAUACCCAAAAUAUACCUCUAUCUAUUAAAAUUUGUAACUUUACAUAUACAUACUUAAAAAAAUCAAUAAAAGUACAAAAAUAACCUCAAUAAAAUGCCAACAAAAAAUUAAUACUCGACUCAUUAAAUCUACUUACUCGACUAGAUACUCGACUUAUUCAAUUAUUUUCACUUCUUACUUGACUGAAUGCUUAACUUAUCAGACUUCAGACCCGACUUCGUACUCGACUAAAUAUUCGACUUAUUCAAUUACCUUCAUUUCUUACUCGACUGAAUGCUCAACUUACCAGACUUCAUACCCGACUUCGUACUCGACUAGACACUCGACUUAUUCAAUUGACUUCACUUCUUACUUGACUGAAUACUCAACUUACCAGACUUCAUACCCGACUUCGUACUCGACUAGAUACUUGACUUAUUCAAUUGUCUUAAUUUCUUACUCGACUGAAUGUUCAACUUACCAGACUUCACUUCUUUAAAAAUAUUAAUACUCGACCCAAUGUACUUACCCGACUUAAUACUCGAUCUCUUUAAAAAUUACAUAAAUUUUACUCGACUUGUUCAAAAAAUUUACUUGACUUUUACUUAAUACUCGACUGAUUUAAUAUGCUUACUCAACUUCUUACUGGACCAUAUACUCGACUUAUUUAUCUCCAAUUCUUGCUCGACUAAAUUCUCAACUUACCCGACUUCGUACUCGACAUCUUCCUGUACUGAGAGGAAGAAAUGUGUGGAAUCUUGAUUUUUUUAAGGUUAUUUUUUACUUUCCCUAUCUUCGUGAGGUAUAUGUAUAUAAUAGGCUAUAAAUUUGAUAUUUAAAGAAAAAUUGAGGAUAUUUAAAUAAAAAACCUGAUGUUUUCAAUUGCCUAGACUUCGUAUUUUUAGUUUUAGUAAUACAUGUCGUUUUUCACCACAUUUGUUUAGUCUCUCCCUUUUAAAUCCCCUCUCACACAAAAAAUUUGGAUUUGCAUUUUGUAAACUAAUAUUUUUCAUUUUGUUAAUGUAUUAAUUAUUGUUAUCUACAUUUAUGUGAUAGGGCACAGCCCCUAAGCACUCAAUGUUUGUAAGCACAAGUUCAAGUCCCACCAUUUGUUAGGAUUUAAAUAAAGAACAUUAUAACCAUGUGUCCAAAAACUUAAAGUUAGCUUAAGUGCAUGGAUUUGAGUCCUAGUUAUUGUUGGAAUUCGAUUUCUUUUCCAAUUAAAUUGGGUAAGGGUACAAUUAUCUCUCAAUUAAUAAGGACAGAGUGGACAUCUCUCUCAAUUUUUCUCCCAAUUAAAUUAGUUAGAGAUAAAAUUAUCUCUUGAUUAAUAAGAGUAGAAUAAGCUUCGGUUGCAGAUUUUGGCCAUGGACAUCAACAGAGAAAAUUAUGAAUUGGGGCUGCCAAUUAUCCAAAAAGCUGGUGUUGCUCACAAGAUUGACUUCAGAGAAGGCCCUGCCCUGCCUGUUCUUGACCUACUGAUCCAAGAUGUAAAAAUCUCACCAGACCCAUCAUUUCAAAAAAAAUUUAUAUAAUAAGUACACGUAAUCAAAUGUAAUUAGAUAGUCAAAACUAGAUAAUAAGUACACGUAAUCAAAUGUAACUUGAACAUUAAAAAAUAAAAAUUUAUAUAAGAAGAGGAUCCCCCUUCAUUCAUUACGUCUGAGUUAAAGUUUGAAAUAUAUUGUUACAAAUAUUUAAAGAGCGUAGGGAUUACAAAAUGAAACUAAAGUGUCAAACUCAAAAUUUAUGAUUUGUAAGUAGUACAUUUAUGAGUAUCAAUAAUCUUUAUAACAAAAAUGAACUGGCAAGUGUCAACACACAUACAUGACACAUAACUCUGCAGCAUGAGAUGGUCCAAACUCCUAAAUCGAUCGAUCCAUGCAUGGACCUUAUUCAUAGCCAAGUGCACGUGAGAUGGAACCAUUGAAAUGUUGAUGGAGGAAUAAGCUAUAAAGCUUUAUGUCACAUGCAAGACCAUUCAUGGUUUCUGCAAAACCUGGCUAGCCAUUUGCAUCGAUCUGUUUCUCUCCGUAACAUUAAUUAAAACAAGGAAAACAAAACAACAUCAUUAACUCGACAGAGAAAAAGUGGGCACUUGGCAGUGGGCCGGAUUACUUAGGAGGUAAAAUUCCCACACGUUAGGAAUUUGGCACAUAAUCUCGGAGUUUUAAAUUGACAUGAGAAAAUAAUAUAUUCAUCAACCUCAUACGUUAAAGAUGCGACGAGUUUGAGAUUAUGUGCCAAAUUCCUAACGUGUGGGAAUUUAAAGAUGUUAGUACAAAAAAUGUGUUCGUCCGUGGAGUAGAAUCAUGGAAAUUACAGAUGCUACUACAAUUACUAACGUGUGGGUGGGGAUAAGCAUAACUUUUUUCACCCAAUGCCAUAUUUCUGCACGAAAUAACAUGCAGAUAUAGUAUUUUAGAAGAUUAUGAAAAAAUACAUCAAAAUCAUUACUAGAUCCAAAUUUGUGCUAUUUUCAUACAUAACUUGAGAAUAUUUAUAAUUACGCAUCAGAACUAGUGGAGUAGAAUCAGGGAAAUUAAACAUUCUACAAUCAUUGACGUGUGGGGUGGGGAUAAGCAUAAGCUUUUUCUAUGCAGUAUAAAAGAAUGCAAUAACUCCUUUCUUUCAUAUCUUCGCAACAAAAGCACAUCUAAUAACUCAUCAAAAUUCUCGUUUUCUUUGUCAGAAUGGUUGAUGCGAUCGUUUCCUCUCUCCUGGAGCAGCUGAUCUCCGUUGCGGCUGAUGAAGUGAAACAACACGUGAGGCUUGUGACUGGUGUCGGAGAAGUGAAAAAGCUUACCAGCAAUCUUCGAGCCAUUCGAGCUGUGCUGGAAGAUGCAGAGAAAAGGCAAAUGCAGCGCGACAAUGCUGUUACUUUUUGGCUGGAUCAGCUCAGAGACGCAUCCUACGACAUGGAAGAUGUGUUGGAUGAGUGGACCACUGCAAGGCUCAAAUUGCAGAUUGAGGGCGUUGAUGAUGACAAUGCUCUUGCUCUUGCUCCUCAUAAGAAGAAGGUACGCUCCUUCUUUUGUGCUGUAUCAAACUGCUUUGGUAGUUUCAAACAACUUAGUCUUCGUCAUGACAUUGCCGUCAAGAUUAGGGAAAUCAAUGGAAAGCUAGAUGAUAUUGCCUCCCAAAAAGAUACGUUUAAAUUUGUUGAGAAUGUGAGCAACAAUGUUAAGAAACCAGAGCGAGUGCGAACCACCUCCUUGAUUGAUGAGGGAGAGGUUUGCGGUAGAGUUGAUGAGAAAAAUGAGCUCUUAAGCAAGUUGUUGUGUGAAAGUAGUGAACAACAAAAAGGCCUUCAUGUCAUCUCACUAGUUGGGUUAGGGGGUAUAGGUAAAACCACUCUUGCACAACUAGCCUAUAAUAAUGAUGAGGUGAAAAGAAAUUUUGAAAAAGUUAUAUGGGUGUGUGUAUCAGACACUUUUGAGGAGAUUAGGGUUGCCAAAGCAAUCAUUGAAGGUCUAGGUGAGUCAGCUCCUAGUUUAAGCGAAUUCCAAUCUCUUACGAGCCAUAUCCAUAGAUCAAUUGAAGGAAAAAAGUUUUUUCUUGUCUUAGAUGAUGUAUGGGAUGGGAGUUACAAUAAAUGGGAACCAUUCUUCCUUUGUCUAAAGAAUGGUCUCCAAGGAAGUAAAAUUUUAGUUACCACACGUAAUGAGUCAGUUGCACGUAUGAUGGGAUCAACAAAUAUUAUCUUCAUUAAGCAAUUGGCUGAAGAGGAAUGUUGGUCGUUGUUCAAGCGGUUGGCAUUUUCCAGUCGCUCUUUCGAAGAUUGUGAAAAAUUAGAACCAAUUGGGCGAAAAAUUGCUUGUAAGUGCAAAGGCCUGCCUCUUGCUGCAAAGGUAAUAGGGAAUCUCUUGCGCUCUAAAAUUACAGUAAAAGAGUGGCAAAGAAUUUUAGAUAGUGAAAUGUGGAAAGUACAAGAGAUUGGGCAAGAUCUUUUGGCCCCUUUGUUGUUGAGUUAUAACGAUUUGCCCUCCAAUUCUAUGGUAAAACGGUGUUUCUCAUAUUGUGCUGUCUUUCCAAAAGACUACAAUAUGGAUAAAGAGGAGUUGAUUAAUCUGUGGAUGGCUCAAGGUUACCUUAAUGCAGAAGAAGACGAAGAGAUGGAGAUGAUUGGGGAAGAGUGUUUCAACAUUUUAGCAGCACGCUCUUUCUUUCAAGAGUUUGAGAAAAAUGACGAUGAUGAUAUUAUGAGUUGCAAGAUGCAUGACAUAGUACAUGAUUUUGCUCAAUUUGUAAGUAGCAAAGAAUGUUUGUGGCUAGAAAUUAAUGGUACCAAAGAAUCAGUCAUAAACUCUUUUGGUGACAAAGUCCGUCACUUAGGGUUAAAUUUUGAAGGAGGCGCUUCAUUUCCUAUGUCCAUUCGUGGACUUGAUAGAUUGCGUACCCUUUUAAUUUAUGAGAGAAGUGAUUUCUAUCUGUCUCUUAGUAGUAGCAUCCUUUCGGAGUUAUUUAGUAAAUUGGUGUGUUUAAGGACAUUAGUUAUAAGGCAAUCGUCCCUAUAUUUUCAUCCUUUUCAUCUUGACCCAAAUUCGAUUAGAGAAAUUCCAGAAAAUAUCAGAAAAUUGAUACAUUUAAAAUAUCUUAAUUUAUCUGAAUUAGGCAUAGAGAUACUACCUGAGACUUUGUGUGAAUUAUAUAAUUUACAAAAGCUAGAUAUUAGGCGGUGCCGAAAUCUUAGAGAAUUGCCAGCGGGGAUUGGGAAGUUAAUGAACAUGAGGAGUUUACUGAAUGCUAAAACUUAUUUGUUGGAGUACCUGCCAAUAGGGAUUUCCAGAUUGACCAGCCUUCGAACAUUAGAAAGGUUUGUUGUGGGUGGAGGUGUUGAUGGCGGCAGCACGUGUAGGCUUGAAUCUCUGAAAAAUCUUCAACUCCUUCGUGAAUGUAGAGUAGAAGAACUGAGUAAUGUAUCGCAUGUAGAUGAGGCUAAGAGGUUACAACUUUACAAUAAGAAAAACCUCCUUCGUUUGCAUCUUCUGUUUGGAGUCGUAGAUAUGGAAGGUGAAGAAUGGAGGAGGAAGAAUGAGAAAGAUAAACAACUUCUUGAAGCCUUACAACCGCCUGUGAAUGUAGAGGAGUUAAGGAUUAAAUGCUACGGAGGCAACAUUUUUCCCAAAUGGUUGACUUCGCUAACCAAUCUAAGGGAACUAAAACUUUCGUUGUGUUUUAACUGUGAGCAUUUGCCUCCUUUGGGAAAAUUACCUCUGGAAAAACUCGAACUAAAGUACUUGACAAGUGUAAAAAGAGUGGGUAAUGAGUUUUUGGGAAUAGAAGAAAGCAGUUAUUGGGACGACCCAUCUUCAUCUUCAUCAUCAUCAUCAGUUACUGCCUUCACCAAAUUGAAAUCUCUCAAAAUUUGGGACAUGCAAGAAUUGGAAGAGUGGAAUUACAGGAUUACGAGGAAGGAAAACAUCUCCAUCAUGCCACGUCUUUCUUCCUUGAUGAUUUGGUCUUGCAACAAAUUAAAGGUAAUGCCAGAUUACCUUCUUCAAACGACGGCACUGCAGGAACUGAGUAUUUAUUCUUGUGAAAAUUUGGAAGAACUGCCCAUUCUAGAAGAUCGCAGGACAACAGACAUACCGCGUCUUUCUUCCUUGUUUAUUCAGAAUUGCCCCAAAUUGAAGGCGCUGCCGGAUUACCUCCUUCGAACGUCGACGCUGCAGGAAUUGACUAUUGACAAAUGUCCCAUUCUGGAAAACCGUUAUAGAGAGGGGAAAGGAGAAGACUGGCAUAAGAUAUCUCACAUUCCCCACAUCAAGAUAUCACCACAUACGAUUAUCGCUGGUAAUUUCUCCUCCUCCUCUGAUUUACUUCGUUGUUGCUUGCAAUGAAAUUAAUAAAAAUAAUUAUAUUUUGAAUUAAAAUUCUAUAUAGAAUCAAUCUUGGUAUAAAUAUGUAAAACUUCCUAGUUAUCAAAUCUGUUAAACUUGUUUUCUAAAGAUUAAAUAAUAAAAAAAUACAAGUUUAGUCUGUUGAAAUUUCUAUAUUUAUUUACUUUUAAAAAAUUUGUGCUCUUUUGUAAAAUUUCAUACAACAUCAUAGAAAAUCCUAAUGUAUUUUAUUUUUUAAUGCACGAAAAUUUGUUAUGUGCAACUUCCUGAGAGACAAAAUCUCUGUGAUACAUUUGCAGAAAUGUUGAAAACUAAAUCAUCAAUUUUAUCUUGUAUAAUGAUAAUCGUAUUUUUUAUAUAUAAUUUACGUGACAUUAAUUGUUUAAAGUAAUUGUGUAAUUGUUUUUAGUAGUACAUUAGCCCACUUUGUUUUAUUUCAUACGAGUUUAAUUAUGUUCACCAGGGAUUCGAGGAAAUGUCAGAACCACACUAGCAAUUCACAGGUCCAACCUAAUUUGGUUUUAAUGAUGCAGGCAGGAGAGCAUGCUAAGAAAAUGAAAAGUUUAGCCAAAGGAUUGCUAAAAUGUUCUGCUGGUAAUUCACUUGCUUUAUUUUAUAGAAUUUCAUUUCCAUCUUCUUCUAUUGAUAUCUUGUUGUGAAUAAACAAGAACAGAAAAGUAAAGAUGUAUCAAAAUUCGCUAUUAUGAUGAUGUUAAAGCAAGCUCAAGCUCAAGCAUUGCAUUUUAUUUUAUUUAGUUUAUAGAAUUUUCAUUUCCACCUGCAUUUCAUUUUUAGGUUGACUUUGAAGACUCUAUGGAGAAAAUUGGGGUAACCAAGGAUUAUCACUGCGGUUAUUGUGCAACGUUUGGUUGCUGGACUUUAAAGAAGGAAGUGAUGGCUGGGUCUGCUCUGUUUCAAUUGACAGCUGCCCGAAAGACAUGAUGAUUAUUGUUGCAUGAUGUUAAGGUGCUAAGAUCAUCAUUUCUAUCUUGUUUCAUUCUCGGAAUCAAUGGAGGCAGGAGUUUGGUGUUGACACUAUUAUGCAGGUAACCACACUUGAUAGUUUGCACAAAUUUGCGUUGUCAGAAUAUCCUUUAAUAUUCAUUGUGUUUCUUUGUAUUAUCAGGUUAUCAUGGUAUGUAGAGUAUCAUCUCCAAGGGUUUGAAAGAGCCUUUGCAGUAAAGUCAGUUGUCACCAGCUCGUGCAAUUGCACAUUCAUUCAGAGUACUUCAAUGUUAGGUUUUCAAGUUUUGUAUGUUUAUUCAAUUAAAAUGUUUAGUCACUCAUUCUUAAUCAUUUCUGAUUUUCAAGUUCUUUAGGGCCAUAAACUGUUUUUGCAACUCAUUCUUAUUUUUAAGGUUGAUUUCCUACUCGUGCAGAACAUUGGUGAGACCAAGGAUUAGGCUGGCGAUGGAACCACUGCCUCUGUUGUUAUUGUGCAAGGUUUGAUCGCUGGACCUUGAACAAGAAAGCCUUACACGCAUUUUGUAAUUGAAGCGUUCUCUAAAGCAAAAGAGCAGUAGAAGGAAUAGUGAUGGCCGGAUCUGCGCUAUUUUAAUUGAAGAUGUCUGUGAUGUUGAGGGACUUAAAGCAGUUAAUGCUCUUUGAAAAUUGUUACUACAGAUGAAUUGAUUCCUGAAGGCAUUUAUCUAAUGAAUGUUAAGCGUAUUUUCAUAAACUUCCUUUCUUAACAAAUGUUUCAAUGCCUGCUGUAGUAACAAUUUCAUAUCUUGCAUCUCUCGGGUGCAUCAUGUUCAUGGGUUUGAAAAAGCAUUUGUGCCAAAGCUUCAAAGCUUGUACAAUGGUUGUGAAAAGGCACAUUCAAUACGGUACGUUUUGGUGCGGUCUCCUAAUGCUAAUAUCAUAUUUUGUAUCGCAAUUAAAAUUUAGAUAUGCAGUCUUAUUACGCCAUAAAUCAUUGUGUACAAAGUUUUCUAUUAACUAUAUGGUGACUGAAAUUUUAAUUAUCAUAUCAAUCUUAAAAUUUUUUUAACUCUCUUUUACUAUGCUUGUAUAGAGUACUUGUUUUGGCUGAUAUGUCUAAUUCGUAGAAAUUCAUUUCCUUCGGUUUCCAUUGGCUUUAGCACAAACAGAAACAGAGCUCUGGGGAAAAGUUUGACUUCUUGUGGUAUUAUGCCUUUGUUUCUUCAUUCAUCAUAUUUUUCAAAUUCAUGCUCUCACUCAGAGAGUAAAGCCUUUUCCAGGCUGCUUUGUAGCCAAACUUUGACGCCAUUGAUGCAUGACUGUCAUUUAGAUUUUCCAAAUAACUGUUAGAUUGGAGAAGAAUAAGAAGAUGUUGUUAAAAGGGUAUUUAAUUAGCGCCCGCUGAAUUUAGUUGCCAAUAAUGCAUUAAAAUAGUUGGGGAAAGUUACUGUCUUAAUUAAAUUACAGGUGAUAAGAUGCUGCUUCAAUUUUGCAAGCAUCUCGUAUUGUGAAGAUUUUACCCACAUGAGAUGCCGUGAUGCUUGACAUCAGGGUAAUACAGGUCAAAUUUUAGUAUCAAUAUAUAUCUUCUUCUUUAUUGUUCUGCCUCUAAAUAUUAAACUUUAGGCAAGUUGUUUUUGUUUAUGUAAGUUUAUCAGGUUAAGGAUACUAAGCAGCUUAAUUGUUCACAAGCCAAUUUGAUCAGUGCUAGAUAUCAUCAUCAAAUUUGAGUAGAGAAUCUUUGAAGAGAAUUUUGUUGUGAGAGUUUCACUGUAAUGAAUUUUGGGAGCUUGAACUCACGUGAGUGAGAAAUUAGAAGGUAUUGGGGAUUUGGGUUAUGAGUAAUCGUUAUCCUUCCAAUAUUUGCAAGCUCUCACUUGUUAGUAAAAUCAUCUUCGUAUAUUGACUCUGUUUCUUUGUUGCCAGGAAGAGUGUGAGCUUCACAGGUUUGAGGAAGUCUUUGCAGUAAACUUUGCACCACGAGCAAUUGCUGCCAAGAGGCAUAUACAUUCAGAGUAAUUUAGUUUCAGAUUUACAAGGUGUGUAUAUUAAAUUAGUUUCGAUUAUCAUAUUUAGUCACUCAUACUGAAACUUUUCUAAUUUUCAAGUUCCUUAGGGACACCACGGUGUUUCAAGUCUGCAUAUGGCUGCAAAAGAUUGAGGCAUCGCGAUUGAGCACACACAGAAACAGAGCAAAAGGAAAAGAAGACAGUAGAAGAUGCUAUAAAUAUAACAAAAGUAUACUUCUACUUGUGGUUAUUUCAAUUUUGUUUCUCCUGUCAUCAUAUUUGAUUAAUUCGUUUGAACUCACAAUCUCACACAUUAUUUAAAACCAUUUGCAGGUGGUUUGCAAGCUAGUUAAGUUAACGCAAAAACAAUACUCUAGACAAAGACGAGCAAAUUAAAGGUGAUAAAUGCAAAUUGAAUUUCCAUGAUUAAUUGUUAGGCUGGUGCAGAUAUUCUUAAAAAGGCAUUAAGCUACCUUAUGGAAUUGGAAAAUUAUUAUUGCUUGAAAGCAAGCAGCAUCUUUGUUGCGAAGGCUUUCCCCACUUGAUAAGAUGCAAGAUUCUUCGCCAAACAUCCUUUUCAUUCCUUUGUUCACUUAUUCGUUAUAAAUAGAGUAAACUUAGAAGAUUGUUCUGUUUGCUGUCUAAGCCAGUGUAACAUUUGUUAAAUUUGGGCCAUCUGCCUGACAGGUUGUCUGUGACAAUCCCAUCUGUAAGUACUAAUGCGCUUGGUUAUGGUGCUUUCAUUGGACUAUAUGCAAACAUGAGAUUUCAGCUAUUGUGUGGAUUUGAUAGAGCGGUCACCAACCAUUUUGAAGUUAUUGGAGUAGCACUGAUCGUAGGCACGGCUUUGAGGUCAUUCCCUCUUCUUUUAUGAAUUUGUCUAUUGAUUGACAUCUCUAUAUAUACAUUGAUAGACCAAAUUACUCUUGUUUUAAUGUUUUGUUUGUUGAACUUUGACUGGGGAAUUUGUUUGUUUGUCUCAUAGUUGUUAAUGUGGUUCCUAUUGAAGUGUAUAUAUCUAUCACAUCAAUGUCUGAUGUCAAUUUUCCUUUACUUAAUCAACUAGCAUCCUUUCCAAGUCCAGAUACUUACCCAUUUGUUCAGCCACAGUGAUUGCAGUCUGAAUUCUUCUUUACUGUCUAUAUGUGUUGGAGUUUGUCUAUUGUCAACUUCUCAAAUGGAUUCCAUGCAGGGUUUUGAAUGUCUAAUUAGGAGAAAGAUCAACGGAUGACCUUUUGAAGAAGCCUUGCACAACAGGCUUGAUACCAAAGUCUCCAGGUGGUUGAUACCAAAGAAUGCCAUUGUUUCUGGGCUUGGGCUCCUUGGCGUCAAACAAGAUAAUGGGAAAUAGGGGCAACUAAAGCGCGAAGAAAGAGGAUGGUCCGGAGGAAGGUGUCUGCAUAAAUUUGUUGGAGUUGAUGUAGUCAAUUGCCCAAUUUUGCUGCCUGUCGAAGAGACACGGCAUGGAAGUCCUCAUCAAACUCUGAGACACCUAAGAAAUAGUAUGAGGUGGUGGUAUUUCCCUGGUGUUAAUUUCCUGGCAAGUGUGAUUCACAGAUAGAGGGAUUCUUUUCUUGAUGUCUAAAUGCCAUAUGUGAUGCAACGUCGUAUAUUCUAAGAUAUUAAAUUCUAUUUCAGAUUUCUCAUAUAGUGUCGUUGUCACUUCUGUGGUACACUUUUGAUCGCAAAUUUCCAUUUGAAGUAGCUGAUAUUCUUUACAGACUAAUUAUCUAAUGAUUAUUUUGUACAAUAAAAAUCAAAACUUAAAUUAUUUGAUCAUACUCAACUUAGGUCUUAUUCGAUACUACUAGUUGUUGUGAAGAAAAAAAAAAUGACAAUGUGUAAUAAAUGUAUGACUUUUAAAUAAUAAUUUUAAUAAAAAUAAUAAAGAUAUUAUAAGUUUUUUUUUAUAAUAAAAUAUGAGAUCAAAUCAAAUUAAUUUUUAAGUCACAAUAGCAAAUGUUUAUCAAAACUAUUUAAUUAUAUGACUUAAAAGAUAUAGUUGUCUAACCGCAACAAUAUAUAUAAAGAUUUACCAAACUUUACCCGACUUUAAUUGUACCCACUCAAUUAUGUAAGUCCAUACUCCACGCGCUUGACCAUAUGAAAUGUUACUCAACUUUAACAAAUCUUACUUAAACUUUGCACGUUUGACCUGCUGGAUGAAAUAUGAUAGCAUAUGAUGCGAUAGAAUAUAAUAGGAAUGGUUGUAACAAGAUUAUAAUUAGUACUAGUUUAUAUUUUAUGUGAUGUAGUAUAUGAACACAUUAUAUUACAAAUUUUAGUGUUAUACUAAUUAAAAAUUGGAAUUAUUUUAUUAUUGUAAAAAUUUAAUAUCUUAAAUAACAGUUAUUUUUAUUAAGUAUUUUUGUUGCAAUGAAUUAUACUUUUUAAAAUAUAAUUGAAAAUUCUUAUUACUAAACUAAUAAAAAAUUAAUUAUUUGAGUUAUCUCCUAAACUACUUAGCUCACGAGAUAAAUUCACUUAGUUUAAAACGAAACGGAUUACAUUUAGUACUAUUUUGUAUUUUAUGUGACGUAGUGGAUGAUUCAAUUAUAUUAUAAAUUUUAUUGUAAUAAAAAAAUUUUGAAUUAUUUUAUUAUUGUAAAAAUGUAAUAUCUUAAAUAACAAUUAUUUUUAUUAAGUAUUUUUUAAUGAUUUAAAAUAUAAUUGUAAAUUCUUAUUAUUAAACUAAUAAAAAAUUAAUUAUUUGAGUCAUCUCCUAAACUACUUAUUUCACGAGAUAAAUUCAAAUAGUUUUGAGAGAAAGAAAGAGAGAGAGGGAAAAAAAUCUUGCUUCCUCUACUUUCUACUCUAGAAGAAAAGGAAAAAAUCUAAUAGUUUUCUCUAUUUUCUAUGACUAUUGAUCGUUAUUCAAAUUUUCAAACAAUAGCCUUAAUAUAAACAUAAGUUAAUUUAUGAUUUCAUCUCAAAUUUCUGAUUUUAUCUUUUUAUUAUUCUCUUAAUUAGUUGUGUUGUUAUUUGUUCUUAUUUCUUUUUAAUAUAUUCUUUUAUUCAUCUACUUUUUUUGUGCUUAUUUUAUCUAUUUUGAAAUAAAACUAUAUCAAAAAACUUUAGACAAUAGAAGAAUAAAAAAAGAGUAAUGAUACAGCCACAAACUCUUGUACAAACUUAUUUUGUACAAACUGAUGUGGCAUGAUAAGAUUGGUUGAAUUAAAUAUCACUUGGCCCACAUGAUUUGUUUUUAUUAAUUUAUAUUUUCAUUCAAUCAAUGAAUUAAUGCCACAUCAGUUUGUAUAAAAUAAGUUUGUACAAAAUAAGUUUGUACAAGAGUUUGUGGUUGUACCAUUACUCAUAAAAAAAUUAGUUUAAUUUAAAAAAAUAAAAAAGAUAUCGUUAAACUUAAAAAAAUAAGUAGAAAUGUUAUAAUUGAAUUAAAAUUUUAUGAAUUAACAACAAUAGAAUAAAUUUGUAUUUAAUAAUUUUAUAUUUUAAAGUAUUUAAAGAAUUAAUUUUUAAUAAAUAAUAUUAAUAUAUAUAUAUAUAUAUAUAUAUAUAAGUUACUUAUCUCUCCAUCCGCACUUAUCUCUCCCUCACAUUCAUCCUCAACCACACAUCAACAUCAACAUCAACAUCACCUCUCAUUGGACCCCACAUCCUCAAGCCCAUCACAGCCGUCCAUAACCUCACCCUCCUCCUCCUCUCCCUCAUCAUGGCCGUUGUUUGCCCUCUCUCCAUCAUCCUCCAUUUACCGCACCUCCGUUACACCCUCUGUUUCCUCCUUACCAUUUCUCCGUCUGGCACGGCCUAAUUCCGACGGAAUCAACGACGGUCGUGAUGGGUUUUGGCUGCGACUAUUCGCGCUUCAAACGGCGGCGUUUCGGUUGGUUUUUGGCGACAGUGACGGUGGGAAAGUGAUGGCUGGCUCAGGAGCUUUCGUUGCUACCAUCCAUGGCCGGUGAGGUGGCCGAAAAUCGGAUAUAUGUCUGCGUCGGGUUCGCAGUUUUGGGUCGGGUUUUCCGGGUCAGUUUGACAGCUUCCUCUAUCCCUCUCCCCCAUAAAACAUUACCCAGCUUCCUCUUAUUAUUAUUUUUUUUUUCACAUACGUUACAGAACAUUAAUGAGAGAUGUUUAGUAGUAAGGACUAUUUUGAUAUUUCGAUGAGUAGUAAAAACUAAUGUUAAAAUUUUAUAGACGAAUGUAUAGUAAGAUGCUCAAAGUACUAGAACAUAUAUAAAUAAUCCCAGCUCUUAUAAAAUUUUGCCACAUAAUGAGUUUUAUCCCUUAAGCAAAACAUAUCGAUAAAGUAUACAAAAGCACAAUGCAUGAAUGAUGGUCUUACAAAGUUCGAAUAUAAAGUUUAUAAUCUAAAAUUAAUGAUGUGACAAUUAACCUAAUGGAGUAAGAAGGCCCAAAUAGAUUAUAUUUUGCUAAAGAAGUAAAUUCUACCAAGAAUACCUCUUUCUAUUGAAUUUAAAUGAUGAUUAUUUGUUUAUAUCAUAAAAACUAAAAUAACUGUGUGAGUAAUUUGAUUCUUUUACAGUAUAAAAAUAAAUUCAGAAAAUGUUAGGGCAUGUUCUGUGUUUUAUUUUUAAAUUUAUAUUAUGAGAAUGAAAAUGGUGUUUUCAAGUUGAUAAAUUUUCAAUUGAAAUAUGUGUUUGUUAUUAUUUCAUUUAUCCUAUAUUUUCAAAAUGAAAAUAACCGAUAGAUAAAGUUAAAAAUGAUAAAAUAAUGGAUAUAUUAAGCAAUUUUACUACAUGCAAAUUAUUUUCUGUGUUUAAAGUUCAUAUAAAGCUUGUUUAUUUUUCAACAUACCAACUUACAAUAAUAAUAAUAAAAUUUUUGUGAUAUCCAAUAUUAACUUUUUAAAGUAAUUAUUUUUUGUUAAUGUGUCCGCUGUUCAAUCGAUCUUUCUACUUUCUAUGCUUGAGAUUAGAUCAUUUGCUUCAAAGAUUCGAACUGGACUUAUAGUAGGAAAAAUAAUUUUCUUCAAUAUGAACUCUAACUCUCUUUUUUAUAUAUAAAAAAAAAUCUAAUUCUCCUUUCAACAUUUCAACAUUUUGAUGAAAUAAAAAAUUAUUGGCGAAAGAUUACAUGCUUCCUUACAUUAGAGAACCAAAUACUCAGAUAGGUAGUGUAAAUCUCUACUGAUCGUUGGUGAUUUUAUCAAAAUAAAAUUCAAUAAAAUGUAUAAGAACACUUAAAUCCGUCCAAAAAAAAAAAUGACCCAGCAAAUAAAGAAAAGUACUGUGAAGUAAAAAUUGAACAAACCUAGAAAGAAGAGAAGAAGAAGAAUGGAAGAAGGAGAUUCGGUUCAUAAAUCAUGGAGGGAGAUGAGACUUAAGAGAUAGGGUUAGUGAGACAGACGAGGUCCUAGAGUCUUAAAGAUGAAGACUAUCUAUUAUUAGUUACUUAUUAUAAUGAUGUUUAUUAUUAUAAUUUAUUUUACAAUUUUUUUAAUGAAACAAGUAAAACAUGUUUAAGUUGUUUUGUAAUUUAUAACUGUUAGAGGCAAGUCAGAUUCUGUGUUUUACAAUUAAAUUUUAUGAGGACUACUGAACGCUUAUUUUACUUAGAUUUAUAAAACGAAAAUGAGAAUGGCAACUUACUUCAUCUCAUACUUUUAGGUCACAAAAAUAGCAAUAAGUCUAACAAAUUUAUUAUUGAAUGUGAAUGGUUAUAUAUCGAUCAUUUGACACGUAUUUUUCUUGACAGAACCUCAAUUCAAUAGACAAAAGCUCCUCUUAAUUUUUCUUUUCUAUUUAAAUAAAAGAACAAAAGAAAUUGAUUACAGAGCCAUUACUUCUCCAAGAAUUAAUAAACGAAAAGGCCCAUAAUUUUUGUAAACCCACCCCACUUUCAAGAAAUAAUUACAAUAAGUUCAAAUUAUUUUUAAAAAAUUGAAAUAAAGAAGAUGUAAUUACAAUAAGUUUGGAGAUUGAAUCAAAUAAAAUAAAAUACCUAAACUAUUAUAUACACGAACUCUUGAUUCUUGGGGUAUUUUAGUCAUUUUAUAUUAUCAUGGUAAGUUAGUCAAAUAAAACUUAUCUUAAAGCAACCUAAAUGGUCAAAGACACCUAAGUUAAAAAAAAAAAAUUAUAUGAAUGAUUUAAUUUAUUGAUUGUCUAUACGUUUUAUUGAUUUAUAUAUUUUAAAAAUAGUAUGAACGUAUUACAAUUAUUUUCUGACAGCAAGGUAGAUUUGUAAAAUAAGUGGGUAGAAAAUAUCCCCGUCCUCAAACAAAUAAAUGAAUUAUCGGUGAUGCAUGCUUUUUUCCAACUUCUUUUUUUCUUUUGGUUUUUUUUUUGGUUUUAAAUGGCAUUGGCCCGACCACUACAAAUUAAUUAGAGAAUAUUUACAAUUAUGUAUCACAGCUGUGGAGUAGAAUCAGGGAAAUUAAAAAUGCUAAAAUUAUUGACGAGUGGGUUAGGCGACAAUAACCAUAAACAUUUUUCGUGUAGUGUAAGAAGAAUGCAACAACUCGUUUCUUUCAGUAUUUUUGCAACAAAAGUACGUUGAACAACUUAUGAAAUUAUUUCUCCUUUUCUUUGCCAGAAUGGAUGUGAUCGCUUCCCCUCUCCCGGAGCAGCUGAACUCCUUUGCUGCUUGUGACUUACCAUAAAUCUUCAAGCCAUUCAAGCUGUGCUUGAAGAUGCAGAGAAGGCAAGUUGAUAUAAGAUUGUUGUAUGGAAUAAGCAGGGUAUCUUCCGAGGCUAGAAAUUGGGCUACGAGUAUUCGUUUUGGACAUAUAAUAUAGUUUCCAAGCUUACGAUGAGUCGAACCAAAUGCAGAACAACCUAGGCUGUUAUGUCCUGCGAUUGAGCUAAAAAUUUCACUUCUUUUAUAGUCGUUUUUCAGUUUUAAGAUAUUUUUCUAUUUUUCUUGAUUCUUCUAAGAUUUUUUAUCAUUUUUUCUAGAUGUUGGAUUUAAGUGCCAUCUGUUUUCUUUCUCUUAUUUAGAUUCGAAAAAUUUUAUUAACAUAUAAUAUUUUGAAUUUGCUUAGUUUGUUAAAUUUGCUAUAUUUAGGCUCCUAUAAAUGGGUUUCAAAACCCUAAUUUUGUUCAUUCAAAUUAUUCUCAAUAAAACUUAUUAUUCAAAUACUAGUUUAUAUUAUGUAAUACCCCACCCCUGGUUUUUGACCCUGUUGACCACCCAUAUAUAUUGAGAGAGAGAGAGAGAACGAAAGAGAGAAGAGACAGAGAGAGAGAGAAAGGAGUUGACCCGGUUUGACCCGCAACCCGACCCGGACCCGCCACUUGACCCGGCCGGUUCUCCCAUUUCCGGCCACCGUUCAGGGCAAGGUUGGUACCGAUUUGAAGCUUGAGAGAUGAGCUACGUAUCCAUGUCGUCCUUGCCGCCGAAAAACGAUCGGAAAGCCACCGAACGAAGCGUUGAAGUACCGCGGAAUCGCCGGCUCGAUUCGCCGUGAUUUCGCCGAGUUCCGGUGUAGCCAUCACUUGGGUUUUGUUCCUUACCUUUCCCUCUGCCAUUUCCGACUAACCACUGACGCCGGGGACGUCGUUUUGCCGUUGAUCGGCCGUUGGAGGACUCACGGCUUUGGGACCUCGAUCCGGAGCCAUCGCCGCGCGUGGGAGGUCACCACCGCCACCAUUGGACUCAGCGUGGCUUGAACUUUCAGUUCUGAGCUUCCCGUCGCCGUCGAUUGGAUUCCGGUGACCGUUGACCGGCAAGGGUAUUUCGGUAAUUUCACAGUCUAAGGGCAAUUUUGUAAUUUUAGAUUUUAUGGGUAUUUUAGUAAUUGUUGUAAUUGAGGAUAAAGUUGGUAAUUUAUGAUUUUGAGGUUAAUUUGGUAAUUUUGAUAUGAGAGUAUUUUGGUAAUAUUGAAUUCAAGGGUAAUUCGGUAAAUUCAUAAAUUUGAGGGUAAAUAUGUAAUUUGUGGAAUCAGUGGAUAAAUUGGUAAUUUUAAGUUGGGGUAAUGAGGUAAUUUGAUAUUUCGAGAGUAAUUCGGUAAUUUAAGUUGUUAAGAACAUUUUGGUAAUUUACGCUCCGAGGGUAAUUUUGUAAUUUCUGACAUUGUGGUUAUUUAUGUGAUCUGAAUUGAGGACAAUUUAGUAAUUGAAGAUUUUGAGGAUAAUUUGGUAAAAUAAUGAUGAUGGGGGCAUUUUGGUAAUUUUGGCAUGUAGGGGUUUUUCGGUAAUUUUGUACAUGCGGGAAUAGUUUAUUGUUGAUAGAUUUUCGUUUCGAGAAUUAUUAUGUAAGAUUCGUUGUAUUUCAAGUUAACGGAGAAUGAUUAUGUCGUUUGCUUGAUUAGGAGGAUCUGCGAAACGAGAAUCAACCCGCGGACGUUGUUGACACCGAGUCUGGACAUUGUCACUGUGAGUGGAAUAUACGAAACCUAUUUUUAGAGUUAAUUAUGAUAGUAAAGCAUGUUUGCGGAAUAAGUAUUUUAAAUGUUCUGAUUUAAUGAUUUCUUGAAAUGGAUUUAAUGGGAUUUUCUCGAAAUGGAUUUUAUUCACGUGUUGAUAUUAUAUUAAAAUGUUUGGUUAAUGAUUUUGCGUAUCGAUUUUGAAUAAAGAGUGAUAUGAUUUGAAAGCUAAGAAAAGUGGAUUCAAAUGUGGUAUGAUUUAAAAUAUGGUAAAGAGGUAUGUGAAUAUGAGUACAGUGAUUGUUUUUGAAAUCAUUAGACAGUACCCUUCCCCUCCAGAUACAGUGAUAUAAAUGAUAUGAGAUGAGAGGUCUUUGGGGCCCGUCUGAACACACAUAGAGGCUUUGGGCCGUGUGUUUGGGCGCUUUUGCCUUUGGGGCAUAUGCAUGCGGUAUGAUUAUUACAGUGAUACAGAUAUUGAGAUACAGUGAUACAGAUAUGGGCUACAGACAGUUAUUGAGAUACAGUGAUACAGAGAUGGGAUACAGAUCAGUUAUUGAGAUACAGUGAUACAGAGAUGGGAUACAGAUCAGUUAUUGAGAUACAGAGAUACAGUGAUAUAGAUAUGAGAUACAGACAGUUGAGAUACAGAUGAGAUACAGGCCUUUGGGGCCCGUCUGAGUACACACAGAGGCUUUGGGCCGUGUGCUUGGGCGCUUUUGUCCUUUGGGGACUAGAUUAUGUAUGCACAGAUAUGAUGAGAUAUGAGAUAGUAUUUCCCUGUCUAUCCGUGUAGCUCCGGGGCGUGACGUUACCCAGAUAGUAGCCCGUCCGUUGAGGUCCGAAUAUGACGAGAUUAUUUCCCUGGGUACUUGUUUGAUGAUAGUUUUGGUAUUCAGUAUUUGAUAUGAUAAGUAUUAUGUUUCCAUCGAUUUUAUGCAGAUUUAUGUAAUAUAGUAUUUCAGUGACUGAUUUGAAUUAACUACUUAUGAUAUUCUGAUGAAAUUGAUUUGAGAAAUUGAUGAUUUGAGAAAAUUGAUUUGAGAAAGAUUAAAUCAUUUGAAAAGAAUUGGUUUUUCAAAGUUACUAUCCACUCACUGAGUUCACUGAGUUUUAUACUCAUUCCGCUUUUAUUAUAUUUCCCCCCCCUCACAGGAGAUUUGCAGGUACAUCAGUCGACUCAGUAACGAUAGUUAGAUUUGAAAUUGUGGCCACGUGCUGGUGCUAGGAGUCGUGGAUUUAAUACUGUGAUUUUUGGGAUAUUGCGAGUUGUAUUUAUUUAUUCUAUUUCGUAAUUAAGGAAAACUAUUGUAUUUUAAUAUCAGAAUGAUUUGGGAGUAUUUGGUAUGUCGACUUGAGAAGUUGGUUAUGGAGGAUGGAUGGAUAUUGAAUUAUUUUGGGAGUAUUGUUUUGUAAAUUGCAGGUUGGGAAUGUUUUAUUUAUAAGGGAGAUUCUGCCGAAAUUUUUAUAGAAUUCUUAGAUAUCGUAAUUAAUAUCGUUUUGAUUUUACGAGUUCAGAUGGACUCGCCCUGGGGGUGCGGGGCGGGUCGUUUCAUAUUAUCUAAUAGCUUUUCAAUGUUUCUGCAUCAUCAGCUGGUAUCAGAGCAAGUUCACUUGUCAUCAUGGUGCGAACACACAAUCAAAGGAGCAACCAUCCCGGAGACGAUGUUCAAGGGAUGUAGGCAACGACUGUGGAGGUUAUCAGAUAGAUGGUCAAAGGAGCAGUCUUGCAAGUCAUGAAGGACGCAUAUAACCUGAGAAUGGUAGCAGACAAAUAUUAGGUUAUCUCUUGUAAGCCAUAUUCAUAAAUGUAUUGAGGGAAAGAUACUUUUUUCUUGUCUUAAAUGAUGUGUGGGAUGGACGUUACAAUUAAUGGGAACCAUUCUUCUGUUGUUUAAAGAAUGGUCUCUACGAUAGUCAAAUUUUGAUUACUACACGUAAUCAGUUAGUAGCAAGCAUGAUGAGAUCAACAAAUCUUGCCUUUCUUAAGGAAUUAAUUGAAGAAGAAUGUUGGUCAUUGUUUAAGGAGGUAGCAUUUUUGGGUCAAUUCUUCAAGGAUCGUGAUCAAUCGAUCAAAAAAUUGCAUGUAAGUGCAAAGGCUUGCCUUUUGUUGCAAAGAUAAUAGGGAAAUUCUUACACUAUAAAUGACCAAUAGAAGAAUAGAAAAUAAUUUUAGAUAGUGGAAUGUGGAAGGUAGAAGAGUUUGGGAAAGCUCUUUUGGCUCCUUUGUCGUUAAGUUAUAAUGAUUUGUCGUCCAUAGUAAAACAAUAUUUCUCACAUUGUGCUAUCUUUUCCAAAGGUUACAAUAUGUGUAAAGAGGAACUAAUUACACUAUGGAUGGCUCAAAAUUACCUUAAAUGUAGAAGAAGGAAGAGAUGGAGAUCCGAUCCAAUCUGAUAGUAGUAGUUUAUUUUAAUUUUUAUUAAUUUGAUUUCAUAGGAGUAGUUUUCAUUUUUUGUUGAAAUUUGGUAAAACAAAAAACUGAAAUGAGAUAAUUACUUUAAAACAAUCUUCAAGAACUAAAAUAAUUAAAAAAAAACUCAAAAUAAACAAAAAAGGCUUUAAAAUAACCCUAAUCCGAACAUUAUUUGAAUCAAUCCUAACUAGCCCGAAUAUGAUUUUAACCCAAACCCAACCUAACUCGCUUAUAAUUAUAACCCAAUGCGAUCCAAAUUCAACUUGAAUAUUUGAUCCGAUCUAAUCCAAUUUGUAUAUUCUAACCCUAUCAACCAGAAACGCAAUUAGGUUGAUCUGAACCCACAUUUGUCCACUCCCAAAGGGGAUCAUGACCCUACAAGCUUUGAAAGUUUUUUGAGAUUUCUAAGUGAAUAUUAAAAAUUAUGUAUAAAAAGACUGAUUUGACCCCUAAACACUUGAUAUAGAAACUUUAUACAUACAAUAGAAAUUUAAUUUUAUAUUUUGUGAAAUAAAGUCAAAGUAACUGAAUUUUUUUUUAUUUUGUUAAUUAUUUUUCUACUAUGACAAAAUGACAAAUAGCCUUGUGCCUAGCCCUUUGACUUUUAUUUUGCUAAUUAUUUUUUUCAUUUCUCUUGCAACAGUAACUUCAAUUAUCAAUCAAAGUCGCCAAAUCAAAAUCUCUGCAGCCUGCAGCUACAAGCAAACUUCUCAAAUUUCGAAAUUCCUUAUGACUACAUAAUAGCUAUAAAUAGAAAAAGCGUCUAAAAUAACUAUGUUUUUCGUUUGAGCUUGAGCUCCCUGAAGAUUUACUCCAUACGUAACAAAAUAUUAGUUUUGCUAGUAAAAUUGCUAACUAUGUUUUUCUUUGUAUUUCCACUCAAGGAUGAAGAAAUUUCCCUAGACUUUUGUGGUGAAUAUCUUACGAACAUAUGAAAAUUUAAUCUUUGGCUGAGACUUGCUUAACAUAAGAGAUGACACUUUGAAGCAAUAGGAGAGAGAGAUAAUAAGCUUUGUUCCCCCAAAAAAAUCUAUCAGAUAUAUUAUGCCCCCGGUUGCUAUUGCUAAAAAUAGUCAUAAUUACUAAAAAAAUAAGUAAUUCUUUUUUUAUAUAUUAAAAUGGUAAACGGGUGGAUAAAAUUUAAAAUAAUUAUUUAACUUUUUAUCUAUUUUGACAUUCGAAUUUUAAGCUCGAGAAGUAAAGCAAUAAAUAAACCUUUUUGAGAGGCUAACUAAAUUCUUAGUAAUUUCAUAUAAUUGCAUUUCAUCAGAACAGUUUUAUCAAAAGCAAUUUUAUAAAUCUUUGUGGAAAGCUUUAAUCCUUAAUUAUCUUUCACAUAUUUUCUUUGUAAUAUGAGGUAAGUCAUGGACCAUAGUAUGGUAUUUAUUGUAAAUAAAAUCAUUAUGAAACUGAUUUUAUUCUUUUUUUUUUUCACAAACAAAGUAUCUAGCUAACUGCAGAUAUAAUGAAUUACUAAUUACCAUUAUUUGAGUCGCUCUCUAAAUUAGAUCUUGGAGUCUGUCAUGGCAUAAUAAAAUUAACGACAUAAUGGCUUUUGAUUUUGCCUACCUGAUAAUAAAAGUUGUCUGCCAUAUAGACAAGAAAUGGAUCCAUACGUUAAAGCAAAAUUGAAAAAUAUAAAAAAAAUAAAUUGCUAGGAGAUGAUUUUAUCUGAAAUUUCACUUGCACGGUAUUGGCUACAAAUAAAUUUGUGAUGAAAUUCAUAACGGAUUAAUAUAAUUGAACGGAAUUACUCUAUACAAUUUCAUAAGUAUGUAUUAUACAAUUAAAAAUCUAUUGAUAUUUAUAAUAAAAUAAUAUAUCUACUAAGUGCUGGGAUAUAUAUUUGUGGGGAAUGAUAAAUGUAGAGAAUUACAGUAAUAAAGGUGGAAGUGGAACUUUAUUAUAAUUAAUUAAUGUGUUUACAAUUCUAUAAGUAUAAUAAAAUAAUAGUAAUAGGUAAAUUGUAGAAAAUUAAUGUGUACUUCAAGGCACAUUACAAAUGUCGCCUUCCUAAAGAUAUUAUUUGUCCCACCAAUUAAGUGAUGCAUAUAGGCUAAACAAAUACACCUCCAGGAUACAAUGAAUCACUUAUUUGUUUGCUUGCGUUGUUCAUCGAUGGAAGCAAACUUGAAUACUCUUGAAUGUUGCAAGCUUGCCAAGAAUCAAUAUAUUAUUCAUGUAGUAAACAAUAUAUUAGAUAUUUGAUGCAUAUAGUAUUGAUGUUAUACAAUAAAAUUUGUUUCAGGAAAGAGGGCUGAAAAGAGAGUGAUGCAAUAUCAUUGUUUCCUUGUUUAAAAAUUAAUUCUAAAUUAGCCAUGACAUGCAAUCUUUUAAUAUUCACAUGUUCUAAAUGAAUAUGCUACAAAGAUAAUGAGUCAAUCAUGUAAGCAGAAGAAACAUUAAUUUUAUUAAUAUUGAGCUUGAGCAUUCCCUAAUACAUGUAUUCUUUCCCAAUAAAGGUACCACCCUUAGACAAUGCAAAUUUGCUUUGACUCAAAUAAGGUACCACCCUAAUUUAGAUACAAGAUUUUUCCUACCUUUAGAUACAUGAUAAACAUCAAUAUGAGUUAAAGGUUUUCCACAAGUGAACUCUAGUUGCACAUUCCCUCUAAUUGAUGCACUGGAGGAAUUUCCCAUCUAAAGAACACUUCAAUCAUCCAUUGCUUUGUAAGAUAUGAAAAAGCUACGAUUCUUGUACACAUACUUGAUUGCACCGGAAUCUAUUCACCAUGCAUUAUCAUGUUCGAGAAUAUUAAUCUUAGAUAUCACGGCCAUAAAUUUUGUCCACAAAAUUUGUGUUCGAACACUUCUUUUAUUUCUUAAGAAGUUGACAGUCUUUUCUAAAGUGGCUAGGCUUUUCACAUUGGUCACAUGUACACUUCUUUUUUUAUUCUGUUGGUUUGAUUCUAUUUGAAAUCAAACUUUUGCUUUUGGUUAUUAAUGCGGUCAUUAGACUGCUUAAGCUCCUUCUCCUCCUCCACAACAUUAAUUUCAGAGGACAUAGCAGUUUGUUCCUCAAGACUAUUAAGUCUAAGUUUCUAUUCAAUAUGAAGACUUUGCUAUGCCUUCCAGGCUAAUUUCCUCUUUGCUAUAUUUAAGACUAUUUUCAUAGUUUUUUCAAGUGGGGGGAAGUUUAUCAAUAAUUGAAGAAAUAAUAAUAAACUUGUUACUUUUCAUGUUGUGUUGGUUGAAUUGAUUAAGAAUGCAAAAAAUCUCAUUAUAUUGUUCAUGCAAACACAGCCUGGUUUACAGAUUUUAGUCGUUGCUUCAUGCAAACACAGCCCAUCCAGGAUGCUCAGGUAUCAAAGAUCCGGCGUUGUUUGAGCUAAGAAGCAAAAGCAAACUAUGUAAUUGUUCAAAUAGAAGGAUUUGCAAGCAUGGUGCUCCAUGCCAGCUGAAAUAUGUAAAGAUAUGCAAGAAUCAAAUUCCACAUAUAGCUUUCGAAGAGGUUCGCGCAUUAGGCUUUUCUAGUUUGUCUGAAUAUUUGGAAAGAUUUGCAAGCAUCAUGUUCCAGUCACAGAACAUCCACGUGAGGAUGCUCAUAAACAUGGCUCCCAUGAACUUGCUGAACGUCUUAAUUAUGAACCGCAAGCUGCCAAUAAGCAGAAUAAUUAUAUCUUUUCCAGUUUUUCUGUCAUGGCUCUUUAUUCCUGUUGUUUGUAAGACCAUGAAAACAAAAAAUUUGAUAUUACAAAUGCUGAUCACUAUUUAUGGUAACGUAUGACGUAUCUAGUAGUACAAAUGCAUAUAGGGUGAAUUUCAGCAUUUUAAUUGACAAGUCAUUUGCUGAUGCUCACCUUUCAAAUGCACUACUGGGUUCUGAUAAUUGAGAGGCUAACUAAAUUCUUAGUAAUUGCAUAUAAUUUCAUUUCAUCAGAACAGUUUUAUCCAAAGCAAUUUUAUAAAUCUUUGUGGAAAGCUUUAAUCCUUAAUUAUCUUUCACAUAUUUUCUUUGUAAUAUGAGGUAAGUCAUGGACCAUAGUAUGGUAUUUAUUGUAAAUAAAAUCAUUAUGAAACUGAUUUUAUUCUUUUUUUUUUUCACAAACAAAUUAUCUAGCUAGCUGCAGAUAUAAUGAAUUACUAAUUACCAUUAUUUGAGUCGCUCUCUAAAUUAGAUCUUGGAGUCUGUCAUGGCAUAAUAAAAUUAACGACAUAAAGGCUUUUGAUUUUGCCUACCUGAUAAUAAAAGUUGUCUGCCAUAUAGACAAGAAAUGGAUCCAUACGUUAAAGCAAAAUUGAAAAAUAUAAAAAAAUAAAUUGCUAGGAGAUGAUUUUAUCUGAAAUUUCACUUGCACGGUAUUGGCCACCUAUAAAUUUGUGAUGAAAUUCAUAACGGAUUAAUAUAAUUGAACGAAAUUACUCCAUACAAUUUCAUAAGUAUGUAUUAUACAAUUAAAAAUCUAUUGAUAUUUAUAAUAAAAUAAUAUAUCUACUAAGUGCUGGGAUAUAUAUUUGUGGGGAAAGACAAAUGUAGAGAAUUGCAGUAAUAAAGGUGGAAGUGAAACUUUAUAAUAAUUAAUUAAUGUGUUCACAAUUCUGUAAGUAUAAUAAAAUCAUAUUAAUAGGUAAAUUGUAGAAAAUUAAUGUGUACUUAAGGGCACAUUACAAAUGUCGCUUUCCUAAAGAUAUCAUUUGUCCCACCAAUUAAGUGAUGCAUAUAGGCUAAACAAAUAUACCUCCAGGAUACAAUGAAUCACUUAUUUGUUUGCAUGUGUUUUUCAUCGAUGAAAGCAAACUUGAAUACUUUUGAAUGUUGCAAGCUUUUCGAGAAUCAAUAUAUUAUUCCUAUAGUAAACAAUAUAUUAGAUAUUUGAUGCAUAUAGUAUAGAUGUUAUACAAUAAAAUUUGUUUCAGGAAAGAGGGUUGAGAAGAGAGUGAUGUAGUAUCAUUAUUUCCAUGUUUAAAAAUUAAUUCUAAAUUAGCUAUAACAUGCAAUCUUUUAAUAUUCACAUGUCCUAAAUGAAUAUGCUACAAAAAUAAUGAGUCAAUCAUGUAAGAAGAAGAAACAUUAAUUUUAUUAAUAUUGAGCUUGAACAUUCCCAAAUACAUGUAUCCUUUCCCAAUAAAGGUACCUGAAACGACCCGCCCCGAAAACCCCUAGGCGAGUCUAUCUAGUCUCAUCAAAACGGACUAGAAAAUCUAUUCAUAAAGAGUCUGCCGAAAAUUCGGCAGAGUCUCCUUUAUAUAUAUAACACUCCCAAUCUACAAAUAUGAAAAUAACACUCCCAAUACAAAUCUCAUAUACAACAAACUCCAGUACUCAACAUACUCAACCAAAAUGCUGAGUCUUAUAUUAUACAAUCCCAAAAGAACAAGAUGACCAAAAUGUCCCAACAAAAACAUUUACACAAUCUAGCACCAUCACGUGGCCAAGACUCAAAAUAUAUAUACAGUCGCUGGGUCAGUCUGGUGUACCUGCAACCUCCUGGUGAGGGGGGAAAAAUAUAAUAAAAGCAGGGUGAGUUUAAAACUCAGUGAGAUCAGUGAGUGGAUAGUAGGUUUGAAAAUUAAAUCUUACUUUAAAAGAAAUAAUCAUAUCAUUUCCAAAUACGGUUUCAUUAAACCAUAAGCGAGAAAUCAGAAAUAAAUCAUUAAACAUUUAAAUCAGAUUACCAACCAUAGAAAUCAUAUCACCAAAUCAUAUAGGAUUCACAAAUCUGAAAAUCAUCAUAAAACAAGUACCCAGGGAAAUAAUCUCGUCAUAUCCGGACCUCAACGGACGGGCAAUGACGUACUAUCUGGGUAACGUCACGCCCCGGAGCUACACAGAUAGACAGGGAAAUACCAUCUCAUAUCUCAUCAUAUCUCUGCAUGCAUAAUCUAGUCCCCAAAGGACAAAAGCGCCCAAGCACACGGCCCAAAGCCUCUGUGUGUACUCAGACGGGCCCCAAAGGCCUGUAUCUCAUCUAUAUCAUCUGUAUCACAAUAUCGGUCUGUAUCUCAUGUCUGUAUCAUCUGUAUUUCAAUGUCUGUCUAUAUCUCAUAUCUGUAUCACUGUAAUCAUACCGCAUGCAUAUGCCCCCAAAAGGCAAAAGCGCCCAAACACACGGCCCAAAGCCUCUAUGUGUGUUUAGACGGGCCCCAAAGGCCUCUCAUCUCAUAUCAUUUAUAUCACUAUAUCUGGAGGGAAGGGUACUGUUUAAUGAUUUUAAAAACAAUCAUAAUACUCAUAUUCUCAUACCUCUUAACCAUAUUUUAAAUCAUACCACACAUUUUAAUAUAAUCUCAACACGUGAAUAAAAUCCAUUUCGAGGGAAUCACAUUAAAUCCAAUUCGAGAAAAAUCGCAUUAAACCCAUUUCGAGAAAUCAUUAAAUCAAAACAUUUAAAAUGCUUAUUCCGCAAACAUGCUUACUAUCAUCGCUAACUAUAAAAAUAAGUUUUAUAUAUUCCACUCACAGUGAUGGUGUUCAGGGUCGGUUAUCGUCCAUGUCCGCAGUCCGGUUCUCGCUCGCGGAUCCUCCUAAAUCAAGGAAACGACAUAAUUAUUUUCCAUAAAUCGGAAUUCCGACUCAAUAUAUGCCAUAAACUCGAAACGAACAUUUAUCCAUAAUUUACAACUCCCGUGUCGAUAAAAUUACUAAAAUGCCCUUGCCGGUGAACGGUCGCCGGAAAUUGGUCAACGACGAUGGGAAGCUUAGGUCUGCUAGUUCAGACCUCGGUGAGUCCAAUGGUGGUGGCUGUGAGUCCCCACGCGCGGUACCGACGGCGGAUCGAGCUUCCCAAGCCGUGAGCUUCCAAGUGGCUAUUCGUCGGCAAUCCGGCCGUUUCAGAUGACGAGGUUGGUCGGAAAAUGAUUCUGGUGACGUGAGGAGUAGAAACCAGCUAGAGGUGUGCCCAAACUCUGGCAAAAUCGACGGCGGCGAAAACGGGUCUUGGCCGCGACUUUUCAAGCUCAAACGCCGGCGUUCCAGUCGGUUUCCGGCGACGAGGAUGGCAGGGUUAUGAUGGCCGGCUUCCAAGCUUCAGAUUGGUACCAAGCUCGGCUGGUGAGGUGGCCGGAAUCGUGAAAUCCGUCCGGGUCAAAGUCGCGGGUCGGGUCGGGUUUCCGGGUAAAAAAUCGGGUCAACUCUCUUUCUCUGUGUUACACGUGCAUGUGUUUUCCUUUGUUUCCAACUUAUUCCUUUGCUUAUAAACUCCUUAACCGCCUCAUGCCAUCUUAAGUGCAAACACCACUGCUGCUAGCUCUAAAUCAUGUGUUGGAUAGUUUUGUUCAUGCUUCUUAAGUUGUCUAGAGGCAUAAGCCACCACUUUCCCAUGCUGCAUCAAUACACAACCCAAUCCAUGCCUAGAGGCAUCGCUGUAAACCACAAAUCCUUCAUUACUAUAUGGAAGUGUAAGAACUGGUGCUGAGGUCAAACAUGUCUUAAGUUCUUGAAAACUUUUCUCACAGUCAUCAUCCCACUGGAACUUAGCAUUCUUUCUGGUUAACCGUGUCAGAGGAGUAGCAAUCUUGGAGAAGCCUUCCACAAAUCUACGAUAAUAACCAGCUAACCCAAGAAAACUCCGAACCUCUGUGACAUUUGUAGGUCGUUCCCAUUUCACAACUGCUUCAAUCUUUUGAGGAUCAACAUAAAUGCCUUUAGCUGAUAUCACAUGGCCCAAAAAAUACUACUCUAUCUAACCAGAACUCGCAUUUGCUGAACUUGGCAUACAACUGUUUUUGUCUCAAAAUCUUCAAAACAGUCCACAAAUGCUGUGCAUGCUCCUCCUCGCUUCGGGAAUACACUAAAAUAUCAUCAAUGAAUACAACCACAAACCGAUCCAGGUACAGGCGAAAUACCCUAUUCAUCAGGUCCAUAAAAGCAGCUGGGGCAUUUGUCAACCCAAAUGGCAUCACUAAGAACUCAUAGUGCCCAUAACGGGUUCUGAAUGCUGUUGUAGGAACGUCAACAUCUUUAAUUCUAAGCUGAUGGUAACCCGAGUGCAAAUCGAUCUUAGAAAAUACUUUUGCCCCUUGGAGUUGAUCAAAUAAGUCAUCAAUACGCGGAAGUGGAUACUUAUUGCGCACCGUAACUUUAUUCAACUGUCUGUAGUCGAUGCAGAGUCUAAAAGUCCCAUCGUUUUUCUUAACAAACAAGAUUGGAGCUCCCCACGGGGACACACUGGGUCUAAUAAACCCUUUCUCCACCAACUCUUGCAAUUGAAUCUUCAGUUCCUUCAAUUCUGCUGGAGCCAUUCUGUACGGUGCCAUAGAUAUCGGAGAUGUUCUAGGGACUAAGUCAAUAGAAAACUCAACUUCUCUGUUAGGUGGCAUCCCAGGAAGUUCAUUUGGAAAUACAUCUGGAAAUUCUUUAACUACUGUAAUAUCCUCCAAUCUCAAUUUUCGGACUUCUGUAUCUAUCACAUGAGCUAAAUAAGCUGAGCAUCCUUUUCUUAGCAACCUUCUUGCACUAAUAGCAGAUAUAACACAUGAGGGUAGAACUCUGCGCUCCCCACAAAAUUUCACCUCAGCUUUCCCUGGCUUUUUAAACACAACGUCCUUUUUGAAACAAUCCACCGUAGCAUAAUGAGAUUCAAGCCAAUCCAUACCCAAAAUAGCAUCAAAGUCAUAAAUCUUUAAGGAAAUCAAAUUCGCCUCAAAUUCAUAAUCACCCAUUCCAAUCAUACAAUCUCGAUACACACUCUGAGCAAGUAAUGACUCUCCGGUAGGUGUACGAACAACUAAUUCGCAAUCUAAUAGUUCGGGCUCUCGCCCUAUAUGCAUAGCAAAAGCACGAGAAACAAAAGAGUGUGUAGAUCCAGGAUCAAUAAGAAUAUGAGCCUCGCGGCCAAGGAUAGAUAAUAUACCCAUAAUAACUCUGGUGCAGCACGUGCCUCCUGCUGCGUCAAAGCAAAAACUCAAGCCUGAGUAUGAGGUCGACCAAGCUGACCUCUCUGACCUGGAGCAGUCGUCUGACCCCUAAAGGUAGAUGUAGAACCUCCUGUCUGCACUCCUCUCUGACCCUGAGUCUGGCCAGAGUAAGGCUGAUACCGUGAGGCUGUCCCUCCUGUAGAGCUAUCACCCUGAGAUAAAGUAGGGCAAAAUCUCCUGAUGUGUCCAGGCUGACCACAUAAAUAACAAACUUUGUCUCCAACACGACAUGGGCCCUGAUGAUUCCUGCCACAUGAAGGGCAAGAAAUCUGCUGAAAACGCCUAGAACGAUCAUCACGAUAUCCCCCACCACUGCGGUCGUACUGUCCCUGAUUCUUGGUAUUACUCCCCACCGAUGGUUGCACAGAGCUAUGACUAACAGCUUGUCUCGAGUCCCCCCUGAAGCCUGUACCCUGAUUCCUUUGCGUACUAUCAGAAUAACUCGUAGGAAUACCCCCUCUCUUGGGCGGCCUACUACUAGAGCCACCCUCUGCCCAGCUCUGGCUACGCUUUUGCUUCAGUGCAUGAAAUCUACGUCCUUCUGCAAUACUGUGCUCUACUCUCCUGGCUGCCUCAACUACCUCUCCAAACUUAGUAUAUCGUGAUGCAGUCACAGUGGUACGAAUCUCAAAUCGGAGGCCAUCCUCGAACCGUCUGCAUCUCUCUCUCUCAUCACCGACUACAGAUGUAGCAAAUCUAGAGAGGUCUAAAAAUUUCUUCUCAUACUCCUCAACUGUCAGAGAUCCCUGAACCAACCGAAAGAAUUCACUUCGUUUAAUAUCCUGAUAUACAGCAGGAAAAUAAUGAUCGUAGAAUUCCUUGCGAAAAAUGGCCCAAGUAAUCGCAGCAUGUCCCUGAUAUCGUCUCUCCACUGUCUGCCACCAAUGAUAAGCUCUAUCCUCGAGCAGGAAAGUGGCGAAGGAUAAUCUAUCAUCCUCUGAACACUUCAUCACAUCAUAAAUACGCUCUAACUUAACAAACCAUGACUCAGCCUCAGGUGGUUCUCCGGAACCAUUAAAACUCUUCGCCCCUAAACUCCUCACUCGCUCAAUAGUAUUUGCAUUACCGACAUGCGCUUGCGUCUGAUUUUGCACAACUGUAGUCAUGAUUUGAGCCAGCCUAUCAAAUGACUGCUCAAUAUUCGGGGCAUCCCCCGGUGUCUGUUGUGCAAUUCCAUGCGUAGAGGAUUCAACUAUCCCCUCAUUCGCGGGUUCACGUUCCCCCGCAGGUACACUACCAGAAGUCAACCCAGCUAUUGGCCUAGUACGGCCACGGCCACGUCUACUACUACGACGAAGCAUGAUGGUGCCUACAAGAGAUAAACUCUAACUUUAAUAAAGAUAAAACUUAUUCUGAUUAAGACAGUGAAGUCUACAGAAUCUAAAACCAUGCUCUGAUACCAACUGAAACGACCCGCCCCGAGAACCCCUAGGCGAGUCUAUCUAGUCUCAUCAAAACGGACUAGAAAAUCUAUUCAUAAAGAGUCUGCCGAAAAUUCGGCAGAGUCUCCUUUAUAUAUAUAACACUCCCAAUCUACAAAUAUGAAAAUAACACUCCCAAUACAAAUCUCAUAUACAACAAACUCCAGUACUCAACAUACUCAACCAAAAUGCUGAGUCUUAUAUUAUACAAUCCCAAAAGAACAAGAUGACCAAAAUGUCCCAACAAAAACAUUUACACAAUCUAGCACCAUCACGUGGCCAAGACUCAAAAUAUAUAUACAGUCGCUGGGUCAGUCUGGUGUACCUGCAACCUCCUGGUGAGGGGGGAAAAAUAUAAUAAAAGCAGGGUGAGUUUAAAACUCAGUGAGAUCAGUGAGUGGAUAGUAGGUUUGAAAAUUAAAUCUUACUUUAAAAGAAAUAAUCAUAUCAUUUCCAAAUACGGUUUCAUUAAACCAUAAGCGAGAAAUCAGAAAUAAAUCAUUAAACAUUUAAAUCAGAUUACCAACCAUAGAAAUCAUAUCACCAAAUCAUAUAGGAUUCACAAAUCUGAAAAUCAUCAUAAAACAAGUACCCAGGGAAAUAAUCUCGUCAUAUCCGGACCUCAACGGACGGGCAAUGACGUACUAUCUGGGUAACGUCACGCCCCGGAGCUACACAGAUAGACAGGGAAAUACCAUCUCAUAUCUCAUCAUAUCUCUGCAUGCAUAAUCUAGUCCCCAAAGGACAAAAGCGCCCAAGCACACGGCCCAAAGCCUCUGUGUGUACUCAGACGGGCCCCAAAGGCCUGUAUCUCAUCUAUAUCAUCUGUAUCACAAUAUCGGUCUGUAUCUCAUGUCUGUAUCAUCUGUAUUUCAAUGUCUGUCUAUAUCUCAUAUCUGUAUCACUGUAAUCAUACCGCAUGCAUAUGCCCCCAAAAGGCAAAAGCGCCCAAACACACGGCCCAAAGCCUCUAUGUGUGUUUAGACGGGCCCCAAAGGCCUCUCAUCUCAUAUCAUUUAUAUCACUAUAUCUGGAGGGAAGGGUACUGUUUAAUGAUUUUAAAAACAAUCAUAAUACUCAUAUUCUCAUACCUCGUAACCAUAUUUUAAAUCAUACCACACAUUUUAAUAUAAUCUCAACACGUGAAUAAAAUCCAUUUCGAGGGAAUCACAUUAAAUCCAAUUCGAGAAAAAUCGCAUUAAACCCAUUUCGAGAAAUCAUUAAAUCAGAACAUUUAAAAUGCUUAUUCCGCAAACAUGCUUACUAUCAUCGCUAACUAUAAAAAUAAGUUUUAUAUAUUCCACUCACAGUGACGGUGUUCAGGGUCGGUUAUCGUCCAUGUCCGCAGUCCGGUUCUCGCUCGCGGAUCCUCCUAAAUCAAGGAAACAACAUAAUUAUUUUCCAUAAAUCGGAAUUCCGACUCAAUAUAUGCCAUAAACUCGAAACGAACAUUUAUCCAUAAUUUACAACUCCCGUGUCGAUAAAAUUACUAAAAUGCCCUUGCCGGUGAACGGUCGCCGGAAAUUGGUCAACGACGAUGGGAAGCUUAGGUCUGCUAGUUCAGACCUCGGUGAGUCCAAUGGUGGUGGCUGUGAGUCCCCACGCGCGGUACCGGCGGCGGAUCGAGCUUCCCAAGCCGUGAGCUUCCAAGUGGUUAUUCGUCGGCAAUCCGGCCGUUUCAGAUGACGAGGUUGGUCGGAAAAUGAUGCUGGUGACGUGAGGAGUAGAAACCAGCUAGAGGUGUGCCCAAACUAUGGCAAAAUCGACGGCGGUGAAAACGGGUCUUGGCUGCGACUUUUCAAGCUCAAACGCCGGCGUUCCAGUCGGUUUCCGGCGACGAGGAUGGCAGGGUUAUGAUGGCCGGCUUCCAAGCUUCAGAUUGGUACCAAGCUCGGCUGGUGAGGUGGCCGGAAUCGUGAAAUCCGUCCGGGUCAAAGUCGCGGGUCGGGUCGGGUUUCCGGGUAAAAAAUCGGGUCAACUCUCUUUCUCUGUGUUACACGUGCAUGUGUUUUCCUUUGUUUCCAACUUAUUCCUUUGCUUAUAAACUCCUUAACCGCCUCAUGCCAUUUUACAACCACAGGUGUUACAGUACCACCCUUAAACAAUGCAAAUUUGCUUUGACUCAAAUAAGGUACCACCCUAAUAUAGAUACAAGAUUUUUCCUACCUUUAGAUACAUGAUAAACAUCAAUAUGAGUUAAAGUUUUUCCACAAGUGAACUCUAGUUGCACAUUCCCUCUAAUUGUUGCAAUGGAGGAAUUUCCCAUCUAAAGAACACUUCAAUCAUCCAUUGCUUUGUAAGAUGUGAAAAGCCUACGAUUCUUGUACACAUACUUGAUUGCACCGGAAUCUAUUCACCAUGCAUUAUCAUGUUCGAGAAUAUUAAUCUAAGAUAUUACGGCCAUAAAUUUUGUCCACAAAAUUUGUGUUCGAGCACUUCUUUUCUUUCUUAAGAAGCUGACAGUCAUUUUUAAAGUGGCUAGGCUUUUCACAUUGGUCACAUGUACACCUUUCUUUUUUAUUUUGUUGGUUUGAUUCUAUUUGGAAUCAAAUUUUUGCUUUUGGUUAUUAAUGCGGGUAUUAGACUGCUUAAGCUCCUUCUCCUCCUCCACAACAUUAAUUUCAGAGGACAUAGCAGUCUGUUCCUCAAGACUAUUAAGUUUAAGUUUCUAUUCAAUAUGAAGACUUUGCCAAGCCUUCCAGGCUAACUUCCUCUUUGUUAUAUUUAAGACUUUUUUCAUAGUCUUUUCAAGAGGGGGGAAGUUUAUCAAUAAUUGAAGAAAUAAUAAUAAACUUAUUACUUUUCAUGUUGUGUUGGUUGAAUUGAUCAAGAAUGCAAAAAAUCUCAUUAUAUUGUUCAAUCACAAGUCUAUUGUCAAUCUUUUUAAAACUAAAAAAAAUUAGAAGUCAAGAAUUUCUUACUUGUGGUGUCUUCUAUCAUGUACUUAGACUCCAAUAAGUCUUAUAUUUCUUUUGCAGUGGAUUUUGUUGUGGUACUUAUGAAAACAAAGUACUAGACACAGCAUUGUAAAUGUGUCUUAUGCACACGUAGACAUCUUGCUUCCACUUUUGCCACACUCGAGUUUCUCAUUCUCAUGUUCUUCAGGCUUUGAUAUUGUAAGAACAUUAACAACAUUGAGGCUUGUCAAUAAGAAAUGUAAUAUUUUUUGCCAACGUAUAGAAGUUGUGACCAUAAAUAUUUCUUUACUAUUGAUUUUGAUGAUAACAAACUUGAUUAAGAUUGAUUAAUCCUUUAAAAGCUCAAAAUAAUUUUCAUAUACUUUUAAAUCAUCACUCUCACUUUAUAAAGACUUUAUAUUCUAUGGAAAUAUUUUUGGUUAUUCUCAUGUUAAUGGUUUCAAUUGAAAAAGCUUUGAGAAUUUUGAUAAUAACAAAUAUUGUUUCAAAUCCUGUAAAUGGAUCUAUUUGACAAGUUUUAUAAAGUGUUGGGUCAUAGUAUAAUUUUAUGAAGUUUUGGGGUCAAACUAUUAUUUUGUAAAAUAGUUCAUUGUAGCAGUUACUGUAGAAAACGAUGAUCCGACAUCUUGAUAAUGGCUCGCCGACAUCAAACAGAACUGAAGAUUAGCCUCCGGACACUAACGACAAUCCGACAACUUGAUAACGGCUAACCGACAUUGCACUGAAUUGAAGAUUAGUCUCUGGACACUAACGGCGAUCAACAUCUAGAUAACGGCAAUCCGAAAAUUUAAAAAUUCUGCCCAAUGGUCAUAUUGACAAUUUAAAACAGCGAUUCGACAUCUAGAUAACGGCAAUUCGACAAUGUGUAGAAAGUCAAUAACGGCUAGUUUUCAGCUCCAGUAAUAAAUAAGCUCAAUCAAAUUCAAACUAAAACGAUUGCAACAAUUAUUAUUGACUAAAGUCUUGAGCAUACAACAUUCAUUGAGCCUUAAAUUCUUGUAUUCAUCUCAUUUACUCACACUUUGAAUCUUCAUUUGUAAUCAAACACAGUGUGAGAGAAAUUUAUUUUGUAACAUUCUUUAAAAUCAAAUUGAGUGAUUGUAAGUGUUGGGAUGCACUUGGGUUAAGAGAUUUGGGAUAAUCUCUUUUUGUAAAGGUUUAUUGACACCUUAGGAGUCAAGUGUAAGCAUUUGAAGCCUUGGUGGCUUACUUAGCGGAAUCAUCAAGCCCGGAAAGUUUAGAGGUGUGGACGUGGGCGAGGUUGGCCAAACCACGUAAAAAUCCUCAUGUUUGAAUCUCUCUUACCUUAUCUUUUUAUAUUGUGAUAAAUUUAUUUGUUAUUGCUUUAAAUUUGUUUUAUAUUUGCAUUGAGUUUUGCUUUAAAAAUUGUAUAAUUUUUAGAAUCCUAAUUCACCCCCCUUGGGUUGCAUUACUAGAAUUUCAUUUGGUAUUAGAGCCUUGUUCUCUUGUUAAGACAUAAUCAUCUAGAGUAAAAGAUCAAUGGCAACCCUAAAUGACUCAACCUUUAGAGAAGGACAAUCCACAACUGGACCACCGUUCUUUGAUGGUAAUGACUAUGCAUAUUGGAAAACUAGGAUGAGAAUCUAUUUACAAGUUUUAGAUUAAGAAAUUUGGGAAGUUGUUUAUGAUGGUCCAUUCAUGCCUAUGUUUAAAAAUGAAGGAGAUGAUAUUCCUAAACCAUCAAGUCAAUGAGUGAGUUAGAAAAGAGAAAGAUGUCCUUAAACUCCAAGGCAAUGAAUGCCUUGUUUUGUGCUCUUGAUAAGAAAGAAUUCCAUAGAGUAUCUAGUUGUGAAAGUGCACAAGAAAUAUGGAAUAAACUUGAAGUUGUUUAUGAAGGGACAAAUCAAGUUAAAGAGAUUAAAAUUAGUAGAUACACUCGUCAAUAUGAAUUAUUCCAAAUGGAACAAAAUAAAAAUAUGUAUUCUAUGUAUACUAGAUUUACGAAAAUAGUGAACACCCUAGGAGCUUUGGGAAAAACUUUCUCAAAUAGUGAGAAAGUAAAGAAAAUCAUUAGCUCACUUCUUAAGGAAUGGAGACCUAAGAGGACUGCUAUUUAAGAGGCCAAAAAUUUAAAUACUUUACCUCUUGAUGAUUUAAUUGGCUCUUUUAUUUAAUAUGAAGAAGACUUAGCAGCCGAAAAAAGGGAAAAGUAUUGUUCUCAAAGCUUCAAAAUUUAAGAGCGAUGAGCAAAGUGAACCGGAUGAUGAGGAGUUGGCCAUGAUAGAAAUGAGGUUUAGAAAAUUCUUCAAGAAAACCGGUGAGCGAAGAAGAUUUAGAAACUUCAAGAAUCAAAAGGAGAAGAAAGAGGCAAUCAUAUGCUAUGAAUGCUAAAAGCCCGGCCAUAUAAGAUCGGAAUGCCCACUUCUCAACAAAUUCAAGAAGAAAGCCAUGGUUGCUACUUAGGAUGAUAGCGAUGAAGAUUCAAGUGAUGAAGAUGAAUUGCAUGAAGCAUCAAACCUAACACUUAUGGCAAUAGGAGAUGAUGAUGAUCUCAAUGAGGUAAGUGAUCCUACCUAUGAUGAGUUGUAUGAUGCUUUUAAAUAAUUACAUGAUGAGUUGAUGAAAAUUAGUAAAAAGAAUGCAUGCCUUAAAAAGAAAAUGCUAGAACUUACAAAUGAAAAGGAUGCCCUGGAAAAAUGCAAUAAUGAGAAGAUAAAAGAAUUAGAAUUAGAGAAUAAAAUGUUACAUGAUAAAACUUUAGCUCUUAAAGGUAAACAAAGCACUUAUGAACAUGAAAAAUCACAUGUGGAUGAGUUAAUGAAAGAGAAUGAAGUGCUUAAGAAGAAAAAUAAUGAACUAAAUGAAAUUGUGCUAAAGUUUACAAAUGGACAAAAGAUGUUGGAAAACAUGUCAAUUCACAAAAAAUGUGUGUUUGAUAAAGGAGGUACUGGAUAUAAGCCAAACUUAAAACAAAAAUAUUAUAAAACUACUUUGUGAAAAGUACUUCUAUUAACAAUCAAAUUGUAUGUCAUCAUUGUAAUCAAGAUGGACACAUGAAAAAUAGAUGUCCAGUAAAAAGAAAUGCAUAUUAUGGUGUGAAAUGUAUUUGGGUUCCAAAAGGAACCAUUGCUAACAUACAAGGACCCAAGAAGUUUUGGGUACCUAAAACUUAGAAACUUUUUCUGCAGGGAUUAAAGAAAAAGAAAAAUAAGUGGUUCUUGGAUAGUGGUUGCUCAAGGCACAUGACCAGAAACUAUGCAUGGUUUUCAAGUUUCACCACAAUCGAAAAUGGUGGAGAUAUUUCUUUUGGAGAUAACUCAAAAUGAAGGUACUUCUCAAUCACUCCCCAAAGAGUGGAGGUAUGUUUCUUCUCACCUUAAGGAUGUAAUUUUAGGAGAUCCCUCACGAGGUAUUACAACUAGAUCAUCACUUAGGAAUACUUGUGAGCAUAAUGCAUUUAUUUCUCAAAUUGAACCCAAAUCCUUUGAGGAUGCGGAAAAUGAUGAAUCUUGGAUUAUGACAAUACAAGAGGAGUUAAAUCAAUUUAAAAGAAACAAUGUGUGGGAAUUAGUUCCUAAACCGGAACAUCAAUCUUUCAUAGGUACUGUUGGUGUAUAAAUACUAAUGCUAUUGGUGUCAAUGUGCAAGUGCACACAACAAGUAAUAAAGUGAUGAGUAUUCAAGAUCGUCUCCACAAGGAUUGAUGUUAUCAGAUUUGCUACAGCAAUCUUAACAGUGCAGAUUUUGUGCUAAAAUAAAAUAAACAAUUAAUGAAACUAAUGUACUAAUUAAAAUAAAAACGCAAUAAAUAAAUGCAACAAAGUAAACUAUCACGUCAAGCUCAAGGAUAAAACUAAUGGAAAUAUAUAGUAGUUGAGUGACUAAACUCUUCUAAUGGUCUUGACUAUUUUCUAAUGGUUGGCUCGGUUGCUGCAGUAUUUGCUACAGCACUGGCCAGAAUCCUUAUGUAUCCUCAACUGUCGCAUGUUGGAUAUCUUAUAUCUAUAUGCAACCUAACAGUGAUCAGUUGUUAUGCCAACAUAAGAUAUAGCAUUACAUGCUUAGAUUCCAUUCACCCUACAAGGUGAAUCCAUAUGUCUAGUUCAUCACUAAUUUUAAAUGAAGCAUGGCCCUUUUCGAAUAAGUUAAACUCAAUCCAGGAAACUCAAUCUAAACCAAGUAUUGCUCUGAUAUGUUCCGCUAAGAUAGGCCCUUUUGCGGCUCUCUCCUAACUUGUAUUAUUAAAUGGGUGAUCAACCAAAAUAAUGAAUAAAAAUAAAUACUAUCAAAACAAACUGCUACAGUAAACAUGCAACAACACAUGUAUUUAGUCAAUAAACCAUCAAGAUUGUUUAUCACUCAACCACAAAUAAAUUUAGUUCAUGGUUUGCAAAAAAAAAAAAUAAAGAACAAAGUUUUAGCCAUGAAAUGCAUCCCCAUGUAUAAACAGAAAACACGAAAACAAGAGAAGAAUAAGAAUGAUUGAGCUCCCAAUUGAUUUCUGCAAAUUCUCCUCUUGUGCAGCCCUUAAUCUCUCUCUUGAAUCUUGUUUUUCUUUUGUUUCUUUGUGUUUUUCUCCUUGGGUGACGGCUCCCUCUUUUCCUUAUGAUGUGUGCUUCUUUUAUAGUUGAAAAUUAGGGUAAACGGAAGCCUAGGGCGCGCAUAAGUCAAAUUAGGAAACUGUAGAUCGCAAUUCUGCAAGUAUCCCGCGUGAAAUUUUCUCUGUCAUUGUUCCAGGAUUGCUACAGCAAUGGUUGCUACAGCAAUAUCUACAACAACUGCAUUGUUCCAGAUUUGUUUCAACUCUUUUUUAGCCAUGUUCUUUCCUUAUUUUUGCAACCCUAUUGCAUAGCAUUCCUUCCAUGAAUUAUAAACUUCUGGAAACCUACAAUUUUGCACACAAUUUGAGCACAAAUUACUUUAAAUCGAGCAAAACUUAUUAAGACUAAACUAAAAUGAAUAUUUAUGCAAAAUGUAACAAAAUACAAUAGAAACACAUCAUUUACUCUUUAAACAAUAUUGAUUUAAGUCUGAAAGUGCCAUAAUAACUCUCAUUUUAUAGAGUUAUCACACUCCCAAACUUAAACCAUCACUUGUCCUCAAGUAAUGACAAUAACACUAACACUUCAAUCACACAAUCAUUCAACAAAUAACUUAGCUCUGUCAUCAAAUUUGUAAGGAUUCUUCAACCCUCAUAUCACAUUCUUAAUCACACAAAAUAACCAUAAUAGUUUAGUUCUAGAACUAGGCUUCAUUCUGUCCAGAGUGUGUGUGUGCCACUUUGAUCAAGUUUCAGAGGUGCUACAACAUUACACAGGCAUAUAAUUCAGAGAUAGAACACAAAUAUAUUCACAUAUGAGGGAGUAGAAUUCACCAAUAAACUCAAACUGUGCUACAAUAAUAAUACUUUUUUUUUUCAGUUAAACCCUUCAAUGCAACAUUGAGCUUUCAUGUGAGUGCCCAUCACUUGUAAUGACGACACCCAAUUACUCACUCAAAAUAUUUGUUAGAGUUGCUGCAGCAACACAUUUAGGAUGUUAUAUCUAGGUCUUGCCUUUGGACGCCUUUGACUCAAGGCUGAACAUUGGGCUCAUGAACAGACCAAAUUACUCAGUAUCCUAGGGAGUGGACCUCUUUAUUUUUCAUUCCUUCAUCACCAUUUUUUUCUUUUUUUUCAAUAUAUAAUUGCUGCAGCAUUGCUCAUAACUCUUGCUGCCUUUGGACUCAAGUUUGUAUAUGGGGUACACACUCAACCUUGGUUACUCAGCAACUUAAGCCAUUGGAGCAAAAUUUAUUUCAUAACAAGCACAGUUCAACAAAAAUUUUCCCCCAAACUUGAGAUAUUUUCUACUCUUUUUUGGUUUUCCUGGCUCUGCUACUGCAUUUUCAUAAAACUCAACCAAAGUCUAAGUGUCGGGACAGAAGUUCAACCCCUAUCUAUAACUAUCUCUACUUGGCUUUCUCAUAAAUACUGAAUAGCACUCAAUUUAUCUUCAUGAGGUUUUCAAAUUCAUACACAAAUAUUAGAUAACAAAGCUUCAUACAACACAAGCAUAAAUACAUGCACUCAGAAACAUAACCCCCCCAAACUUGAGUGAUGUUGUGUCCUCACAAGCACACAAAACAAAACCACAUAAACCAGACAUGUAUACACUAAAUAAAAGGACAUGCAUAAUGAAUUAGAAAAUUAAAACUAAAUGAAAGAAAAUUUUUGCAGCAAGAAGUAAAAUAAACUAGCGGUUAGGGGUACUGCCCUGUUACUGGAAGCACUGCUGCAUCAUAGGCUGUAAAAGGUCACUUUUUCUUUGAUAUACUUCUCAAACGCUCCUUAUCAUAAAAUCUGAUCAAUCCAUUUACUGCUGCAAAAGCAAGAAAUGCCUCUAUUGUUUGAGAAUCUUCUGUUAUAUGUCAUGCUGUAAGUGAUGCUGCAACAAUUCUUUCCUGCUCUUUUUUUCGUAUUUUUUUGUUUUUUUUUACCUGUUGCAAUUUAACACAAAGACAUAAAAAACUAGAUGCACACUUAAAAUAACAACAAGACAAAUUCAAUAAUUUAAAAACUAAAUUUAAUGCUUUAAAAAGUUAAAAUAACUUUCCUUAUUGGGUUGCCUCCCAAUUAGCGCUUGAUUUUAGGUCUUUAAGCAUGACCUUUCUUGUUUCCUCAACCUCGAUCCUUUAAGAACCGAUCCUUCAUUAGGCUGUUCACCUCAUCUCCCAUAUAGUGCUUCACUCUUGGCCCAUUAACCACUAAGCCUGUUUAUCUCGAGACCCGAAAGCUCGGUCGAGAGAUUAUGUCUGCGAUCGGAUUUUUUAAGAAGCAUGGGAAGUGGGAAAAGACAACAUCCUCUAAGAAUGAAGACACUUUUAUUGCUCCAGAGGAUGAUCGCAUGCUAAAUGAUGUCUAUUUCAUGGGUGAGUUACCUGACUUCCGCCUUAGGGCUAGACCGUGUGCCCCUCGCCGAGCAACAGCAGCAGCAUCCGCAGCAGCUUCCUCUUCGGAUGACGAGCUAGCUGAGCCAGCUGUCCCUCCUGCAGCAUCUUCUGCCUCUGAGGACCGCUUUUAGCAGCUCUUCGACAAGAUGGAUACACUCUCCUAGUAGCAGCAGCAGCUUCAAUCUGAUUUUGUGACUUUUCGGCAGCAGAUAUUAAAUCAGCAGAUGGAGUUACUUGCUGGACAGUGUCGCAUUCUUGGUCACCUUGGCUAUGAUCCUGGAAGUUCCUCUUCACCACCCCCAUCUUAAUUUUCUGCCCCUAUGAUUUUUGCACAAACAUUACUCAUUUCAUGUAGUUUGUUGUGGUACUUUUCGUUUUUUUGAUUGUUCUUGUGAUGCUUUUAUGAUGUUUUUAUUGGAUAUGUGAAUUUUAUUUAUGCAACGACCUGCCCCGACCUCCACAGGGCGAAUCUUACUGAUAGAUGCUUAAAAAUAUAAUAAUAAUAAAUAAUAAUAAUCCUUUUACAAUCCAUAAAAAUUAUAUCCUUGAAAAUACAAAUAUAAAACGCAAACUGCAGCGGAAGAAUUUAAAAUUCAUGCCAAACCAUCUAAUUCCUCCAUUCAAGUCCUUCUCGACGAUCAUCACGAAUCAAUCCUAAUUUACGAAAACUGAAUUACAAUAAACUAUAAUGAGUACGAAACUCAAUAAGUAAACUAGUUUUGCAUAUACCAAAAUACAUACAUACAUAUAGAUAGUGCAAAUGAAUGGCGUGCCAUGAUAUUCGAAAACAUCGUAAAAAAAAUAAUUGAAAUCUCAUUAUGUCUUUCUCAAACUUUCACAUUCUCUUUCAAACCACUUACUUGAGCUACCUUUAUUCGAUUACCGCUUAGUAGGACACUCCCUUAACUUUCAUAAUUUUCAUAACUUUCAUACUCUUUGUGCUUCUCGCCAAUGCGUCCUUCGCCCACUUAUCUCAUAACUAUAUAAACAUCUAGAGUGUCUUCCACUAAGCCAAUAACGAAUUCAAGCAUCCAAGCUAAAACUGUAAAACAAUCUUUCUUUCUACAAAUUCCAUUUGGCUAAAAUUCACUUUCUCAUUUUAUAGAAAACAUAAUGCAUUUCGUGCUCAUGCCAAUGAAAUAUUCACACAUACGUAUGCCCAUGUCCAUAAACACACAUAACAACACAUCAUAUCAAAAUAUCGUAUAAACACAUGGGCAGAGCAUAUAAAUCAAUAUCCGUACUUAUAUAAAAAUAGGCUUUCCAAACAUGUCAAACAUAUAUAUUGUUUAUUGUGAUUCGUUUGGAAAUCUAGUUUACUUACCUCCCGGUAUCCUUGAGUAACAAAUGCACAUCGAUAUCAUCGGCCUAAAAAUAAAUAAAAAUACUCUCAUAAGAAUAAAAUUAAACCAUAAUCAUAUACUCCAAUAUUCUCAAAUUCCUCAAUAUAAUCACAUUCCAUACUUCACCUCAAAUAAUCUUAAUUUAAAUCAUAAAUCAUCAAAAUACUGAUAAUUCUUAAAAUUUCAAAAUUACCUGCAAAUAUCAAAAUUACCAAAAUGCCCUUGAAUUCAAUAUUACCAAAAUACACUCAAAUAUCAAAAUUACCAAAUUAACCUCAAAAUCAUAAAUUACCAAGUUUAUCCUCAAUUUCAAAUAUUACUAAAAAACCCACAAAAUUUGAAAUUACAAAAUUGCCCUUAGAUUGUGAAAUUACCGAAAUACCCUUGCUGGUCAACGGUCACCAGAAUUCAACCGACGGCAACGGGAAGCUUAGAACUGAAAGUUCAAGCGACGCUGAGUCCAAUGGUGGCGGUGGUGACCUCCCACGCGCGGUGAUGGCUCCAGAUCGAGCUCCCGAAGUCGUGAAUCCUUCAACGGCUAAUCAAUGACAAAAUGACGUCCCCAACGUGAGUGGUUAGUCGGAAAUGGUCAAAGGAACAAAACCCAAGUGAUGCCUUCACUAGAAACCAGCGAAAUCAUGGUGAAUCGAGGCGGCGAUUCCGCGGAACUUCAAAGCUUCGAUCGGUGGCUUUUCGAUUGAUUUCUGGUGGCAAGGACUGCAUGGAUACAUUGCUCGUCUCUCAAGCUUCAAAUCGGUACCAACCUUGACCGGAAUGGUGGCCAGAAAUGGGAGAACCGGCUGAGUCGCACUCACGGGUCGGGUUGGAUCCGGUUCGGUUUCUCCUCUCUCUCUCAAUUUAUAAGGGUAGUCAACAGGGUCAAAAUCGGGUGUGGGGUAUUACAAUUUAUGAUUUCGUUGAUUUUGAUGACAUGUUUGGUUAUUGUUCAUGAUUAUAUUGAAUUUGUUGGAAUGGAGGUUGGUUGAUAAGUUGGAAAGUAUAUAUGGGAGUGUUUUAACUAUUUGUAUUGUUGAGGAUAUGUUCAUUUUUAUAGGGAGAUUCUGCCAAAAUGUUUCCAACAUGGGUACUCUCUGAACUUCUCAUUUUCACUCUUUUCGUGCUCAUUUCUUUUUUAUGAUUAAGGGGGGAGAUAAUUGAUCAAUUCAAUCUGUUCUGUUUAAAUUUUUUUUAUGAGAUUAAAAAUUGAUGAUAUAAUUUAUCAAUUCAAUCUGUUCUAUUUAAUUUCUUUUUAUGAGAUUAAAAAUUGAUGGGCACAUAUUUAGGGGAAGUUAAAUUCCUUAAAUAUUUUACUUAGGGGGAGCACAUAUUUAGGGGGAGCAGGAGCAAAAUUGCACAAAUAUUUUCUUGAAUAGUUUGUCAUGAUCAAAAAGGGGAAGAUUGCUAACAUAAAUAUUUCUUUAUUAUUGAUUUUGUUGAUAACAAAUUUAAUUAAGAUUGAUUAAUCUUUUGAAAGCUCAAAAUAAUUUUCAUGUACUUUUAAAUCAUCACUCUCACUUUAUAAAGACUUUAUAUUCUAUGGAAAUAUUUUUGGUUAUUCUCAUGUUAAUGGUUUCAAUUGAAAAAGAUUUGAGAAUUUUGAAAAUAAAAAAUAUUGUUUCAAAUCCUAUAAAUGGAUCUAUUUAACAAGUUUUAUAAAGUGUUGGGUCAUAGUAUAAUUUUCUAAAGUUUUGGGGUCAAACUAUUAUUUUACAAAAUAGUUCCCUGUAGCAAUUACUGUAGAAAAUGGCUAUCCGACAUCUUGAUAACUGCUCGCCGACAUCGAAUAGAACUAAAGAUUAGCCUCUGGACUAACGGCGAUCCGACAACUUGAUAACGGCUAACCGACGUUGCACAGAAUUGAAGAUUAGUCUCUGGACACUAACGACGAUCCGACAUCUAGAUAACGGCGAUCCAACAAUUUAAGAAUUCAGCCCAACGGUCAUGUUGACUAUUUAAAACGGUGAUUCGACUGUGUGCAGAAAGUCAAUAAUGGCUAGUUUUCAGCUCCAACAAUAAAUAUACUCAAUCAAAUUCAAACUAAAACGAUUCCAACAAUUAUUAUUGAGCAAAGUCUUGAGCAUACAACAUUCAUUGAGCCUUAAAUUCCUGUAUUCAUCUCAUUUACUCACACUUUGAGUCUUCAUUUGUAAUCAAACACAUAGUGUGAGAGAAAUUUAUUUUGUAACAUUCUUUAAAAUCAAAUUGGGUGAUUAUAAGUGUUAGGAUACACUUGGGUUAAGAGAUUGGGGAUAAUCUCUUGUUGUAAAGGUUUAUUGACACCUUAGAAGUCAAGUGUGAGCAUUUGAAGCCUUGGAGGCUUGCUUAGUGGAAUCCUCAAGCCCAGAAAGCUUGGAGGCGUGGACAUAGGCGAGGUUGGCCGAACCACAUAAAAAUCCUCAUGUUUGAAUCUCUCUUACCUUUAUCUUUUUAUAUUGUGAUAAAUUUAUUUGUUAUUGCUUUAAAUUCGUUUUAUAUUUGCAUGCUUUAAAAAUUGAAUAAUUUUUAGAAUUCCAAUUCACCCCCCUCUUGGGUUGCAUAACUAGAAUUUCACUAAACAUGGCCUCUAUUUAUAAAUAAACAUGUGCCCUCCAUUUGGAUUGUCAUUUUUCAUGAUACCCAUUCAUUUAUGGUCAUUGGAUCAAGAUUUGAUUUUAAUCAAUUGUCUAUAUUGGUCCAUCACCAUUUCAAAUGAAAUGACAAUAUGAAAUGAUACAUUCUUAAGUGGAAAGAUACCUUUUAUAUGGGACAAUUACUUGGACAUGUUUUUAUAAUAAAACAUCAUUUAUUUUAAAUUGUUACAGCACUAAGAUUAUUCUAGGUUAAGUUAAUCUAUUAUAUAUAACUUCAGAAGGUUCAUCGGUAGAUUGUUUUAAGUUUUUGUCGUAGUUUACAAAUAUUUUGUUACUUAUAAUGUAAGAAAUUUACAAAUGUUGGUGCUGAGUAAUCUGCAUAAUUAUUAUGAAUUAGAGAAACAGGGCAGAUGUUGUACAAUUAUUGUUGUGGUGGAGCGGAAAGUUAGCCCGAGACGGUGACGGCUAUUGGGAUUUCUUUAAUUUGCAGCAUAAAAGCAUUUACAUUGACAUCGACUCAAGGGUAAAAAUUAAAUAUCUCAUGUAGCAUAAGAAGAAUGCAAAAAUGCUUGAAUGAGCAUUCUGACUGAAUACACAAAAGCUACUUUCCCUUGAGCACUUUCGCAACAAAAGCAAAUGUAAAAUUUAGCAUUUAAAUCUAACAUCAAAUGGCUGAUGCCAUCGUUUCCAUCCCUUGGGGGAACUGAAUUCCUCUACCUGACAUUACAGUUUGGAGCGGCUCUUACCUCAGGCAACUUAGGAUAAUUUAGGUGGUUGUUCAGGACCCCACAUUUAACCUAGGACCCCAUUAUAAAUGAAGGUUUCUAAUUUAAUUCCUAAAUUAUAGUUAUUAAUUAUUGAUUUAUAUUUAUUAUUUAUAACUAUAUUUUCCAUAAACAAACUACUAGAUUCUUACAAAAUCCCCUUUUAACAAUAUAAUUAACAAUUAUAAUCCAUUUAUUUCCUCCAUUUAUUUCAUUUAAAACUCUAUAAAGGCCACACCUUUUUUAAAUUAUUAUCCAUUAAUAUCUUUUUCCAAUAAAAAAAAACACAAAACCUUCAUUGCUUUGGUGAAAAAACUACUUUCUCUACCUUACUUUUUGCAUAAGAAAGAAAAGAAAAUUAAUUGUUUUACUUUCUUUUGAUCAUUGUUGCUCAAAGCCUCAAUCCAUCAAAGUUAAAUUUCUUAAAUUUUCAGGUUUUAUCUUCCAAUUCUCUUAUUAUUUUUACAAAGAAACAAAAACACCUAAAUAACACAAUUAAUUAAAUUUCUUAAAUUUUCAGGUUUUAUCUUCCAAUUCUCUUAUUAAUUAAUUGUGUUAUUUAGGUGUUUUUGUUUCUUUGUAAAAAUAUUAUUCUGCUCAUAGGUUGUUCGCUUUUAAUUAUCUAGCAUAAUUGUUUGCAUGAUUACUCUUGUUUCCUUAGAAAAAAAAAAAAUGUCUACUAAAAACUAUGCAUCAUGAUACAAAAAACUUCAUAAAAGGAGAAGAAUAGAAAAGUUAGCUUAAUCUAAAAACGUGCUAUUGAUAAAAAAUUAUUUAAGAUCAACCAUGUCAUAGGAAAGAUUAAAUAGGUUAACUAUAUUAUCUAUUGAGAAAGAUAUAUUAGCAAAAUUAGAAUAUAAAAAGUUGAUUAAUAAUUUUGCAUCUCAGAAAGGUAGAGAAAUUUAUUUUAAAUAAAUAAAGCUUUAAUAAAAUUAAUACACAUAUUUCAUCUCAAAUUUUUUAGAAGGUCUAAUUAAAUCAAUUUAUUUAAGACCUAAAAUAUGAUUGAGCCGCCUUGAAAUUGCAGUAAGAUAGAAAAGUGAAAUAGACAGAACACUCGCUCAUACGUAAAGAUGCGACGAAUUUGAGAAUAUUUAUUAUUAUGUGCCAAAUUCCUAAUGUGUAGGAAUUUAAAAAUGUUAGUGCAGAACAUGUGUUUAUCGGUGGAGUAGAAUCAGGGAAAUUAAAGAUAAGCAUAAUUUUUGCAUCCAAUGCCAAAUUCCCCCAGGUAGAGAGUGGGGACUCCUUUGCAUAAAAGUUGUUAAAAGUUUAUUGUUAACAAUAAAAAUAACAUGCAGAUAUAGUAUUUUAGGUUAUUGUUAAUAGUUUUACAAUAAUAAAAAUCAUUUUGUUAGAUCGUAAAAUGUAGUACUCACACUCUAUUUUGUGCAAAAGUCUGCGAGAAAGGAUUUUAGAUUUACCUAACGGUGAAGUUGGGAACUUGCUUUUUUACCUAGGCUAAAGUUAUUUCAAUAAAUUCUGAUCGUGGAGACUACCAAGAGUUUUCUUUAGUCAUAUAUAUUUAUUUUUUAGGGACUAAUAUGAAUAUUCCUAAUUUUAUCCAUUAUUAAAAAAACAAUGUGCUAAUUUACCAAUAUGAUUUCUCCAAUCUUUUUUCUUUUCGUCAUUUAUUCCUUUGUGAAUUUGAGUUAAUGCUUGAUAUUAUUUUUGUGCUCACUUUUUAAAGUAGAAGAUUAUGAAAAAGUGAACACACAAAAAGCAUAAAAAUCAUUAUUAGAUCCAAAUUUGUGCUAUUUCAUACAUAACUUGAGAAUAUUUAUAAUUACGCAUGAAAACUAGUGGAGUAGAAUCAGGGAAAUUAAACGUUCUACAAUCAUUGACGUGUGGGGUGGGGAUAAGCAUAAGCUUUUUCUAUGCAGUAUAAAAGAAUGCAAUAACUCCUUUUCUUUCAGUAUCAUCGCAACAAAAGCACAUCUAAUAACUCUUCAGAAUUCUCGUCUUCUUUGUCAGAAUGGUUGAUGCGAUCGUUUCCUCCCUCCUGGAGCAGCUGAUCUCUGUUGCGGCUGAUGAAGUGAAACAACAGGUGAGGCUUGUGACUGGUGUCCGAGAAGAAGUGAAAAAGCUUACCAGCAAUCUUCAAGCCAUUCGAGCUGUGCUGGACGAUGCCGAGCAAAGGCAAAUGCAGCAAGACAAAGCUGUUACUUUUUGGCUGGAUCAGCUCAAAGACGCGUCCUACGACAUGGAAGAUGUGUUGGACGAGUGGGUCUUUGCAAGGCUCAAAUUGCAAAUUAAGGGCGUUGAUGAUGACAAUGCUUUUUCCCUUGCUCCUCACAAGAAGAAGGUACGUUCCUUCUUUCCUGCUGUAUCAAACUGCUUUGGUAGUUUCAAACAACUCAGUCUUCGUCAUGACAUUGCUGUCAAGAUUAGGGAAAUCAAUGAAAAGCUAGAUGAUAUUGCCUCCCAAAAAGAUAGGUUUAAAUUUGUUGAGAAUGUGAGUAACCGUGUUAAAAAACCGAAACAAGCGCCAACCACCUCCUUGAUUGAUGAGGGAGAGGUCUGUGGUAGAGUUGACGAGAAAAACGAGCUCUUAAGCAAGUUGUUGUUUGAAAGUAGUGAACAACAAAAAGGCCUUCAUGUCAUCUCACUAGUUGGGUUAGGGGGCGUAGGUAAAACCACUCUUGCACCACUGGCCUAUAAUAAUGAUGAGGUGAAAAGAAAUUUUGAAAAAGUUAUAUGGGUGUGUGUAUCACACACUUUUGAGGAGAUUAGGGUUGCCAAUGUAAUCAUUGAAGGUCUAGGUGAGUCAGCUUCUAGUUUAAGCGAAUUCCAAUCUCUUCUAAGCCAUAUCCAUGGAUCAAUUGUAGGAAAAAUUUUUUUUCUUGUCUUAGAUGAUGUAUGGGAUGGGGAUUAUAAUAAAUGGGAACCAUUCUUCCAUUGUCUAAAGCAUGGUCUCCACAGAAGUAAAAUUUUGGUUACCACACGUAAUGAGUCAGUUGCACGUAUGAUGGGAUCAACAAAUAUUAUCUUCAUUGAGCAAUUGAUUGAAGAGGAAUGUUGGUUGUUGUUCAAGCAGUUAGCAUUUUCCGGUCGCUCUUUCGAGGAUUGUGAAAAAUUAGAACCAAUCGGGCGAAAAAUUGCACGCAAGUGCAAAGGCUUGCCUCUUGCUGCAAAGGUAACAGGGAAUCUCUUAUGCUCUAAAGUACAAUAAAAGAGUGGCAAAAAAUUUUAGAUAGUGAAAUGUGGAAAGUAGAAGAGAUUGGGCAAGGCCUUUUUGCUCCAUUGUUGUUGAGUUAUAAUGAUUUGCCCUCCAAGUCUAUGGUAAAACGAUGUUUUUCAUAUUGUUCUGUCUUUCCGAAAGACUACAAUAUAAAAAAAAGAACUAAUUUCACUAUGGAUGGUUCAAGGUUACCUUAAUGCAGAAGAAGACGAAGAGAUGGAGAUGACUGGGGAAGAGUAUUUCAACAUUUUAGCAGCAUGCUCUUUCUUUCAAGAGUUUAAAAAAGAUGAUGAUGAUGAUGAUGAUGAUAUUAUGAGCUGCAAGAUGCAUGACAUAGUACAUGAUUUUGCCCAAUUUGUAAGUAGAAAAGAAUGUUUGUGGGUAGAAAUUAAUGGUACCAAGGAAUCAGUCAUAAACUCUUUUGGUGAUAAAGUCCAUCACUUAGGGUUAAAUUUUGAAGGAGGAGCUUCAUUUCCUAUGUCCAUUCAUGGACUUAAUAGAUUGCGGACCCUCCUAAUUUAUUUCCAAAGUCGUUCCAAUCCGUCUCUUAAUAGUAGCAUCCUUUCGGAGUUAUUUAGUAAAUUGGCAUGUUUAAGGGCAUUAGUUAUAGGGCAACAGAACUUUAUAUUUGAUCCUUACCCAAAUUUGAUUAGAGAAAUUCCAGAAAAUGUCGGAAAAUUGAUACAUUUAAAAUAUCUUAAUUUUUCUGAAUUAUGUAUAGAGAAACUGCCUGAGACUUUGUGUGAAUUAUAUAAUUUACAAAAGCUAGAUAUUAGGUGGUGCGAAGAUCUUAGAGAAUUGCCGGCGGGGAUUGGGAAGUUAAAGAACAUGAGGAGUUUACUAAAUGGUGGCACUCCUUCGCUGAAGUACAUGCCAAUAGGGAUUUCCAAAUUAACCAGUCUUCGAACGUUAGAAAAGUUUGCUGUGGGCGGAGGUGUUAAUGAUAUCAGUACGUGUAGGCUUGAAUCUCUAAAAAAUCUUCAACUCCUUCGAGAAUGUGGAAUAGAAGGACUGAGUAAUGUGUCACAUUUAGAUGAGGCUGAGAGAUUAGGACAUCACAAUAUGAAAAACCUCCUUCGUUUAUCUUUUGAGUUUGACGAGGAAGGUGAAGAAGGGAGGAGGAAGAAUCAACAACUUCUGGAAGCCUUACAACCGCCUUUGAAUGCAAAAGAAUUAGGGAUUGUGUCCUACGGAGGCAACAUAUUUCCCAAAUGGUUGACUUCACUAACCAAUCUAAGGGAUUUAAGACUUAAAUCGUGCGUUAUCUGUGAGCAUUUUCCUCCCUUGGGAAAAUUGCCGCUGGAAAAACUCACCCUUUACGGCCUGUAUGGUGUGAAAAGAGUGGGUAAUGAGUUUUUGGGAAUCGAAGGAACCAGUGAGGAUGACCCAUCUUCAUCUUCAUCAUCAUCAUCAGUCAUUGCCUUCCCCAAAUUGAAAUCACUCCACGUUGGGGCAAUGGAAGAAUUGGAAGAGUGGAAUUAUAGGAUUACAAGAAAGGAAAACAUCUCCAUCAUGCCGCGUCUUUCUUCCUUGACGAUUUGGCAUUGCCCCAGAUUAAGGGUGCUGCCGGAUUACCUUUUUCAAUCGACGACACUGCAGAAAUUGAGUAUUUCUUAUUGUCCAAUUAUGGAAGAACUGCCCAUUCUAGAAAGACAUACCACGUCUUUCUUCCUUGGAAAUUGAGUAUUGCCCCAAAUUAAAGGUGCUGCCGGAUUACCUUCUUCGGACGACGACGCUGCAGCAAUUGAGUAUUCAGGGAUGUCCUCUUCUGGAAAACCGUUAUAGAGAGGGGAAAGGAGAAGACUGGCAUAGGAUAUCUCACAUUCCCCACAUCGAGUGGUAAAUUCAAACAACGACACUGCAGACAUUGACAAUUUGGGGUUACAGAGAAGGGGAAGGAGAAGACAGGCAUAAGAUAUCUCACCUUCCCCACAUCAUGCGAUCGGCGUAAGAUAUCACUCGCCGGUAAUUUCUCCUCCUCCACUGAUUUACUCUGUUGUUGCUUGCAAUAAAAUUAAUAAAAAUAAUCAUAUUUUGAAUUAAAAUUCUAUAUAUUGCCCAAUGUCUAACAGGAAUAUACAAUAUUUUCUAAUAUUUUGAUUUGCGUAUUGAAUUUAACUAUUUACUUCCACCAUUAAUUUAAUGGGUCACUUUAUGAUGCUAUUAUAAAAAUUACAGAAUCAAUCAUAGUAUAAAUAUGUAGUGUUAAAUUUAAUCAAUUGGUCAUAAAGGUUAGUUAGGAUAAUAUUUUAAUUUCAAUUAUUUAAAAUUUAAACUUCCUAGUCAUCAAAUUUGUUAAACUUGUUUUCUAAAGCUAAAAUAAUAAUAAAAUAAAAAACAAGUGCAGUCUGUUGAAAUUUCUAUAAUUUCUUUUAAAAAAUAUGUAGUCUUUUGUAAAAUUUCAUACAACAUCAUAGAAAAUCCUAACGUAUUUUAUUUUUUAAUGCACAAAAAUUUGUUGUGUAACUUCCUGAGAGACAAAAUCUCUGUGAUACAUUUGCAGUAAUGUUGAAAACUAAAUUAUCAAUGUUAUCUUGUAUAAUGAUAAUCGUGUUUUUUUAUACAUAAUUUAUGUGACAUUAAUUCUUUAAAGUAAUUGUGUGAUUGUUUUUAGUAGUACAUGAGCCCACUUUGUUUUAUUUCAUACGAGUUUAAUUAUGUUCACCAGUGAUUCGAGGAAAUGUCAGAACUACACUAGCAAUUCGCAGGUCCACGCUAAUUUGGUUCUAAUGAUGCACGCAGGAGAGCAAGAUUAUGAAAAUGAAUAGUUUAGCCAAAGGGUUGUGUUAGAGUGCAAUUUAUGCACUAGUUUUGCAUUGUUUACUUCCCUUAAUAUCGAUGUUUUGCAUUUAAUAAUAGUGAUUUACUUGUGUUUUACUUUUGUAGGUGCAAUUCUAUUGAUUGGUGAUAAAAUUGAGCUAUAAGAUGAUGUUUAAGGAUGAUUGUUCUCUUGAAGAAAUUAUGAGCGGCAGAAGAACUUUGUUGAUAAGGCGUGGGCGCGUGCUGUCAACUGCGGACCUGCAGUUUUUAGUUUAACGUGUUUUGUAUUUUUGGCUAUUUUUUUAAUUACGAAUUUAAUAUUUCAAAUAUUAGUAUUUUAUUUUAAAUAGAACUCUAAAAGAGAAGAGAGAGAGAGUAUUUAAGGGAGGAAUCUAUUGUGAAAAAGGGGGAUUUGGAUUGGAGAAAAAGAAAGAAACCCUAAAUCUAAUUUUUCUCUUCUCUCUAUGAAGAACUAAACCUAUUUUUCUGGUUGAAGGAUAAUGAAGCUUUGAUUCAUCACUACUGUGAGAUCUUUCUUGUGCUUUAAUUGUUUUAUUGCUUUUUGGGUAUUUGUUUAUUCUCUGAAUUAUUUUCAUGAUUAUGUUUGUUAAUUAGGUAAUUGGCCACUAUUUAAUUAUCAACUUAAUCUAUUGUCAAUUAAAGGAUUCAUCGUAUGAAGAAUUUAAUGUUUGUGACAAAUAACAUAGCAGAGAGUUGUGUUAUGAGAAUAAACAAUCUAAUUUAAAUGAAUCAUCAUAUGUGUUGAUUAUGAUUUGGGUCUCUCUGGUUUUUCAGGCUGUCAAUUGAUUAAAUCCUAUGAUCGUAUCUAGGGUUGUCUAUUGAUUAGGGAAAUAACCAACGGUCGUACCUUGGUUAUCGACUAGUUAAGGAGAGAUUGGCUAUUAGAGGGUCUCAGUAGCUAUAACCGGUCUAUUCAUAAGUAAUAAUAAUCUAUAUUUGAAUCAAUGAUCAGUAGUCGAAUCAAGCUGAGUUAAUUCCUUCAACCAGAGCUUUCUCCAAUUUGAAUCACAACUUUAAUUUACAUUCUCGUUAUUUUAAUUUGAUUUUUAUUAUUGUCAACAAUUCCCCCAUUUUACGUUUUACGUUUCAAAAGGUUUUAAAUAAUUACCGAUCUCUGUGGACACGACCCUGCUCAAUCACUAUACACAAUUUAUUUAGAGUAGGAAUUUAUUUUUGUUGGCUUCGACACCCAUCAGGUUGCCAAAAUGUUUUGCUGGUAAUUCACUUGCUUUUUUUUUUUUAUAGAAUUUCAUUUCCAUCUUCUUCUAUUGAUAUCUUGUUGUGAAUAAACAAGAAUAGAGAAGUAAAUAUAUAUAUAUAUAUAUAUAUAUAUAUAUAAAUUCCCUAUUAUGAUGAUGUUAAAGCAAGCUCAUGCUCAAGCAUUGCAUUUUUAUUUUAUUUAAUUUAUAGAAUUUUCAUUUCUACCUGCAUUGCAUUUUUAUUUCAUUUUCAGGUUGACUUUGAAAACUCUAUGGAGGACAUUAGGGUAACCAAGGAUUAUCACUGUGGUUAUUGAGCAACGUUUGGUUGCUGGACUUUGAAGAAGGAAGUGAUGGCCGGGUCUGCUCUGUUUCAAUUGAGGAUGGAUAGCUGCCUGAAAGACAUGAUGAUUAUUAUUGCAUGAUGUUAAGGUGCUAAGAUCAUCAUUUCUAUCUUGUUUCAUUCUUUGAUCGGUUUAUCCUAUAUAAACAUAUGGAAUUCUGCUAAUAUUAUCAAAUUUUUCACCUAAUUUUCACUGUUGUUGUGAAAACAAUUUCAGGCUCUCAAAAGCUACAAAGCAAAGCAUUUGUGGGUUGAUCAUAUGUUUCAAUUGAGGAAGGAGCUUGGUGUUGGCAAUAUUGUCCAGGUAACCACAGCUGAUAAUUUCCACAAAUUUGCAUUGUCAGAAUACACUUUAAUGUUCAUUGUGUUCCUCUGUGUUAUCAGGUUAUCGUGGUAUGUAAAGUAUCAUCUUUAAGGAUUCGUAAGAGACUUCGCAGUAAACUUAGUUGUCACCAUCUCCUGCAAUUGCUCAUUCAUUCAAGAGUACUUCAAAAUUAGAUUCUCAACGUUUGAAUGUUUAGUUGCAAUCAAAAUGUUUAGUCACUCAUUCGUAAUCUUUUCCGAUUUUCAAGUUCUUUAGGGCCAUAAACAGUUUUCCAACUCAUUCUUAAUUUUUAGGUUGAUUUCGAGUACCCUGUUAAGGACAUUCCUGAGACCAAGGAUUAGGCUGGCGAAGGAACUACUACCUCUGUUGUUAUUGUGCAAGGUUUGAUCAUUGGACCUUGAAUAAGAAUCCCUUACACACAUUCUGUACUUCAAGCAUUCUCUAAAGGAAAAGAGCAGUAGAAGGGAUAGUGAUGGCCGGAUCCGCUCUAUUUUAGUUCAAGAUCUCUGUGAUGUCGAUGAACUUAAAGCAGUUGAUACUUCUUGAAAAUUGUUGUUACGGAUGAAUUGAUUCCUGAAGAUGGGUAUCCAUCCAAAGGCAUAUUUUCAUAAACUUCCUUCUUUUAACAAAUGCUCCAAUGCUUGCUGUAGUAACAAUUUCGUAGAUUGCAUCUCUCGGGUGCAUCAUGUUCAUGGGUUGGAAAAAGCACUUGUGGUAAAGCUUCAAAGCUUGUAAAAUGGCUGUGAAAAGGCACAUUCAAUUCGGUAUGCUUUGGUGCGGUCUCCUAAUGCUAAUAUUAUGUUUCAAUGCUGGCCGUAGUAACAAUUUCAUAUCUUGCAUCUGUUGGGUGCAUCAUGUUCAAGGGUUUGAAAAGCAUUUGUGGUAACGCUUUAAAGCUUGUACAAUGGCUGUGAAAAGGCACAUUCAAUUAGGUACUUUUUGGUGCGGUCUCCCAAUGCUAAUAUCAUAUUUUGUAUAGCAAUUAAAAUUUAGCUAUACAAUCUUAAUAUGCAAUAAAUCAUUGUAUACAAAGUUUUCUAUUGAUUAUAUGGUGACUGAAAUUUUAAUUAUCAUAUCAAUUUAAAUUUUUUUGUAACUCUCUUUUACUUUGCUUGUACAGAGUACCUGUUUUGGCUGAUAUGUCUAAUUCGUAGAAAUUCAUUUACAUCGGUUUCCAUUGGCUUUAGCACAAACAGAAACAGAGCUCUGGGGAAAAGUUUUACUUCUUGUGGUAUUAUGCCUUUGUUUCUUCAUUCAUCAUAUUUUUCGAAUUCAUGCUCUCAUUCAGAGGGUAAAGCCUUUUCCAGGCUGCUUUGUAGCCAAACUUUGACGCCUUUGAUGCAUGACUGUCAUUUAGAUUUCCCAAAUAACUGUUAGAUUGGAGAAGAAUAAAAAGAUACUGUUAAAAGGGUAUUUAAUUAGCGCCCUCUGAAUUUCUUGGAGUUAAUGUAGUCAAUUGCCCAAUUUUGCUGCCUGUCGAAGAUACACUGCAUGGAAGUCCUCAUCAAACUCUGAGACACCUAAUAAAUAGUAGGAUAGUAGGAGGGGGUGGUAUUCGCCUGGUGUUAAUUUCCUGGCAAGUAUAGUUCACAGAUAGAGGGGUUCUUUUCUUGAUGUCUAAAUACCUUAUGAGAUACAACAUCGUGUAUUCCAAUUUUUCUCUAGUUAAAUUUUAAUAAGUUAGAAAAGUUAAUUUUGUUUUAGCAAUGAAUUGUUUUCUUAAUAAUAAUAAUUGCCAUGUUCCUCUAAAGUCUUAUUAAUGCCAGACCAACAACUACUAGGUUCAUCUCUCGUUCACUUCCUCAGGGAAUCUCGAGGGCAUUCAUUGGCAGGUAGCCUUUCUUGUUGAGCUCCUGGAAUUACUUUUAAUUUAUCAUUUGUUGGGUUUUGCUUUUUGAUUGCUUUGGGAUUUGUGUUAUUAUCGCUUUGUCGCUCAUUAAUCUUGGCUGUUUUGAAUCUGUGUUGGAUUUAGAAGUUUGGAGUUGAAAACAGUUAAAGCUUAGACUAGUAGAAGAGAUUUAUACAUUCAUUUAUCUUGGACAAAGUUUUUGGGGAUAAAAAAAAAUUAUAAGUAUACACUUUCCAAUGGUUCGGUGAUGUUUGAUUGGUUUAAAGAUGUUGGAUAUCUCAUCAGAUUUCUUAUGUAUUGACUGCUGUUGCCACAGGAUGCUCGCAGAUCCUGCUUUUUUGUAUAAACUUCUACUAGAGCAGGUUGCCACAAUUGGUUGCACUGUUUUGUGGGAGUUGGAGAAUCAUAAGGAGAGGUGUGUUUUUUCUCUCAUAACAAAGGAACUCUUCCCUUCCUUUUUAUUUUCAUCUUACAUAUUAAGCUAAUAAAUGGGAUGGGAUAAAGCAAGAAUGGGAUCAGCUUGGUUUUGGUGCUUUCCUUGGACUAUAUGCAAACAUGAGAUAUCAGCUAUUGUGUGGAUUUGAUAGAGCGGUCUUCAACCAUUUUGAUGUUACCAGGUUAUCUCUCCCUCUCCCUCUUCUGCGUAUUUGUUUAUUGAUCUACACCUCUAUAUACAUUGAUAGACUAUUCUGGACGUACCAAAUUACCCUUGUUUUAAUGUUUUGUUUGUUAAACUUUGACUGGGGAAUCUGUUUAUUUGUCUGAUAAGAGGUUAGUGUGGUUUCUAUUGAAGUGUGCAGAUCUAUCACCAAGUAUUAUUUCAAUUUUUCUUGACUUAAUCAACUUGCAUCAUUUCCAAGUCCAGAUCCUUAACAAUAGUGCGACAUCGCUACAAAAGUACAAUUUCUCUAUUUUGACAGUUAAAUACAUAAGAAUGGUUUUAAAUUAACUGAACUCUGAGAUAGUUCUCUAAGGAAAUACAAGUGGUGAAUACAGUUCCAACUUUUAAGUGCCUUAAUAUCUCCAUUUGUUCAGCCCUGUGCAUAAAAAAUCAGUAAUUGCCGUCCAAAUUCUUCUUUACUGCCUAUAUGUGUUGGACUUUGUCUAUUCUUCAACUUCUCAAAUGGAUUUUUUGAAUGUCCAAUUAGGAGAAAGAUCAAGGCUUGCUUGGCUAGGAGUGGAAGCGGAUCCGCUACUUCAAUCAUAUGACCUUUUGAAGAAGGCUUACAACGGGCGGCUCAGGAUGUCAAUCGCUCAACUCAAAAGUCCCCAAGGUGGUUGAUAUCAAAGAAUGCCAUUGUCUCUGGGCUUGGGCUCCUUGGCAUCAAACAAGGGAAUGUCGACUCUGUUGAAGGGGAAGCAAGGGCCCCUAAAAUGCGAAGAAAGAGGAUAGUCCGGAAGAAGGUGACCGCAUAAACUUUUUGGGAGUUAAUAGCCCAAUUUUGCUGCCUGUCGAAGAGAUACAACUCAGAAGUCCUCAUCAAACUCUUUGAGACAUCUAAGAACUAGGAGGGAGGUGGUGGUAUUCACACGUGUUUCCUGGCAAGUGUAGUUCCUGAUAGAGGGAUUCUUUUCUUGAUGUCUAAAUACUAUAUGUGAUACAACGUCGUAUAUUCCAAUUUUUCUCUAGUUAAAUUCUAGUAAGUUAGAAAAGUUAAUUUUGUUCUAGCGAUGAAUUGUUUUCUUAAUAAUAAUAAUAAUAAUGGCCUGUUGUUUUGGAAUCUUAUUCACUCUCUGUAACCUAGUUAAAUUGUGCAAAGUCUACUACAGAUUUGUCAAAAUGAGUGUCUUUGUGAUUGUUUUGAUACACUUUUGAUGGCAAGUUCAAGUUUGAAUCAUCUUGUAAUGCCAAAAAACCAUAGCAAUUAGUUACUAAAUCGUACUCGAGUUUUUGUUUGACUUUUAACUACGAGAUCAGCGUUUAGUAUUAGCUGUAGUUAUAAUAUAAACGUUAAUUAUGAAACUCUUACCAAAUUUUAGUUGUACUUUCUAGCCCGAUUGUAGAAAUCCAUACAAGAUGUUACUCAAUUUUACUUAAUCUUACUCGUCUUUGAUUUGUAAAUUUUAUGCCUAAAUUUUUGUCAACAAAUUGCUCCCAGUUCCAAGGUUCUUCAGCUUGGGUGAUCCCAGCAAAACCAUUACGUCCAUUCAAAAGGGUUCCACGUUGAGUGCACGAGAUCCACAAGUUUGAUUGGACAGAAAUAGCUAAAAAAAACUAAUGAAACCCACGUCCAAAGAUGCCGUUGUCGCGGAGGCCUAGACACGACUCCCCAUCCUCUUUUACCAUAUUUUAUAAUUGAAGAGGCCAUUAUUGAAUUGAAAAAUUAUGAUUCAACCAUUGGAAACCAACUUGGAGUUUUAAGUUGAUAUGAGAAAAGAUUUUUUCAUCAUCAUCAUUAUUAUUAGGGAAAAUAUCCACCGUCCACCUGUUUUUUCCAACUUUAUAAAAAAUACACAAUUUUUUUUUUUUGGCUGGAAUCCAUCUAAACUUACGUUUUGUUUCACUUCUCCACUUCUGUUUGCUGCCCGUUAUAACGUAACUGAUGUCGUAGGGGUAAAUCAGUCAUUUCAGCAUAGCAGCCAAAAACGACGUCGUUUACAACUUUAAUUGGACAAAAAAAAAAGAAAAGAUAAAGUGGUCCAGAGAAGCAAACGAGAACAGCCAUGUUUAUUCACGAGUGACCCACCACCACCCUGCAUGAAGAACCAACAAAUUCCCACCAUUCUUUCUGCAGUUUCCAUCGAUUUUCAUCAACAAACAACGCUUGAGUAUCAAAACUUUUGUUAAGUCAAAGAUUCAGAGGUAUUGAGGGAAGCUGUGAGCGGUUUAGAAAUCUCGACACUUAGGUUUUCUGGGGUUUGAAUCUAGUAUCAAGUAAGUUUAGUUUUAUUUAUUAAUUUUCAUUUAUUUUUCGUAUGAUAUAAUGUUAUUUAAGAUUUGUAUCGAGAACGUUGUUAAUCGUUGUUUCUUGAAACCCUAGAAUACAUAUUAAGUUGAUUUAUAGUAAACUGAGUCCGUUUUUUUAUGGUAAUGAUAAAUUGAGAAGUAAUAUGUUGUUUUAAGGCUGGUGAGAAGCACAUGUAUGAAAGAUUGCUGCUAGCAUGGUUGAAUGCAUGUUUAUCCCCUGCAUACUCAUGUACUUGUGCACGUGGUUUACAAAAUUUGGGGUUUUUGAAAAUUUGUAGUUGCUACACUAUGGGUCGUGAUUUUUAGAAAUUUUUUAUCUAUAUGCCCUAGCCCCCCUGGUGAAGGUUCGGCAUAUGCAUGUGAAAUUUGAAUCUCUCAAAGAUUAUAAUUUUUAAUCUGACAAAGUCCUCCAGGAUGUUUGUUCCUUUGGUGAAUCUAAUCGUUUGUUUUGGACAUUCAGGAUGCCACCUCUAGAGUUAGUGAUAUUCUUUCGAGGCACGAAGAAGAAUUUAGGGUUGCUUGAACCUGACUGUACUGUUGCGAAGAUAAAAGAGACUGCCGUAAACAUUACGAGUCCAUAUGGAUUAGACUCCACUUCAAAAAUUAUGUUGAAUGCCACGAACCCGGAGAAUAAGAUGAAAGUUGCACUGGAUUCGGAAUUUGCACUCGAAUUUUUGCGUAAAAUUCAUCACAUUGUGGGUGUCAGUACUUUAACUGUUGAAGUUGUACCAGUUCUUCACCCUCAGCAACAUGAGUACAAAGUAGGUGCCGAUGGGAAACAUAGGCUUAAAUUAGGGCAUGUAUUUAGAGAUGUUGGUCAUUUUAGGGAGAUAUUGCAUGAGGUAAUGAUUAGAAAAAGGUUUGCCAUUAAAACAAUAUAUAGUGAGCCAAGACGAUUCGUAGGUACUUGUAAAGAAGCUAACUGUCCAUGGUACGUGUCUGGUACAAAGCUGAAUGAUGGGACUGGUUUUAUAUUGCGAGAAUACAACAAAAACCACGAGUGUAGGCUUACUAACAAGACAGUGAAAGUUACAUCUGCUUGGGUUGCUUCUAAAAUAAAGGGUCAGGUUGCUGUUGACCCUAAUGUCAAGAUUGAUAUUCUGAAGAAUCAUGUGCAAGAGACGUAUGGUUUAAAGAUUGGGAAGCUGACACUGUAUAGGGCUAGAGCAAAGGCAAGACUUGAGGUAUUGGGGGAUCAUUCAAGGGGAUAUCAGAAAUUAUUUGACUAUGUUGCUGCCAUUCACAAGGCUGAUCCAGGAGCAAUAUGCAAGGUGUUAUGUGAUGCUAUUUCUAUUCCUAAUAAGGUAUUAUUCCAGAGGUUUUUUGUUGCCUUUCCAGCACAAAAAAAAUGCAUAUCUUAACGGUUGUAGACCUUUUAUUGGAGUAGAUGGAUGUCACUUAAAAGGUAAGUACGGUGGAGUGUUGUUAGCUGCUGUUGGCAUAGAUGGUAAUAAUGGGAUUGUCCCUUUAGCGCUAUGUGUUUGUGAGAUUGAGAAUACAGAGACAUGGGGAUGGUUUAUGGAGAACUUGAAUAAUUAUUUGGAUGAUGGAAGGCAGGUCACUUUCAUUAGUGAUAGACAAAGGGGUUGAUUAAUGCAAUUUCAACCACUUGGCCUACUGCCUAUCAUAGGGCGUGUUCUUGGCAUGUUUAUGCUAAUUUUUCCAAGUCGUUUGCUGGUGCACAGUUGAAACAAUUAUUUUGGAAAGCUGCCAAGAGCAGUAACAAGCAUGAUUUUGACGAGGCAAUGGCAGAGAUCAAGGCUGAAAAAGAAGCUGCAUUUGAGUGGUUGGAACGAGAACUAUAUAGUUAUAAUUGGUCGAUGCCCACAUAUGACAGAAAUUGCAUGGUAGAUCGUACCGAUAACAAUGCAUCGGAGUGCUUCAACAGCUGGAUAUUAGCUUACCGAGACAAACCUUGCUUGACAAUGCUUGAAGAAAUAAGAUGUAGACUUAUGAAACGGUUUACAAAACGAAGAAAUGAAGCAGCCACUUGGAAAAAACAGCUGACUCCUAAGGUUUUGAAAGACUUGGACAAAAAAAAUAAGAUUGCACAGAAGAUGAUUGUACAAGCUUCUGGUGAUCUUAAUUUUCAAGUCAUGGAUAGAGGCUAUAAUCCACCUAAGAGGUUUGUUGUGAAGUUAGAAUCUAGAACAUGUGAUUGCGGUUAUUGGGAAAUUGCUGGCCUCCCUUGUCAACAUGCUAUGGCUGCCAUGGGAUAUGCAAGACAUCAAGUUCAGGAAUAUGUUCCAACUUGCUUUAGCAGACAAGCUUACCUUAGCACUUAUUCAGUGAUGUUCAGCCCCCUUCCAGAUUAGUGUACAUGGAAGCCUACAGGAAGGCCGUUGAUUGACCCACCAAUUGUUGAAAGAAAGAUUGGAAGGCCCAAAAAAUCCAGAAAAAGAGCAGCAAAUAAGCCUCAGAAAUUAAGAGAAAAGAAAAUUCUUUGUCAUUUGCUCAUUUUGUGGUGGUUCUAAUCACAAUGUGAGAAGCUGUCUGUUGACGCCAUCUGUUGCAAGGUCAAAUAGAGCGAGGAACAAUAAUUUUCAGGUAUAUUUAAUAUACUAUUAUUAUUUAUUAUGUUUAUCAUUAUUUAUUAUGUUUAAUAUAUUUAUACUGUUGUUAUGUUUACUAUCAUAAUGGUUUGUAGGCAUCAACAACAUCAAGCCAGCCAUUAAAUGCUUCACAGCAGGCAAGAUUGAGAAGAAAACAGGUGCUGCUAGCAGUUCGUUUGUGCCUUCAUAGUUUGUUUUAUGUGUAAUAUAAAAUUCAUUUACAAAUCAACAUAUUUUAUAGGCAGCAGUAGCAAAGUCAAUUGGUUCAGGCCAGCCAGUAGCUACUGCAUCUGAAACAGCAAGAAAGGUGUUAUCUUGGUUCAAUAUUUGUAUAUUUUUGUAUUUUUUGUUCAAGUUCUUAAACUAACAUAAUAUAUAAUUUAGAUACCUAGUGGCCCAGGUCAAAGUUCGAAUGCUGGAACAAAGAAAAGAAGGGCUCUUCGAGGUGCUGGAACAAGGGAAAGACAAUCAAGUCCAAGACUGAACCAAUCCCAAAAUUCAUCUCAAGCUUCAAUUAUCACAGGUUCUUUGUAAUGGAACAAACUAAACUUGUUUAAACAAACUAAACUUGUUAACUUGCCAUUUUGGUUGUUAUUUUGGCAUAUUACUGGUUAUUUUGGAUAAUUAUGUGGUUGUCAAAGGUCAUUUAUAAUGUAUUUUGAUGAUAUGAUUAAUGGUUAUUUUGGUUGUACUUUUGGAUAACUAUGAUAUGAUAAUAUUUUCCAAUUAUUGUGGUUAACAAAAUGUUAUUUAGGGUGUAUUUAAAUGCAAUUGCAAAGAUCGAUACUAGGACUGUCAACAAUAAGCUUUUAUUUCAGUAAUGCAUGUUUUAUAGGAUACAUUACAUUUUAAUAAAUACAAUUGCACAGAGGCACACUAGCAGUAUUAUUAUAUAUUUAAGCUUUCCUUCAAUCAGCCUAAGCCUUUUCUUUAUCUUCACCAUCUCAUCAGCUCCAAGGUUUACUGCAUUUGGCUCCAAAUUUUGAUUAUCUACCAUUUGAUCACUUCUACUAGGGUAUAUGAGAGCUUCAGUAGUAAACCAUUGCCAAAACUUGCAUUUGUUCAACCUGCAUGACCAAAACAUUGCAUUAGGAUUUUGUGGUGUAGUGGAAACCAUAGCACACGCCUGCAUGCCACACCAGUAGUACUUGGGAAUGCAUUUAAUUUUUCUCUGUGGCUGUCCACUGGCUGCAGAACUUGAACUAUAACUUGAUGCCAUUUUAAAUGUGUAGAUGAUUUGUUUCAAUGAAUGGUUAAUCAAGUGAUGUGAGGAUGAUGGUUGAGCAGGUCUUGAGUUUGAAUGAAUGAAUGGUUGAGUGGCUGUAAUGUUUCUGAUUAGUAUUAAAAAUUGUUUAAUUAUCAAGCGAUAAUAUGUUAUUUUAUGCUUAUAUUAUAAUUUAUAUUUGUAUUUAUGUAAUUUAUUAUGAAUUAUGAAUUAUGUUUUAAAUAUAUUUAAUUUUUUGUAUUUUUAUGUGCUUAUUAGGAAAAAUAUUAAUUUCACGUACUUUGAGGCUCCAAACAGAUAAACGGAGGUCAAAUUUGGAUUCCGGAGGUCCGAAAACCUUAAGAUCAGUCAAGAUCGGCUUAAAAUUGGGCUUGUGUAAAAAAAGUUGACUUUUCCUGUUGACCGAGUACUGAUUGGAUGAUGAAAUGAGCUUACAAUAGAUAUGAGUGCAUGGGAUAGCUGGCAAUCUUGACCAAAUCUAAACCGUUCAUGAUUCAAUGGCCAUGAUUGUGCCACGUGGCAAUGGUUGGUGAAGCAAGUUGGAGGAUCCGAAUCUUUGUAUUCGGGUCGACCCGAUCCACCCAUUAACCCGCCAAAUCUCAACCGUUCUUUGGGUAAAUCGGACGAGUCAAAUGAUGCCAUGUGUGAUGUUGACUUUUAAAGUUUGACCAGCCAUUGGAUCUUGAUCUAAGGGUUGUGAGGAGCACAUGCUUGAAGCCUAUGAUGGACCACAAAGCACUGGAUUAUGAAUUUAAUUUUCUAUAAAUAGGGCCUCAUUUUUAUGUUUUAAUCAUCUCUCUACAACUCUCUUCUUCUCAAAUUCUCUUCAUCUCCUUGUAAUCUUCAUUUCCAGGUGUGUUUUUAAUAUUUUGUAUAAUUAUUUUCAUUAAUAAAAUUAGUUUUAUUUCCAAUUUUAGUUGUUUUUAUUUCUUUUAAUUAUAAGUAAUGCAAUUUUACUACUUCUUUUUAUUUUAAUUAUCCUUAACUAAAUAAUAUUAGUUAGGGGAAGGUGAAACUCUUAGGAAAUAAAUAUGAUUUAAUCAAAUUCUAUUUUUAAUUUUAUAAAUUAAAUUAUUUUCUAUUUAAUUUUAUACAUGUUUUAUAUUUUGAAAUUUUGAUUUAUUGUAGACAAACAAAUGAAUUUGGCACAAUAAAUUCUUAAGAUCUUAAUAUAAGGCAUGGUGAAAUGGUAUUUUGACUUAUUGUAGACAAAUAAAUUUUGGCACAAUAAAUACUUAAUCCAUCAUAAAAUUAAAGGGAAAAUAAUAAUAAUUUGUAUAAUUAAUCUUUUGGGUAAUAAAUCUAAAAAAAUUGGCAAAAAGAAUUUAUUAAGUUUUAUUUACUACUAAGAGUGGAUCCAUAACCCUAAUUAGUUCAAUUUCAUAGUUUCAUUUAAAUUAAGUUGUUUAUAUUCAAGUUUUAAUUUCAAUUUUUAGAUAAAAUAAAACAAUCAAAUUAAAUCUUUUCUCUGUGGAUCGACCUCGGACUCACCGAGUUAUAAUACAACAAGACACUCUUAUACUUGGGAGUUAAAUAUUACUUUUAAGUUGUGUCAAGUUUUUGGCGCCGUUGCCGGAGAAAUUUUUUUUUUAUUUGGUUUGUUUUUCCCUUUUUAUUUUUCUCUUAUAUGUAAAAUUUCGUUUGCCCCCUUUUCCUUUUCUUAAAUUUUGUUUUGUCCCUAUAUCUUUUAUAAUUCGCGUUUCAUCCCAACAAUUCUCGUUUCUAGCCCAAUCUUCUGGUAAUUACAUUCUGACCCCAACAUCUUUCAGUCGUUUCACUUUCAUCCCAAAAGGCUCAAUUCUAAACUUCUAAAAAUUACAGUUUGACCAUAAAAUUAAAAAUAAUUUGUAAUAAAAUACCUAGACGAAAUUCUCAAAAUAAUCAAGACUUGGACAUACUUUGGACAUAUUUUGGACAUACUUUGGACAUAUUUGGACUUAUUUUGGACCAAACUAACUUUAACUACUAACUCUAAUUACUAACUCUUAACUUACUAACUGCUAACUCCUAACUUUUUUUUUUAAUUUCAGUUAUUUAAUUUUCUGCAUUUAUUUUAUUUCGUAUUUAUUUAUUUAUUUUUGCUUCAUUGGUGGGUUUAACCACCAAACUAACUACUAACUCUUAACUUUAAUUUUCAGUUAUUUAUUUAAUUUUGUAUUUUUUAAUUGGUGGGUUCAACCACCAUUUUUUUUCUAUUAUUAUUUUGCAUUUAUUUUACUUAAUUGGUGGGUUCAACCACCAAAAUUGUUAUUUAAUUUUCUUUUGUAUACAUAUAUUAUUUGCUUAUUUAUUUUUUAUUUUGUUAUCAAUUUGUGUAAAUAUUAUCUUUAUAACAUAACCCUUGCAUGAGACGUUGGUCUCGAUCUUCAAGUAGCAGGUUAAUUCGUAGAUCUCAAUCUCCACCACCAAUCAUGGAUGAGAAUGAAGGCGAAAACGUUUUGGGCGAACUUAAUCCUCAAAUUGAUCAGGGAGACAACCAAUCUCAACAUGGGCAUGAUCAGAAUCAACCAAGGACUCUGAGAGACUACAUGAAUCCAACCAGAACCGGAGCACCGUCGUGUAUAGUAUUUCCUCCAGAAGCAUCUCGAUUCAACUUUAAACCAGGUAUUAUCCAGCUUUUACCAACAUUUCAUGGUUUAGAAUCUGAGAAUCCAUACUUGCAUCUAAGAGAUUUUGAGGAAGUUUGUAAUACAUACACGGACCAAAAUUGUAGCAUGAACAUAAUUAGAUUAAAGUUUUUUCCUUUUUCAUUAAAAGAUAAAGCUAAAACUUGGCUACAAAACCUUAGAUCUGGAUCAGUAAGAACUUGGAAUAACAUGCAAGAACAGUUUUUGAAAAAAUUCUUUCCACCUCAUAGAACAAAUUCUUUUAAAAGGCAAAUCACUUCUUUCACUCAAAAAAAUGGAGAAACAUUAUACCAAUGUUAGGAUAGGUUUAAAGAGUUGCUUAACAUAUGUCCACAUCAUGGUUUUGAAACUUGGCGAUUGGUCACUUACUUCUACGAGGGCUUAAUACCCCAAAGUAGACAGGUUGUUGAAAUGAUGUGUAAUGGUGAAUUUAGGGAUAAAAAUCCUGAAGAUGCACUAGAUUACCUUGACCAAUUAGCUGAAAAUGCACAACAUUGGGAUACUGUUGGAACUUUUGAAUUAACAAAUAAGCAACAAUCAUCCCCAUCUAGUGGAGGAAUCCAUAACCUUAGGGAAGAUCAUAAUUUACAAGCAAAAUUUGCAUCCCUAGUUAGGAAAGUUGAAGCUUUGAGCAUAAAAAGAGUGAUCAAGUCAAAUCUAUUUAAGAAAUUGCAUGUAACAUAUGUAGUUCGAAUGAUCAUUUCACUCAAGAGUGUCCUACUUUGCCUGCACUUAAAGAAUGUCUAAAUGAUCAAGCUAAUGUCAUUAACACUUUCAAUAAACCAAACCCAUAUUCACAGACUUAUAAUCCUAGUUGGAGAAAUCAUCCGAAUUUCAGUUGGAGGAAUAAUAAUAAUGCACAAUCUUCACAAGCACCACCUCCACAAAAUUUUCAAAAUCCUCAGCCUUAUGCACCAUAUGUUCCAUCACCCUGGAAAAAUCUAGAAGACACAAUGCAUUCAUUCAUCAGAAAGCAAGAUGUUAUUAACAAUCAAAAUGCACAAACUUUUUCUUAUUUGAAAGAUACUCUUGCUAAAAUUGCUUUUGCACUCACCAUUCAAGAAAAAGGAAAAUUUCCAGCUCAACCACAACCAAAUCCUAAAAUUCAACAAAAUCCACCCACGGACCAAGUCAAGUCAGUUAUAACUCUUCGUAGUGGUAAGGUUGUUGAUAGACCUAUGCCUGAACCUUAUGAAAAUGAUGAAAAUUCAAAGGGUAAGGAAGGACUAAAUGAACUUACACCUAGUGAAGAAAUAACUAGUGUUCCACCUGAACCACCAUUUCCGCAUGCAUUGAAUAAACCAAAGAAAUCAAACCACUCUUCUGAAAUUUAUGAAAUCUUUAAGCAAGUGAAAGUUAACAUUCCUUUAUUAGAUGCAAUCAAGCAUGUUCCUUCAUAUGCCAAAUUUUUAAAGGACUUGUGCACUGUUAAGAGGAAAUUGAAGGUAAGAAAGAGUGCUUUCAUGGCCGAACAGGUAAGUACAAUUCUGUCUACUAAUAAUAAGUUGAAAUAUAAAGAUCCUGGUUGUCCUACCAUUUCUUGUAUUAUUGGUAACCACAGAAUUGAACAUGCUUUAUUAGAUCUUGGUGCUAGUGUUAAUUUGCUUCCAUAUUCAGUUUAUCUUCAACUUAAUCUUGGUGAGUUAAAAUCAACUUCAACUACACUUUUGCUUGCGAUAGAUUAGUUAAAGUACCAAAAGGAANNNNNNNNNNNNNNNNNNNNNNNNNNNNNNNNNNNNNNNNNNNNNNNNNNNNNNNNNNNNNNNNNNNNNNNNNNNNNNNNNNNNNNNNNNNNNNNNNNNNNNNNNNNNNNNNNNNNNNNNNNNNNNNNNNNNNNNNNNNNNNNNNNNNNNNNNNNNNNNNNNNNNNNNNNNNNNNNNNNNNNNNNNNNNNNNNNNNNNNNNNNNNNNNNNNNNNNNNNNNNNNNNNNNNNNNNNNNNNNNNNNNNNNNNNNNNNNNNNNNNNNNNNNNNNNNNNNNNNNNNNNNNNNNNNNNNNNNNNNNNNNNNNNNNNNNNNNNNNNNNNNNNNNNNNNNNNNNNNNNNNNNNNNNNNNNNNNNNNNNNNNNNNNNNNNNNNNNNNNNNNNNNNNNNNNNNNNNNNNNNNNNNNNNNNNNNNNNNNNNNNNNNNNNNNNNNNNNNNNNNNNNNNNNNNNNNNNNNNNNNNNNNNNNNNNNNNNNNNNNNNNNNNNNNNNNNNNNNNNNNNNNNNNNNNNNNNNNNNNNNNNNNNNNNNNNNNNNNNNNNNNNNNNNNNNNNNNNNNNNNNNNNNNNNNNNNNNNNNNNNNNNNNNNNNNNNNNNNNNNNNNNNNNNNNNNNNNNNNNNNNNNNNNNNNNNNNNNNNNNNNNNNNNNNNNNNNNNNNNNNNNNNNNNNNNNNNNNNNNNNNNNNNNNNNNNNNNNNNNNNNNNNNNNNNNNNNNNNNNNNNNNNNNNNNNNNNNNNNNNNNNNNNNNNNNNNNNNNNNNNNNNNNNNNNNUUAGAAGAGUAGCAGGACAUCCUUACUACUGUUUUUAGAUGGAUAUAUAGGUAAUUAUCAAAUACCUAUAGCCCUAGAGGACCAAGAAAAGACCACAUUCACAUGUCCUUUAGGAACAUUUGCAUUUAAAAGAAUGCCAUUCGGGCUUAGUAAUGCUCCUGCAACAUUUCAAAGAUGUAUGUUAAGCAUUUUUUGUGAUAUGGUUGAACAUUGUUUAGAGGUCUUUAUGGAUGAUUUGACUGUGUUUGGGAAUUCUUUUGAUGAUUGCCUUGAUAAUUUGGAGAAAGUUUUAAAAAGAUGUAUUGAAAAAGAACUCGUGUUGAAUUGGGAAAAAUGUCACUACAUGGUUACUUCUGGAAUUGUUUUGGGUCAUGUUGUUUCUAUUAAAGGAAUUGAAGUUGACAAAGCAAAAAUUGAAGUCAUAUCUAAAUUGCCACAACCAAAAACAGUUAGAGAUGUGCGAUCCUUUUUAGGACAUGCAGGAUUUUAUAGGAGGUUUAUAAAAAACUUUAGUGCCAUAUCUAAACCACUUUGUAACCUCUUAUUAAAAGAUGCACCAUUUGAAUGGAAUGAUGAUUGCCAAAAAUCGUUUGAAAAAAUAAUUUGUCUUUUAACAUCUGCACUUAUUAUGCAAUCUCCUGAUUGGUCUUUGCCAUUUGAAUUAAUGUGUGAUGCGAGUGAUUUUGCUAUUGGUGUUGUUUUAGGACAAUGAAGGGAUGGUAAGCCUUUUGUGAUUUAUUAUGCAAGUAAGACUUUAGAUAGUGCUCAAAUGAAUUAUUCUACAACUGAAAAAGAAUUACUUGCUGUGGUAUUUGCAUUAAACAAAUUCCGUUCAUAUUUGCUUGGCUCUAAAUCUGUUGUGUUUACUGACCACGCUGCUGUGAGAUAUUUGAUGAGUAAACAGGAUGCCAAACCGAGACUAAUUCGUUGGAUUUUGUUACUACAAGAAUUUGACCUUACCAUCAAAGAUAAAAAGGGUGCUGAAAAUGUUGUUGCAGAUCAUCUAUCAAGACUCACAUCCGAAUUCUGCAAUGAUAUAACACCCAUAAAUGAUUCUUUCCCUGAUGAAUUUUUAUUUUCUGUUACUUCAAUGCCAUGGUAUGCUAACAUUGUUAAUUUCCUUGUUACAGGUAAAAUGCCUUUGCAAUGGAAUGCUCAAGAGAAGAAGAAAUUUUUUGUUGAAGUAAAGAAAUUUUAUUGGGAUGACCCUUAUUUGUUCAAAUAUUGCCCAGAUCAAAUUUUUCGGCGAUGUAUUCCUGAUAAUGAGGUAAGUAGUGUCAUUAAUUUUUGUCAUUCUGAAGCAUGUGGUGGUCAUUUUUCUUCAAGAAAAACUACUGCUAAAAUUUUGCAGUGUGGAUUUUAUUAGCCUACCAUGUUUAAAGACACAUAUGAAUUCUGCAAAAGCUGUGAAAAAUUUCAAAAAUUGGGAUCAAUUACAAAAAGAAUCAUGAUGCCCUUAAAUCCCAUACUUGAAAUUGAAAUAUUUGACUGUUGGGGAAUUGAUUUCAUGGGUCCAUUUCCAUCAUCUUUUGGAUUUGUGUAUAUAUUAGUUGCAGUUGAUUAUGUCUCAAAAUAGAUUGAAGUAAUUUCUUGUCGAAAUAAUGAUAGUAAAAAUGUGAUUAAAUUUUUAAGAGAAAACAUUUUAAGUCGAUUUGGAAUCCCUCGAGCCAUUAUCAGUGAUGGAGGUAAGCAUUUUUGUAAUAAGUCAUUUGAGUUUUUAAUGAAGAAAUAUGGAAUUACACAUAAAAUUGCUACCCCUUAUCAUCCUCAAACAAAUGGUCAAGUUGAAUUAGCAAAUAGGGAGAUAAAACAAAUUUUGGAAAAAACGGUUAACCCAAACCGAAAAGAUUGGUCUCUUAGACUUAAUGAUGCACUUUGGGCUUACCAUACUGCAUUUAAAACGUCCUUAGGAAUGUCACCCUAUCGGUUAAUUUAUGGUAAACCUUGUCAUUUACCUGUUGAACUUGAACAUAAAUCACUUUGGGCUAUUAAAGCUUUUAAUUCAAAUUUGGAUGAUGCUGGUAAUGUGCGAAAAUUACAAUUGAAUGAACUUGAGGAAUUAAGGAAUGAUGCAUAUGAAAAUUCAAAAAUUAUUAAGGCAAGAACAAAAGCAUUUCAUGAUAAAAGAAUUUUUCGAAAAACAUUUGAGAUUAGUCAAAAAGUGUUGCUUUAUAAUUCUCGUCUUCAUUUAUUUCCAGGGAAGUUAAAGUCAAAAUGUAGUGGCCCAUUUGUUGUAAAAAAUGUAUAUUCACAUGGAGCCAUAGAAAUUGAGAAUAAAAAAAACGGUGUCACAUUUAAAGUUAAUGGCCAAAGAUUAAAACCAUAUCUGGAACAUCACACACGUGACGAGGACACCGAAAUUAAUUUGGGUGACCCACCAGUUCUUGAUUAAGUCUUUAAUGAUUUUUUUUAAUUUUAUUUUACUAUUAUUUUACCGUUUCAUUGUUUGAUUUUUUUCCUUUUUCUCUAGAUUGAUGCACUGUACAUAGUUUUUUUUAACAUUGUUUUUCUUGUGUAAGCGUGUUUGUUUGACAGUUGUACAUUCUCUCAUCAAUUUCCAUUUUACAUCAUGAGCACCUCAAUGAGAAAAUUCCUGUUCGCACAUCUUAAAAGAUUUCUUCGUGUGAAAUUUCACUUAAGAGGCCUGAUACAAAGCUGUAAAUCACAUCCACUUUGGGAUCUGCAACCACCAGAAUUCGUGUCCUAUGUUGAGGAUCUAAAGGAACAACUCAGAACAGUAGAGAGUGGCAUAUAUAAAUUUCAAUUGGAGCUUGAGGUUAACUCAAUGAGAGGACGAAUGUAAGUUCAUUUUCCUUUUUAUAUUGUGUGCUUCUUUUUGCUCGCUUUCACGCUUGAUUUGAUUUUGCAGAUUUGAUUUUGGUGAGUUUUGAUUUAUUUUCCCGUAUAAAUGGCGGAUAACGGUACUCCGUGACUUCUUAAGUCGGUAUCUUCAGUUUCCCACAAUAACUGAAACCCCAAAAUCAAACAUGGAAAAAAUACAACAUAAACUGCAUAAGCACUUUCCUUCUCUCCCUCAGAAUGCCCUCAGGAAAAUUUACAAAGCUCGUUGUGAACGACUGCGUUUGUUAAUGAUCAAUGGCAUUCCUUUUGACAUUCGUUGGUUAAUUGAAGCAAAGGUCCGAUUAGCAGGUGAGUUUUCUGAUCCAUUUGUUUCUUACAUGCCUGGUUUUGGUAAAAGUACGUUUGCUAAGAAAAGGAGAGCUAAACGACUUGGCUCAAAAUGUCAUAACUGUGUAAGACUUGGUUGCAAACGACCAGAUUGUAAAUCUUUAGGAAUGGUUUCUGAUACUCGUGAAGAUAAAAUUAAAUUCGUUAAAGAUGGCAUGAGUAAAGAAUCGUUGGAUGAUAUCUUAUGAUCUCUUGAGACGCAUCGAAGCGGAUUUGUGCAACGAGAAAUUUAUAAUUUGUGGAUACUAUUCCAAAAACAAAGUGCACAGUUUAGUCUUAGGAAUUUGACUCAAAAAGACCCUGUUUGUCAGUUUGUAAGAAAACUGGAUGGGAAGCCAAUCCUCGACCCAUAGAGGGCGUUUAAGCCGUUACUGGACGUAAAACCAGAGGAAGAUGUGAGCCACAAUCACAACUACCAGUAAAUAUCCUUUCACUUCACUGUUAUUUUACUUUACUGUUAUUUUAUCAUUUGCAUUAUUGCAUUUAGCGGUGUGAUUUUGUAUUUAAUAAAUAUUUGUUUUCUUUUAUUGUUUGCUUUUUCUAAUCAUUAUUUUCUUUUUACUGUUUGUUUUUGAAUUAUUGAGCCACGAGCUUUACUCGUCAUUUGACAAAUAUGCCAACCCAUUUACAGCUGUUUCUCAUUAUUUAUGUCACCAAGAUCUUUAAAUAUGAGCUCGUUUUUCAAACACUCACAACCUGUUUUUGAAAAAUUAGUCCAAUGGCAGCAUCUUCGAGUAAACAAUUCAAAAAUAUUUGUGUGCUUUCUGGGUAUCACUAUGGAAAGUACAAAGAGUUUGUUCAGGCAGCAGUAGAUCUUGGUCGUGUCAUAGCAGAGAGGAAACUGCAUCUUGUAUAUGGAGGAGGUGAACGAGGGUUAUCAAGACUUGUCUCAGAAGCUGUUUUUACCAGAGGAAGUCAAGUACUCGGCAUUAUCCCAAAACCCAUGAAACCGCUAGUGUGCUUGUCUGGCCCACCAAUUGGGGAAGAAUUAGUGGUAUCAAGUAUGCAAGAGAGACUAUCUGAAAUGAUGAAUCAAGCUGAUGCUUUUAUUUUUUUGCCAGGAGAUCUUGCAACUUUUGAGGCACUAAUUACAUUUGCAUCUUGGGCCCACUUGAACAUUCAUCAAAAACCCAUCGGUUUGUUAAAUGUUAAUAACUUUUAUGACGGCUUGCUAACUUUUAUUAACCAUACAAUAAAGAAUCAUUUUGUUCCACAUUCUGUAAAAAAAAACUCUUUAUCUUUGUUUCUACUGCUAAUGAGUUACUUAAUCUCUUACAAGCUUAUACACCAGAGCCAGAUCCAAAGACUUUUGAAUUGAAUUGGUCGACUGAUGAUGGUAGCGGUAACAGUAGCAGUAAUAAGAAGCGCGAUUUAGAUUUAACUCUCCGUCUAUAAAUAUUUUCUGUUGUAGUGUUCAUGUACUGUCUUCUAAACUCUUUCUUUUUCCUUUUAAAACAUUAAGAACAAUGUCUUUUUCAGGUUGGGGGGAGGGAAUAGUUGAUAAUUGUGGAAUGUCUUAGUCCUGGUUAUGUUUUUACAAAAAAAAAAACAAAAACAAAAAAAAAACAAAAUUUUUUUUUUCUGUAAAGACUAACUUAGGACAAAUUUGAGUCGAAGAUGGCAGGAUAUAGAGAAUGUAGUCUCUCUAAAAACGCAUCUUCUUAAUCUUAAGGGUGUUGUUAAAAAAAAAAAAAUUUGACUUUUUCUUCAUUUUUGUUAUCUUCUUUUAAGCUUCUGCAUCAAGUUCAGGUAAGAUCUCCUCUUCUUCUUCUUUUAUUAUUCUCUUUUAUUUUUUAUUCAUUUUUUCUUUUUCUUUUUGCAUAUCUGUAAAAUUAUAAAAUGUUAAGAUAAUGUUUAGAUUAGGUUGUGGGGUGGGGAUAAUUGACGUAUGUUUUAAAUAUGUGUGUUGUUUUUCUCUUUUCUCUUUUCUUUUCUUUGUCAAAAAAAAAAAAAACAAAAUAUUUUUUUUUGGUCUAGGAUGGCCGUGUAAAGAGUCACGACUUUUGAGACGCAUCCUAAUAGUCUUAUUGUAUUAUAUUUUGAUUUUGAAAUUCAUAGUAAGUUGUUUUUGUUCCCUUUUCUUUGAAUUACUCAAAUUUGUGAACUCUCCACUUGGUUAUUAAGUUAUUUAAUUGUUUACUCAUUUAACAGGUAUUAUUGAAUCAUUCUUCACACACACAUUAUGACACAUACUAGUGGGUUGUAAGUUAAAAUUUUACAGCAUUUAGUUCUUUUGAUUUAUUAGGAAAAGUAUCUAAGGUAGUCGAAAGUGUAUAUUUCAAAAAAAAAUAAAAAAAAAGAAAAAAAUUAUUGUUUGUUAUAUCUAGAAACUCGAGUAAUUAAGUCCGUAGGGGUGUUUCAACACCUAGUGCCCUAAGGUCAACUGGUCUGGGAGUCACUGGCCUAAAGCUCGCUACAUGGGUAAUAGAUAUAUUGUUUGUUUAUUAGAAACCCGAGUAAUUAAGUCCGUAGGGGUGCUUCAACACCUAGUGCCCUAAGGCCAACUGGUCUGGGAGUCACUGACCUAAAGCUCGCUACACGGGUUAGAAAUAUAAUACAAAAAAAAAUAUGUGUGAAUAAUCUAUUGCCUAAAGAUAUAAUUUCUAAUGAAUUUUAGAACGAAAAUGUUGUUUUUCUUUUAAUAAAGCCCCAUAAGUAUUGUGUUAAUUACUUGAGCACAAAAGAAGGUUUGAUGAUACUCUGGAUAAUGAGUGAACAUCAAUGUGGUAAAGGAAUUUAGGAGAGUUCAUUUAUUUGGUAAUUUAGAGGAUAGAUGAACAAUUAUUAACUUGCAUGUGAAUUUUAUAAAUCUUAAUAUAACGCUUUAAUUGCUAGAGGGCUAGCAAUAAGCUGGUUGGGGGGUGUGAUUAGUAUUAAAAAUUGUUUAAUUAUCAAGCGAUAAUAUGUUAUUUUAUGCUUAUGUUAUAAUUUAUAUUUGUAUUUAUGUAAUUUAUUAUGAAUUAUGAAUUAUGUUUUAAAUAUAUUUAAUUUUUUGUAUUUUUAUGUGUUUAUUAGGAAAAAUAUUAAUUUCACGUACUUUGAGGCUCCAAACAGAUAAACGGAGGUCAAAUUUGGAUUCCGAAGGUCCGAAAACCUUAAGAUCAGUCAAGAUCGGCUUAAAAUUGGGCUUGUGUAAAAAAAGUUGACUUUUCCUGUUGACCGAGUACUGAUUGGAUGAUGAAAUGAGCUUACAAUAGAUAUGAGUGCAUGGGAUAGCUGGCAAUCUUGACCAAAUCUCAACUGUUCAUGAUUCAAUGGCCAUGAUUGUGCCACGUGGCAAUGGUUGGUGAAGCAAGUUGGAGGAUCCGAAUCUUUGUAUUCGGGUCGACCCGAUCCACCCAUUAACCCGCCAAAUCUCAACCGUUCUUUGGGUAAAUCGGACGAGUCAAAUGAUACCAUGUGUGAUGUUGACUUUUGAAGUUUGACCAGCCAUUGGAUCUUGAUCUAAGGGUUGUGAGGAGCACAUGCAUGAAGCCUAUGAUGGACCGCAAGGCACUGGAUUAUGAAUUUAUUUUUCUAUAAAUAGGGCCUCAUUUUUAUGUUUUAAUCAUCUCUCUACAACUCUCUUCUUCUCAAAUUCUCUCCAUCUCCUUGUAAUCUUGAUUUCCAGGUGUGUUUUUAAUAUUUUGUAUAAUUAUUUUCAUUAAUAAAAUUAGUUUUAUUUCCAAUUUUAGUUGUUUUUAUUUCUUUUAAUUAUAAGUAAUGCAAUUUUACUACUUCUUUUUAUUUUAAUUAUGCUUAACUAAAUAAUAUUAGUUAGGGGAAGGUGAAACUCUUAGGAAAUAAAUAUGAUUUAAUCAAAUUCUAUUUUUAAUUUUAUAAAUUAAAUUAUUUUCUAUUUAAUUUUAUACAUGUUUUAUAUUUUGAAAUUUUGAUUUAUUGUAGACAAACAAAUGAAUUUGGCACAAUAAAUACUUAAUCCAUCAUAAAAUUAAAGGGAAAAUAAUAAUAAUUUGUAUAAUUAAUCUUUUGGGUAAUAAAUCUAAAAAAAUUGGCAAAAAGAAUUUAUUAAGUUUUAUUUACUUCUAAGAGUGGAUCCAUAACCCUAACUAGUUCAAUUUCAUAGUUUCAUUUAAAUUAAGUUGUUUAUAUUCAAGUUUUAAUUUCAAUUUUUAGAUAAAAUAAAACAAUCAAAUUAAAUCUUUUCUCUGUGGAUCGACCUCGGACUCACCGAGUUAUAAUACAACAAGACACUCUUAUACUUGGGAGUUAAAUAUUACUUUUAAGUUGUGUCAGUUUCAAUGUGUUAUGAUGAAUGGUACAGUUAUGAUGUGUUAUGGAUUAUGGUUGUAUGAGGAGGUUUAUAUGUCUGGUUGGGAGCAGCUUGCAUGGUUGAAUGGCCUCUUCAUGCAUGCUGAUUCUUGUGUUUAUAUUCCCCAAAUUGUAGCCGUUGGCAGCUAACGGCUACAAUAACAAACUGCCAUUUUUUGCUUUUUUUGAGGGUGAAAUUGUUAUUUUUGUUCUGGGGGCAAAAUAGUCAUUUGACUAAGAAUCCGUUAGUUUUCGUAACGGGCAGCAAACGGAAGUGAAGAAGUGAAACAAAAUAUAAGUUUAGGUGGAUUCCAGCCAAAAAAAAAAGAAUUGUGUAUUUUUGAUAAAGUUGGAAAAAAUAAGUGGACGGUGGAUAUUUUCCCUUAUUAUUAUUAUUAUUAUUAUUAUUAUUAUUAUUAUUAUUAUUAUUUCCUUUUAACAAAAAUUAAGCUGAGACAACAAUAUAUGCCCAAAAUACCCCUCACAUUAUCCCAAACUUUCUAAACUCCCCCACUCCUCUCAACAUCAUCUCUUCCAAAUCUUUCUUCCUCCAAAAAGCAGCCAUGGCUUCAAAUUCAAUCACCUCAACACUCCAAUAUUGGCUUGUAAACCACCCCCAAAUCCUCAACUUCACAUGGACUCAAAACCAAACCCCAGCUUCCUCCCCACACUUCCUCAUUCUCUCCAUCCUCACUUACCUCUCCCUCACAUUCAUCCUCUACCACAAAUUAACGCCAACAUCACCAUCAUCAUCACCUCUCAUUGGACCCCACAUCCUCAAGCUCAUCACAGCCGUCCAUAACCUCACCCUCCUCCUCCUCUCCCUUGUCAUGGCCUUUGGUUGCACUCUCUCCAUCGUCCUCCAUUCACCCGACCUCCGUCACACCCUCUGUUUGCCCCCCACCAUUUCUGCCUCCGGUCCCCUCUUCUUCUACGCUUACAUCUUCUACCUCUCCAAAAUACUCGAAUUCCUAGACACCCUUUUGAUCAUUUUGUCAAACUCCAUCCAACGGCUCACGUUCCUCCACGUCUACCACCAUGCAACCGUCGUCGUAAUGUGCUACCUUUGGUUACAGACGAAGCAGUCUUUGUUUCCUAUCGCACUUGUCACCAAUGCAAGUGUGCACGUGAUCAUGUACGGGUACUAUCUAUUGUGUGUGAUGGGGUUGCGGCCAAAGUGGAAGAGAUUGGUCACUGACUGUCAGAUUGUUCAGUUCGUGUUUAGUUUUGUUGUUUCAGUUUUGAUGCUGUAUUAUCAUUUUGCGGGAUUUGGAUGCUCUGGGAUCUUGGGUUGGUGCUUCAAUGCUGUGUUUAAUGCUUCUCUUUUGACACUUUUUAUUAAUUUUCAUUCCAAGAGCUAUGCUAAGAAAAAGCAGGGAUGAUCAAAACAAAUCGUCGUUGUGAUUGUUCUCUGUGUGUUUUUUUUUUUUUUUUUUGGUUAAUUAUGACUGGUUGUGAUCGGUUCAUUGCAUUUGACAGAGAUGUUGAAGGGUUAUGUUCUGGAAAAUAGAAAUUAAACCAAAAUUAUCACUAGAACUGGUACAUUAUUACCAUCACAGAUCAAGAUCUGAAUGGACGCAUAGCAGCCAUCCUCAAAACCAAAGGAGGAGAAAAUUGAAAUAGAACAACCACCUUAAGGUGAAGAAGGCCAGAACAAGACACACAUCCUCAAAUCAUAAGGAAGAGGUGGGUGCAACCGAAAAAAAAAAAAAGAAAUCAAGAAUCCACUGGAGAAGGCAAGAAAGAUUUUUGCCUCCGAAGAUUUGGUGAGGAAGAGAUGAGGAGUUUGGAGAGGAAAAGUUUUCGGAGAGAUCUACAGAUUAGCUUUAAAAGUGUGUUUUAAAGAGAAAGUUGUUGAGAACUUGAGAGGAUACAGAGGACGGAACUACCUUACCUUCCUUAUACCAAACACCCAAUUUUAACAUUUUCUUUAACGGUCUUCAUUAUUUUUAGUAAAUAAUAAAAACUAUACAUUCUAAAAAAAUUAACACAAUAAGCCAUUAUAAAAAUAUAAUAAUUUUAGAAUUCUAAAAAUUUUAUUUAGCAUUUUCUUCAGCAAUCUCUACUAUUUUCUGUAAUAUUAAAAACUAUAAAUCUCAAUAAUAAAUAGACCCCAAUUAAAAUAUGAAAAUUUUAAAAUUCUAAAAAAAAUUUCUCUUUCAGUUUUCUUCUCAAUCAUUUUGUUUUGCUUUGAUCUUAAUUUAUUCAUUUAUCCAACAUAUAAUUCUUCUAAAAUAUCAAAAAAUAGAGAGUCUUCUAACUAAAUGAUUAGAUUAAUUUCUUGAACACAAAAUCUCAUAAAAAUAAUGCUUGCAUUCUCUUAAAAGAAAUCUAUUGUGUUUAUUUUUAUUUAUUUUUACUACUACAAUAAGAAAAGAACUAUAUCUUGCUCUCUAUAAUAAAAUCUCAACAAUUAGGGCAUGUUGAAUGCGGUUAAAGAUGGCGACAUACGUUUAUUUUAUUAAAAUUUAAUUUCAAUAUAGUGUUUGGCAUGAAUAAGUAAAUUAAGAAUAAUAGAGUUUGUGCCAAUCAAAUUAUCAUAUGAUAAUUAAUUUUUUGCCCUAAGGGGACCCUUUGAAUAAAAUUUUUAGACUAAAUUUAUAUCUUAUGCUAACAAUUAUAAGGUUAUUUGAUGUUGAGCAAAUUUAUAGAAAUAAAUAAAAGUUAAGUUUCAUUUAUUUAAUUAAAAUAAUUAUUUAUCCUUAUAAGUAACACUAUCUUAAAUGGUAAAACAUUAAAUGCGUAUUUUAUUUUAAAAAAAUUAUAUUAAAAAAUGGGAUUUUUUGUAAUUAAUAUUUUAAAUAAAUGGAUGUGGGGAGUGUUUUAACUAGAUAAAAUAAUCCAUCCAUAUUUAUGUAUAUCUAAAUUUAUUCAUUUAUUAAAUUACCUGGACUCAUAUAAAGAUCAUAAAAUAUUUUGAUGGACUUAUGUGUUAAAAUCUUGAAAUUUAAUCUUUUUUUUUUUUUUAUGAAACAAGAGGGACUGCACCAUUAAUAACCAAGUAAUUAUAUCCUUGCCGUGGGAAUAGCUUUUGCAACUCUUAGAUUGAAUUCAAUGGUUGGAUCACAAAAAGACAAAAAUUGGCUGGACCCGGAUACGUAUGCAAUCAAUCCUUUACUCUUCAUGUUUGUGGACUACGUGGAAUGUUUGUCCACUGAGUGUAAUCGUGACGGUUCGAUUGAGUGAUUAAAAUCACACGGCUGAUAUUAGUUGGUUCUGUGUUGGAGUUGAUCCAACAUAGCCUGAGCCUUUAAAUAAAAAACAUUACAACCCAUGCAUCCAAGCACUUAAAGUUGGCUUGAGUUCAUGGGUUAUUGUCAAUUUUCUUUCCAAUUAAAUUAGAUAGGGAUAAAAUUAUCUCUUUAUUAAUAAGAAUAAAGUAGAUAUUUCUCUCGAUUUUUCUUUUAAUUAAAUUGAAUAGAAGUAAAAUUAUCUAUUGAUUAAUAAGGAUAUAAUAUAUAUCUCUCUAAUAUUAUGUGACGGUAGAAAUUUAGGUUGUUCUGUAAUAUAAUUAUCAAGGAUAGUCUUAAUAGAAUUAAUGUAAAGAAUUAAGAUAAAGCCUCAAAGAUGGAACAGAGGUUAAAAAAAAAAAGAGUACAAGACAAAGAAAAAAGGAAACAAAAGAAGACCAAGAAUAAAAGAAAAAAUAAUUUGGAAAACAAAAAAAUGGAUUGCAAUUUUAAAUUUUAAUUAAGAAUAAAUUGUAGUGAAUGCCAUUGUUGGUAAUUUGUUAUAUUUCAAAGCUCAAAUAAGGAAUAAAAUUAUUAUUAUUAUUAUUAUUAUUUUGCAAUAACUCGUUUCAAAUUUUAAAAGAUUAUAACUUUUUGUUUUUUAACAUUUUAAUCAUAAAUUAAAAAGGAGUUACUAUUCAAGAUUCCUAAGAAUACUGAAAAAAAUGAUAAAUAUUAUUCUAAGAAAAUGAUAUAUAUUGGAUAUACUGAAAUAUUAUAAAUUAUAAAUUAUUUUACUAUUUUACCCCUUAGUUUUAUGUUUGGGGAAAAAAAUACUAAAAUGGCUUUCAAUAAAAAGAAUUAUUAUUAAAAAAUAAGAUUAAAAUUAUAACAAAUGAUAUUAAUAAGAAAGAAAUUGAUAAAAAUUUGGGAUUAGAAAUAGCCAAAUAGGGGUUAAGGCUUCGGUCCUUGAAUUUCUCUAAAUUUUAUAUAUUUUUUAAUUUUUAACCCGUCAAAUUACAUUAUUAAUGGAAUGUCAAUAAAUUUUGUGCGUUAAUUUUUCUUUUAGAUAUUUUGAAAGGUAAAAUGGUAUUUUGGAUGGUAAAAGUCAGCUAAUUAAUUAAAUAUUUAUAUUCCUAAGAUAUUUAAAUUCAAGAGAAGGGUAAAAAUUAUUUUUUAAAUUUUCAUUGUGGUGAUAUCAUAAAAUAAAUUUGUGAUUAUCAUACUUGUUUUAUAGAUUAAGAUAUAAGUAAAAGUUAAAUUAAUCUUGUAAUGGUUUUUUUACCUUUUUUUUUUCUAUAGGGAGUUUUUAUUAAUAAUUUUUUUUGUCGUCUAACUUGAAAUAUAAUAGACCUUAAGGGGCAAAACAAAAUUAUUCUUGUUAACUCCACGAAACUAUUAAUUAGUUAGAGUUAGAGGCAUUCUCGUAUUUUUCAAGUCAACAUCAGUUAACUAUUAAAAAUAGCAGUAUUUGGCAGGUAAAUUGAAAUUUUCAUACUUUUAGAGGGUAAAUUGAAGUAUUUUAAUCUAAUAAGGGUGUGGGACGAAAUUUAACUACAAGUAAAUUAUCCGUGAGGCAAGCUUUUUACAACUUUUGUUUUCUUCUUUUUUUUUUCUUUUGAGUUUUUGUUUUUGUUUUACAUGGCACUGGCCCGACCAGUACAAAUUAAUUUUAGAAUAUUUACAAUUAUGUACCAUAGUUGUGGAGUAGAAUCAUAGAAAUUAAAGAUGGUAAAAUUAUUGAUGUGUGGGGUGGGGUAGGAUAACUAUUAACUUUAUUCAUGCAACGUAAGAAGAAUGCAACUGCUCCUUUGAUUUGGUAUUUUCGUAACAAAAGCAUACAUAACAUCUUAUCAAAUUAUUUCUCCUUUUCCUUGUCAGAAUGGAGGAUGCGUUCGCUUCCCCUCUUCUUGGGCAACUGAACUCCUUUGCUGCUUAUGAAUAAGUGAAACAACAGGUGAGGUUUGUGACUAUUCUCCAACAAGAAGUGAAAAAAGCUUACCACAAAUCUUCAAGCCAUUCAAGCUGCUCGAAGAUACAUAGCAAAGGCAAGUUGAUGUAGGAUGGUUGCAUGGAAUGAGUAAGGUAUCUUCCGAAGGUCAUAACUUAGGAUACAAAUAUCCAUUCCGUUUUGAAUGUAUAGUAUAUCGUUUCAAAACUUGUAAUAAGUUGAACCAAAUGCAGAAUAGUCUACGCUAUCCUGCCCUGUGGUUGAGCAAAAAAUUUCACUUCUUUCUUGGUUGUUUUUCAGUUUAAAGAUAUUUUUCUAAUUUGUCGUGAUUCUUUUGGGAUUUUUAUCUUUUUUUUUUCUAGAUAUUGGAUUUGAGUUCCAUUUGUUUUCCUUUUCUUAUUUAGAUUAGAAGGAUUUUAUUAUCAUAUAAUAUUUUGGAUUUGCCUAUUUUGGUAAAUUCCUAAUAUUUAUGCUUCUAUAAAAGUGGUUCAAUACCCCAAUUUUGUUUGUUCAAAUUAUUCGCAAUAAAACUUAUUAUUUAAAAACCUAGUUUCUAUUAUCUAAUUGCCUUUUAAUGUUUUCUUAUCGUCAGCUGGUAUUAGAGUAAGUUCGCUUGUUAUCAUGAUGUGACCACACAAAGGAACAACUGUCCCGAAGACAUUCAAGGGAAGUAGACAACGACUGUGGAGGCAGAGGCGAAGCUCAGGGGACUUUUUGAAAAAAAAAAUUUAUAAUUUAUAAAUUUACUUUUAUUAAUAUUUAUUAAAAAAAAUAAAAACAAGCCCAAUAAUUAUAUGAAUCUUUAUUUUCCCCAAUCACAAUUCAUAAAACUCACCAGUAUCUAACUAAAUCCGAAUUUGAAAUUCACCAAAAUUCAAUUGCUCAAGUCUCUUACCGCUGCUGAAUACCCAGUCUCCUGCGCUCGAAUUGACGCCCAGCCGCUGCCUCAUGAGUGACGCCGAGCCACUGCUGCAAGGCCUGAACCUGCAGGUUGAAUCUCUGACCGCCGAGCCGACGCCGAAUGCCCAGUCUCUUGAUGCGCCCCUAGUACAAAGCACUUUGCCUUUUAAACUUUAGUUUAUAGAAUAUAAUAUGAUUUUAUGAUAAUGAUGGUUGGCACACAAAGUGGAAUUGUGGAAGGCUGGAAGUUGUUGAUUUUGUGAACUGUGAUUCAUAUUUUUAAAAUUAUAAAAUAAUAGAAUGUGAAAAACGGUGAUGAUAGCAUAUUAAGUGGAACUGUGAAAGGUGCUGAUUCAUCUUCUUGGAAUUAUAAAAUAAUGAUGGCAUGAAAGAAUGAGUGAAUAAAAUAGUAAAACAAUUAAUUUGAAUGUUAACUUUUUUAAUUAGCUUUUAACUUGCGAUUUUGUCAAAUUUUUUAUAAAAUAAAUACUAAAUUUUUAAUGUAUUUUAUUACAGAUUCAAUAUUAAAUAAACCAAGAAAAACUCUACUUUUUUUUUUUUUAAGAGAGUAAGUGAAAAUCAAUCAUCCACCAAGUCUUUAUCUCCAUGUCAAGUUAAUGCUCAAGAUUCCAGUGAGCAACAUACUUCCAAGUUUCAAAGGGUUGAAGUUGAAGAAACUAGAAAUACUUAUCUGGAGCGUGAUCCUGGAUUACGUCAUCAAAUAGGGACAUAUUUAGUAAAUCAACGUGAUGAUAUUAGAAGGGAGUACAUCAAAAUGAGACUUUAUGAGCCUAAACUACGAGAUUAUCCAGUAACUAAUGAUGACAUGCAAGAACGUAGGUUUCACUAUCACUGGUUUAAAAAAUUUCCAUGGCUUGAUUACUCUGAGGUGAAAGAUAGUGCAUUUUGUUUUCAAUGCUUUCUUUUUGAUGAAAUUCCAUCAAACAACCCAAAAUUUGUUAUUGAAGGAUUUUCUAGUUGGAAGAGAGUCAACAAUGGAAAACAAAAUGUCACUUUUUACAGCAUGAAGGGGGUCCAUUUUCUCAUCAUAAUAAGAAUAUGCAGAGUUGGGGUUGUUUGAGGAACCCAAUUCAACACAUUGAUAGAUUAAUUAAUGCCCAAACUUCACAAAAACUUUUGGAGAAUAGGCUACGAUUGAAGACCUCAAUUAUUGCUGUUAAAUGGUUAGCAAAGCAAGCAUGUACUUUUAAAGGUCAUGAUGAAUCAGUUAAUUCAAGAAAUCGGGGAAAUUUCAUAGAGUUGAUAAAGCAUUCAGCGGAGUGUAGUAAAGAAAUUGCUCAAGUUGUCUUGGAAAAUGCUCCAUCAUAUGCUAAGUAUACAUCGUCUGACAUUCAAAAAGAGCUUUUAAAUAUUCUUGCAAACAAAGUGCGAAACAAGAUACGCAAGGACCUUGGAGAUGGUAAGUUUUGUAUUUUAGUAGACGAAGCACUUGAUGAAUCUGAUAAAGAGCAAAUGGCUAUUAUUUUAAGGUAUGUUGAUUGUGAUGGGUAUAUUUGAGAACGUCUUUUUGAAGUUGUCAAUGUCAUGGAAACUACAACAGUAACAUUGGAAAAAGAAAUAUGUAAUGUUCUUGCACGAUAUGAUCUUUUAGUUGAAAAUAUCCGAGGGAUGGUGCUAGUAACAUGCGGGGUGCAUGGAAUGGAUUACAAGCAUUAUUUUUGAAAGAUUGCUCAUAUGCAUAUUAUAUACAUUGUUUUGCACAUCAACUACAACUUGCUUUAGUUGCAGCAUCUAAUAAUGUGCCAGAUGUAUGGCUUUUCUUUUUAGCAUUGGGUUCAAUUGUAAAUGUUCUGACUUCAUUUGCUAAACGGCUUUCUGAGUUAAAAUCUGUUUGGGAAGCAGAAAUAAUAGAUUUGAUAGCUUCAGGAGAAGUUCAAACUGGUACAGGGGCCAAUCAAAUUCAUACUUUGCAAUGGCCUGGAGCUACUUGGUGGAGCUCUCAUUUCCGUUCUGUCAGUAGGUUGCUUGAUUUGUUUAGUGUUAUUCGUAAAGUUUUUGGGAAGUUGGUAGAGUGUGGACUUAACAAUAUCAUACGUGGAAAGGCUAAAGGUGCAUGUGAAUCAAUGACAUCUUUUAAAUUUGUGUUCAUUUUGCAUUUAUUACAUAAAGUUUUGGGGGGUGAGUGAUUUACUUUGUCGAGCAUUACAAGUUAAAUCUCAAGAUAUUCUAAAUGCUGUUCACUUAGUCUCAACUACGAAAACACUUCAUCAAAGGCUGCGAGACAAUGGUUGGGAAAUUUUAUUGAGAACGUAGUUCUAUUUUGUGAAAAGAAUGAGAUAGAUAUGUCUGAUAUGAAAGCUCGCCAUAUGAAAGGCAGAGGACGUUCUUGUCAGUAGAAUGAUUAUAUUACAAUUGAUCAUUAUUAUCAUUAUGAUAUAUUUAAUGCUGUGAUAGAUUUUCAAUUGAUGGAGUUGAAUAAUAGAUUUACUGAACAGACUUUGGAACUCCUCACUCUUAGUUCAGCUUUAAAUCUUAUUGAUGCAUUUAAAUCAUUUAAAAUUGAAGAUAUUUACAGCCUUGCUGAAAGAUUUUAUCCUGAAGAUUUCACUAAGAUUGAGUUACAGGUUUUGAGAAGACAAUUAGAGUGCUUUGAGAUAGAUAUACACUCUCUUCAAGAGUUUCAGAAUAUUACUUUCCUUUCUGAAUUGUGUCGAAGAUUGGUUGAGACUAGAAAGUCACAGAUUUAUUUCUUGUUGGGUAGAUUAAUUCGUUUAGUGUUAACCCUUCCUGUUUCAACAGCAACAACAGAGAGAGCAUUUUCUGCCAUGAAACUAAUUAAGACAACACAUCGAAACAAGAUGGAGAAUGAGUUUCUUUCAGAUUGUAUGGUUAUUUACAUCGAAAGAGAAAUUGCAGACAAUAUUGACUCAGAUGCGAUAGUAGAUGAAUUUUCUUUUUUGAAGAACCGCAUGACACAGCUUCGUCAAUAGGGUUUUUCUUAUUUACAUUGUAUUUUUAUAGUUUUAUGGUUAAAUUUUUGCUUAUGUAGUGUGCUUAAUUUCAUUUAUAUAAAACAAAUUUUUUGAGAAAUAAAUUUCAUUUUUUUUAAAAUCUAGCCCACCCAAACAAAUGAUGCUAGCUUCGCCAUUGGAGGUUAUCAGAUAGAUGGUCAAAGAAGCAAUCUUGUAAGUCAUGGAGUACGCAUAUAAUGCGAGAAUGGCAACAGACAAAUAUUAGGUUAUCUCUUGUAAACCAUAUUGAUAAAUCUAAUGAGGGAAAGAUAUUUUUUUUCUUGUCCUAGAUGACGUGUGGGAUGGAAGUUACAAUCAAUGGGAACCAUUCUUCUAUUGUUUAAAGAAUGGUCUCAAUAGUAGUCAAUUUUUUAUUACUACAUAUUAUCAGAUAGUAGCAAGUAUGAUGAGAUUAACAAAUAUUAUUUUUAUUAAGGAAUUAACUGAAGAAGAAUGUUGGUCAUUGUUUAAGCAAGUAGCAUUUUUUGGUCAAUUUUUUGGUCAAUUUUUUAAGGAUAGUGACCAAAUGAUAAAAAAAUUGCAUGCAGGGCCUGCCUCUUAUUGCAAAGGCAAUUGGGAAAUUCUUACAAUAUAAAUGACCAACAGAAGAAUGGAAAAUAAUUUUAGAUAGUGAUAUGUAGAAGGUAGAAGAGAUUGGGAACAAUAUUAAUAGGGAAAUUCUUAUAAUAUAAAUGACCAAUAAAAAAAAAUGAAAACUACACUAUAGAUGGCUCAAAGUUACCUUAUUGUAUAAGAAGGCCAAGAGAUGAGGAUCCGAUCCAAUCUAAUAGUAGUAGUUCAUUUCAAUUUUUAUUCAUUUGAUUUUAUAGUAGUAGUUUUCAUUUUUUUUGGUUGAAAAUUGGUAAAAAAAUAUUCAAAUGAGAUAAUUACAAUAAAACCAUCUUCAAGAACUACAAUAAUUUUAAAAAAACUCAAAAUAAACAAAAUAGGCUCAAAAACACCCCUAAUCCCAACAUUAUCUGAAUCCAUCCUAGCUGACCGAAUCUGAUUUUAAUCCAACCCCAACUUGAUCCCCAUAUAAUUAUAACCUGAUGCAAUCCAAACUAAACUUGAGUUUUUGAUUUGAUACAAUCUAAUCUGAAUAUUCUAACCCAAUCAACCUAAAAGCCGAUUAAGUUAAUCUGAACACAAAUUUACCCACUCCUAGCGAGGAUCAUGACCCAACAAGCUUUGAAAGAUUUUGAGGUUUCGAAGUGAAAUAUUAAAAAUUAGGUAUAAAAAGACUGAUUAGACCCCUAAGAACUUGAUAUAUAAAAUUUAUACAUAUAAUAGAAAUUUGAUUUAUAUAUUAUUAAAAUAAAAUCAAGUAACUCGAUUUUUUUUAUUGUAUUAAUUAUUUUUCCAUUAUGACGAUAUGACAAAUAGCCUUUUAUUAAAAUUUUGAUAAAACUUGGGCCUAAGUCUUUGAUUUUUAUUUUGUUAAUUAUUUUUUUAGUUUUUACUUGCAACAGUACUUCAAUUAUGAAUCAAAGUCGCCAAAUAAAAUCGCUGCAGCCUGUAGCUACAAGCAAAAUUCUAAAAUUUCGAAAUUCCUAACAACUAUAUAAUCGCUAUAAAUAGAAAAACGGUCUAAAAUUAAAUCCUCAGCUAACAUUUUAAGUUUGAAGUUGGGCCUCCUGAAGAUUUACCCCAUAUGGAUCAAAAUAUUGGUUUCGCUACUAAAAUUGCGAACUAUGUUUUUCUUUGUAUUUUCCGCUCAAGGAUGAAGAAAUUUCCCUCAACACUCUUGGCCGAAUAUCUUGCAAACAUAUGAUACUAAAGUGUCAUUUUUUGUUUUAAACAAAAAAUGACACUUUAAGGCAAUAGGAGAGUUUAAUGUAUUAAAAUGGUAAACGGGUGGAUAAAACUCAAAAUAAUUUUUUAACGUUUUAUCUAUUUUAACAUUCGAAUUUUAAACUUGAGAAGUCAAGCAAUCAAUAAACCUUUUUGAGAGGCUAAUUAAAUUCUUAGUAAUUUCACAUAAUUUCAUUUCAUCAGAACAAUUUUAUCAAAAGCAAUUUUAUAAAUCGUUGUUGAAAGCUUUAUUCCUUAAUUAUCUUUCACAUAUUUUUCUUUGUAGUAUGAGCUAAGUCAUAGACCAUAGUAUGAUAUUUAUUAUUACGUUAAAGAUGCGACAAAUUUGAGAAUAUUUAUUAUUACGUUAAAGAUGCUACAAAUGUGUUCAUCGGAGGAGUGGAAUCUGGGAAUUUAAAGAUGCUACUACAAUUACGAACGUGUGGGUGGGGAUAAGCAUAAAUGUCGAUAAAAGUUUGACUAAGAUCUUAUAUAUUGGAAAUUAAGAUAUUCUCUCUCUGCAUGUUAUUUCUGUAGGAAAUAACAUGCAGAUAUAGUAUUUUAGGUUAUUGUUAAUGGUUUUACAAUAAUAAAAAUCAUUUUGUUAGACCGUAAAAUGCCGUACUCACACUCUAUUUUGUGCAGAAGUCUGCGAGAAAGGAUUUCCACAUAUAUAUAUAUAUAUAUAUAUAGAGUCGUGUACUACAGAUUUAACUAGUGGAGAAGUUGGGAACUUUUUUUUUUUUUUUAUCUAACACAGGCUAAAAAUAUUUCAAUAAAUUAUGAUCAUGCAGACUAAUAAGAUUUUUUUUGUUAUAUAUAUUAAUUUUUUAGGGACUAAUGUGAAUAUUACUAAUUUUUUUGAGAUUAUUAAAAAACAAUGUUCUGACUUACCAAUAUGAUUUUUCCAAUCUUUUUUCUUUUCGUUAUUUAUUCCUUUGAGCAUUAGAGUUAAUGCUUGAUAUAAUUUUUGUGCUCAUUUUUUAAAUUAGUAAUUAAAUCUGAAUCUUAUAGUAGAAGAUUAUGAAAAAGUGAAGACACAAAAAGCAUUAAAAUCAUUAUUAGAUCCAAAUUUGUGCUAUUUUCAUACAUAACUUGAGAAUAUUUAUAAUUACGUAUCACAACUAGUGGAGUAGAAUCGGGGAAAUUAAACAUUCUACAAUCAUUGACGUGUGGGUUGGGGAUAAGCAUAAACUUUUUCUAUGCUGCAUAAAAGAAUGCAAUAACUCAUUUUCUUUCAGUAUUUUCGCAACAAAAGCACAUCUAAUAACUCUUUAGAAUUCUCGUCUUCUUUGCCACAAUGGUUGAUGCGAUCGUUUCCUCUCUCCUGGAGCAGCUGAUCUCUGUUGCGGCUGAUGAAGUGAAACAGCAGGUGAGGCUUGUGACUGGUGUCCGACAAGAAGUGAAAAAGCUUACCAGCAAUCUUCAAGCCAUUCGAGCUGUGCUGGAAGAUGCAGAGAAAAGGCAAAUGCAGCACGACAAAGCUGUUACUUUUUGGCUGGAUCAGCUCAAAGACGCAUCUUACGACAUGGAAGAUGUGUUGGAGGAGUGGACCACUGCAAGGCUCAAAUUGCAGAUUGAGGGCGUUGAUGAUGACACUGCUCUUGCUCUUGCUCCUCAUAAGAAGAAGGUACGUUCCUUCUUUUGUGCUCUAUCAAACUGCUUUGGUAGUUUCAAACAACUUAGUCUUCGUCAUGACAUUGCCGUCAAGAUUAGGGAAAUCAAUGGAACGCUAGAUGAUAUUGCCUCCCAAAAAGAUACGUUUAAAUUUGUGGAGAAUGUGAGUAACAAUGUCAAGAAACCAGAGCGAGUGCGAACCACCUCCUUGAUUGAUGAGGGAGAGGUUUGCGGUAGAGUUGAUGAGAAAAAUUAGCUCUUAAGCAAGUUGUUGUGUGAAAGUAGUGAACAACAACAAGGCCUUUAUGUCAUCUCACUAGUUGGGUUAGGGGGUAUAGGUAAAACCACUCUUGCACAACUGGCCUAUAAUAAUGAUGAGGUGAAAAGAAAUUUUGAAAAAGUUAUAUGGGUGUGUGUAUCAGACACUUUUGAGGAGAUUAGGGUCGCCAAAGCAACCAUUGAAGGUCUAGGUGUGUCGGCUUCUGGUUUAAGCGAAUUCGAAUCUCUUAUGAAACAGAUUCAGGAAUAUAUUACGGGGAAGAAAUUUUUUCUUGUUUUAGAUGAUGUGUGGGAUGGAGAUUACAAAAAAUGGGACCCAUUCUUUUCUUGUCUAAAGAAUGGCCACCAUGAAAGUAAAAUUCUAAUUACCACAUGUGAUAGGUCAGUUGAGCUACGGUUGGGAUCAAUAGAUAUUAUCCCUGUCAAGGAGUUGGGUGAAAGAGAAUGUUGGUUACUGUUUAAGCAGAUAGCAUUUUUACGUAGGUCCUUUGAGGAUUGUGAAAAAUUAGAACCAAUCGGGUGAAAAAUUGCACACAAGUGCAAAGGCCUGCCUCUUGCUGCAAAGGUAAUAGGGAAUCUCUUGCGCUCUAAAAGUACAGUAAAAGAGUGGCAAAGAAUUUUAGAGAGUGAAAUGUGGAAAGUAGAAGAGAUUGGGCAAGGUCUUUUAGCUCCUUUGUUGUUGAGUUAUAACAAUUUACCCUCCAAUUCUAUGGUAAAACGGUGUUUCUCAUAUUGUGCUGUCUUUCCAAAAAACUACAAUAUGAAUAAAGAGGAACUAAUUUCACUAUGGAUGGCUCAAGGUUACCUUAAUGCAGAAGAAGACGAAGAGAUGGAGAUGAUUGGGGAAGAGUAUUUCAACAUUUUAGCAGCACGCUCUUUCUUUCAAGAAUUUAAGAAAAAUGAUGAUGAUGAUAUUAUGAGUUGCAAGAUGCAUGACAUAGUGCAUGAUUUUGCUCAAUUUGUAAGUAGCAAAGAAUGUUUGUGGCUAGAAAUUAAUGGUACCAAAGAAUCAGUCAUAAACUCUUUUGGUGACAAAGUCCGUCACUUAGGGUUAAAUUUUGAAGGAGGCGCUUCAUUUCCUAUGUCCAUUCGUGGACUUGAUAGAUUGCGUACCCUUUUAAUUUAUGAUAGAAGUGAUUUCAAUCUGUCUCUUAGUAGUAGCAUCCUUUCGGAGUUAUUUAGUAAAUUGGUGUGUUUAAGGACAUUAGUUAUAAGGCAAUCGUCCCUAUAUUUUCAUCCUUUUCAUCUUGACCCAAAUUCGAUUAGAGAAAUUCCAGAAAAUAUCAGAAAAUUGAUACAUUUAAAAUAUCUUAAUUUGUCUGAAUUAGGCAUAGAGAUACUACCUGAGACUUUGUGUGAAUUAUAUAAUUUACAAAAGCUAGAUAUUAGGCGGUGCCGAAAUCUUAGAGAAUUGCCAGCGGGGAUUGGGCAGUUAAUGAACAUGAGGAGUUUACUGAAUGGUGAAACUUAUUCGUUGAAGUACAUGCCAAUAGGGAUUUCCAAAUUAACCAGCCUUCGAACAUUAGACAGGUUUGUGGUGGGUGGAGGUGUUGAUGGUAGCAAUACGUGUAGGCUUGAAUCUCUGAAAAAUCUUCAACUCCGUGGUAAAUGUAGUAUAGAAGGGCUGAGUAAUGUGUCACAUUUAGAUGAGGCUGAGAGGUCGCAACUUUACAAUAAGAAAAACCUCCUUCGUUUGCAUCUUGAGUUUGGUAGAGUCGUAGAUGGGGAAGGCGAAGAAGGGAGGAGGAAGAACGAGAAAGAUAAACAACUUCUUGAAGCCUUACAACCGCCUUUGAAUGUAGAGGAAUUCGGGAUUGUAUUCUACGGAGGCAACAUUUUUCCCAAAUGGUUGACUUCACUAACCAAUCUAAGGGAAUUAAGACUUGUCUCGUGCGUUGACUGUGAGCAUUUGCCUCCUUUGGGAAAAUUGCCUCUGGAAAAACUCGAACUAGGGAACUUGAAAAGUGUAAAAAGAUUGGGUAAUGAGUUUUUGGGAAUAGAAGAAAGCAGCGAGGACGAACCAUCUUCAUCUUCAUCGUCAUCAUCAGUUACUGCCUUCCCCAAAUUGAAAUCACUGGAAAUUAAGGGAUUGGAUGAACUGGAAGAGUGGACUUACAGGAUUACGAGGAAGGAAAACGUCUCCAUCAUGCCCCGUCUUUCUUCCUUGCGAAUUGAUUCUUGCUUCAAAUUAAAGGCGCUGCCGGAUUACCUUCUUCAAACGACGGCGCUGCAGAACCUGAGGAUUUUUUUUUGUGAAAAUAUGGAAGAACUGCCCAUUCUAGAAGAUCACAGGACAACAGACAUACCACGUCUUUCUUCCUUGCGAAUUUGGUAUUGCCCCAAAUUGAAGGCGCUGCCGGAUUACCUUCUUCAAACGACGGCACUGCAGAAAUUGACAAUUUGGGGAUGUCCCAUUCUGGAAAACCGUUAUAGAGAGGGGAAAGGAGAAGACUGGCAUAAGAUAUCUCACAUUCCCCACAUCAGGUGGUCGGCGUAAGAUGUCACUAGGGAUGGCAAUUUGCGGGUUUGGGCCGGGCUUUUUAAAGCCCAGGCCCAAGCCCGCAUCAUUCAAAAGAAGCUUAGGCCCUUCAAAAGCCCGUCCAACUUAGACGGGCCGAACUCGGGCCGGGCCUAGACGGGCCUGGGCCGGGCUCGGGCCGGGCUUGGACUUUUUAAAUUAAUUAUAAAAUAUUUUUUAAAUUAAGAAAAAAUAUUUAAAUUAAAGAUAAUAAUAUAAUACAUAGAUAGAAUAAUGGUAAAAUACAUGAAAUAUUAGUAAUACAACCUAAUAAAAUAACAAAUACUAAUAUAAAAAAUUAAACUAAUUUAAUAUUUUGAAUUUUUUCUUUUUUAUUUAAAUUAAAUUUAUUUUUUAUUCAUAAAUUUAAAAAGCCUGGGCCAAGCCCGGGCUUUUUUGCUAAGCCCUUGUCCAGGCCCAACAUAUGCGGGCUUUGUAAUUUUUAGGCCCAUAUCCAUGCCCAUCUGUGCGGGCCGGGCUUUAGGCCCGCGGGCCUGGGCCGGGCUUGGCCGGGCCGGGCCAAGCCCGGGCUUUUUUGCCACCCCUAGAUGUCACUCGCUGGUAAUUUCUCCUCCUUCUCUGAAUUACUUCGUAGUUGCUUGCAAUGAAAUUGAUAAAAAUAAUUAUAUUUUGAAUUAAAAUUCUAUAUAAAAUCAAUCAUCGUAUAAAUAUGUAAAACUUCCUAGUUAUCAAAUCUGUUAAACUUGUUUUCUAAAGAUUAAAUAAUAAAAAAAUACAAGUGUAGUCUGUUUAAAUUUCUAUAUUUAUUUACUUUUAAAAAAUAUGUACUUUUAAAUUUCACACAACAACAUAGAAAAUCUCAGUGUAAUUUAUUUUUUAAUGUACGAAAAGUUGUUAUGUGUAACUUCCUGAGAGAAAAAAUCUCUGUGAUACAUUUGCAGUAAUGUUGAAAACUAAAUUAUUAAUUUUAUCUUGUAUAAUGAUAAUUGUAUUUUUUUAUAUAUAAUUCUUUAAAGUAAUUGUGUAAUUGUUUUUACUACGAGUUUAUGUUUCAUUUUAAUUAUGUUCACCAGGGAUUCGAGGAAAUGUCAGAACCACACUAGCAAUUCACAGGUCCAAUCUAAUUUGGUUUUAAUGAUGCAGGCAGGAGAGUAUGCUAAGAAAAUGAAAAGUUUAGCCAAAGGAUUGCUAAAAUGUUCUGUUGGUAAUUCACUUGCUUUAUUUUAUAGAAUUUCAUUUCCAUCUUCUUCUAUUGAUAUCUUGUUGUGAAUAAACAAGAACAGAGAAGUAAAUGAUUGAACCACAGAGAAGUAAAAAUAUAUCCAAAUUCGAUUAUUAUGAUGAUUAAAGCAAGCUCAAGCUCAAGCAUUGCAUUUUUUAUUUUAUUUAGUUUAUAGAAUUUUCAUUUCCACCUGCAUUGCAUUUUUAUUUUAUUUUUAGGUUUUCUUUGAAGACUCUAUGGAGAACAUUGGGGUAACCAAGGAUUAUCACUGUGGUUAUUGUAUUUUUAGGUUUUCUUUGAAGACUCUAUGGAGAACAUUGGGGUAACCAAGGAUUAUCACUGUGGUUAUUGUGCAACGUUUGGUUGCUGGACUUUGAAGAAGGAAGUGAUGGCCGGGUCCGCUCUGUUUCAAUUGAGGAUUGAUAGCUGCCUGAAAGACAUGAUGAUUGUUAUUGCAUGAUGUUAAGGUGCUAAGAUCAUCAUUUCUAUCUUGUUUCAUUCUUUGAUCGGUUUAUCCUAUAUAAACAUAUGGAAUUAUGCUAAUAUUAUCAUAUGCGUCAAUGGAGGCAGGAAUUUGGUGUUGACACUAUUAUGCAGGUAACCACACUUCAUAAUUUGCACAAAUUUGCGUCAAUGCAGGCAGGAAUUUGGUGUUUCUUUGUAUUAUCAGGUUAUCAUCUCCAAGGGUUUGAAAGAGCCUUUGCAGUAAAGUCAGCUGUCACCAGCUCGUGCAAUUGCACGUUCAUUCAGAGUACUUCAACAUUCGAUUUUCAAGUUUUGUAUGUUUAGUUGCGAUUAAAAUGUUUAGUCACUCAUUUUUAAUCAUUUCUGAUUUUCAAGUUCUUUAGGGCCAUAAACAGUUUUUCAAACUCAUUCUUAUUUUUUUGGUUGAUUUCCUAUUCGUGGAGAACAUUGGCAAGUCCAAGGAUUAGGCUGGCGAUGGAACUACUACCUCUGUUGUUAUUGUGCAAGGUUUGAUCGCUGGACCUUGAACAAGAAUGCCUUAAACGCAUUCUGUAAUUGAAGCGUUCUCUAAAGCAAAAGAGCAGUAGAAGGAAUAGUGAUGGCCGGAUCUGCUCUAUCUUAAUUGAAGAUCUCUGUGAUGUUGAGGAGCUGAAAGCAGUUGAUGCUUUUUGAAAAUUGUUAUUACAGAUGAAUUGAUUCCUGAAGACGAGUAUCUAAUGAUUGUUAAGGCGUAUUUUCAUGCUGUAGUAACAAUUUCAUAUCUUGCAUCUCUCGGGUGCAUCAUGUUCACGGGUUUGAAAAAGCAUUUGUGGUAAUGCUUCAAAGCUUGUACAAUGGCUGUGAAAAGGCACAUUCAAUUAGGUACGUUUUGGUGCGGUCUCCCAAUGCUAAUAUCAUAUUUUGUAUAGCAAUUAAAAUUUAGCUAUACAAUCUUAAUAUGCAAUAAAUCAUUGUAUACAAAGUUUUUUAUUGAUUAUAUGGUGACUGAAAUUUUAAUUAUCAUAUCAAUUUAAAUUUUUUUGUAACUCUCUUUUACUUUGCUUGUACAGAGUACCUGUUUUGGCUGAUAUGUCUAAUUCGUAGAAAUUCAUUUCCAUCGGUUUCCAUUGGCUUUAGCACAAACCGAAACAGAUCUCUGGGGAAAAGUUUUACUUCUUGUGAUAUUAUGCCUUUGUUUAUUCAUUCAUCAUAUUUUUCGAAUUCAUGAUCUCAUUCAGAGGGUAAAGCCUUUUCCAGGCUGCUUUGUAGCCAAACUUUGACGCCUUUGAUGCAUGACUGUCAUUUAGAUUUUCCAAAUAACUGUUGGAUUGGAGAAGAAUAAGAAGAUACUGUUAAAAGGGUAUUUAAUUAGCGCCCUCUGAAUUUCUUGGAGUUAAUGUAGUCAAUUGCCCAAUUUUGCUUCAAACUCUGAGACACCUAAUAAAUAGUAGGAGGGGGUGGUAUUCGCCUGGUGUUAAUUUCCUGGCAAGUAUAGUUCACAGAUAGAUGGGUUCUUUUCUUGAUGUCUAAAUACCAUAUGUGAUACAACAUCGUGUAUUCCAAUUUUUCUCCAAUUAAAUUUUAAUACGUUAGAAAAGUUAAUUUUGUUUUAGCAAUGAAUUGUUUUCUUAAUAAUAAUGAUUGCCAUGUUCCUCUGAAGUCUUAUUAAUGCCAGACCAACAACUACUAGGUUCAUCUCUCGUUCACUUCCUCAGGGAAUCUAGAGGGCAUUCAUUGGCAAGUAGUCUUUCUUGUUGAGCUCCUGGAAUUACUUUUAAUUUAUCAUUUGUUGGGUUUUGCUUUUUGAUUGCUUUGGGAUUUGUGUUUUUAUCGCUUUGUCGCUCAUUAAUCUUGGCUGUUUUGAAUCUGUGUUGGAUUUAGAAGUUUGGAGUUAAAAACAGUUAAAGCUUAGACUAGUAGAAGAGAUUUGUACAUUCAUUUAUCUUGGACAAAGUUUUUGGGGAAAAAAAAAUUAUAAGUAUACACUUUCCAAUGGUCCGGUGAUGUUUGAUUGGUUUUAAGAUGUUGGAUCUCUCAUCAGAUUUCUUAUGUAUCGACUGCUGUUGCCACAGGAUGCUCGCAGAUCAUGCUUUUUUGUAUAAACUUCUACUAGAGCAGGCUGCCACAAUUGGUUGCAUUGUUUUGUGGGAGUUGGAGAAUCGUAAGGAGAGGUGUUUUUUCUCUCAUAUCAAAGGAACUCUCCCCUUCCUUUUUAUUUUCAUCUUAUAUAGUAAGCUAAUAAAUGUUUGUUUCUGUCGUGAUGGGAUAAAGCAAGAAUGAGAUCUUGCCCUAAUAAAUGUGCUCACAGUAACAGCAUGUAAUUUUGUUGUUUGGUCGCUUGCUCCUUGUCGUUCUUAUGGAAACACCUUCCGGUUUGACUUGCAAAAUACAUUACAAAAGCUCCCAAACAAUAUAUUUGAACGGAGUUACCCAUUUCGAGAAUUUGACUUGCAAAAGAGAAUCCACCCCCUUUUUUACAAGGCUGCAGAGUUGUAUAUGGUGGGAUUAAAUGCUGGAGCAGUGCAAGGUUCUUUGUCAAACUAUCUUGCUGGUAAAAAGGACAGGUCAACAUGGUUGCAAAACUUCCUUUUCAUUCCUCAUUCACUUAUUCAUUAUAAAUAAAGAAAACUUAGAAGAUUGUUCUGUUUACUGUCUGAGCCUGUUUAGCAUUUGUUAAAUUUGGGCCACCUUUAAUGUCUGACAGGUUAUCUAUGACAAUCCCAUCUGUGAGUACUAGUGCGCUUGGUUAUGGUGCUUUCCUUGGACCAUAUGCAAACAUGAGAUAUCAGCUAUUUUAUGGAUUUGAUAGAGCCGUCAUCAACCAUUUUGAUGUUAUUGGAAUAGCACUGUUCUUAAACACUGCUUUGAGGUCUCUCCCUCUAUCUCUUUUACGUAUUUGUUUAUUGAUCUACAUCUCUAUAUACAUUGAUAGACUAAUCUGGUCGUACCAAAUUACCCUUGUUUUAAUGUUUUGUUUGUUAAACUUUGACUGGGGAAUCUGUUUAUUUGUCUGAUAUGAUGUUAGUGUGGUUUCUAUUGAAGUGUGUAGAUCUAAGGAUGGUUUUAAAUUAACUGAACCCUGAGGUAGUUUUCUAAGGAAAUACAAGUGGUGAAUAUGGUUCCAACUUUUGAGUGCCUUAAUUAACCCAUUUGUUAAGCCCCGUGCGUAAACAAUCAGUAAUUGCUGUCCAAAUUCUUCUUUACUGCCUAUAUGUGUUGGACUUUGUCUAUUGUUCAACUUCUCAAAUGGAUUCCAUGCAGGGUUCUUAAUGUCCAAUUAGGAGAAAGAUCAAGGCUUGCUUGGCUAGGAGUGGAAGCGGAUCCGCUACUUCAGUCAGAUGACCUUUUGAAGAGGGCUUACAAGAGGCCGUCUCAGGAUGUCAAUGGCUCAACUCAAAAGUCCCCAAGGUGGUUGAUAUCAAAGAAUGCCAUUGUCUCUGGGCUUGGGCUCCUUGGCAUCAAACAAGGGAAUGUCGACUCUGUUGAAGGGGAAGCAAGGGCUCCUAAAGUGCGAAGAAAGAGGAUAGUCCGGAAGAAGGUGACCGCAUAAAUUUCUUGGGAGUUAAUCCUAGUCAAUAGCCCAAUUUUGCUGCCUGUUGAAGAGAUACAACACGGAAAUCCUCAUCAAACUCUUUGAGACAUCUAAGAACUUGUAGGGAGGUGGUGGUAUUCACCGUGUUUCCUGGCAAGUGUAGUUCACUAAUAGAGGGAUUCUUUUCUUGAUGUCUAAAUACUAUAUGUGCUACAACAUCGUAUAUUCCAAUUUUUCUCCGGUUAAAUUCUAGUAAGUUAGAAAUGUUAAUUUUGUUAUAGCGAUGAAUUGUUUUCUUAAUAAUAAUAAUGGCCUGUUGCUUGGGAAUCGUAUUCACUCUCUGUAACCCAGUAAAAUUGUGCAAAUUUUACUGCAGAUUUGUCAAACAGAGUAUUUUGUGAUUGUUUUGAUACACUUUUGAUGGCAAGUUCAAGUUUGAAUCAUCUUGUAAUAAUAAUAUAUGUAUUGUAUUUAUGUAUUGUAUACUAUCCUUAGGGAUAAGGAUAAGAGUGUAUAAAGUGUGAUAAAACAUAAAGUAGGAUAUGAGUUGUAAAGUAGAUUUCUUUGUGAUAAGGAUCAUUAAUGCCUACAGUAUGUAAUAGUAGUUCCCUUGUGCCUAUAAAAGGAAACCCUUGGUUUCUAUCUAGGCAUCGAGUCUUGGAGUGCAAUCUUGUAUUUGUAAAUCUCUCAUUCCUCUUAAUAGAAGUAACAUUCUCUUGUUGGUUAUUUUGAAUUGGUAUCAGAACCAUAUUUCCCAAAAGGAAACCCCUGGGUGUGCAACAAUAUUAUGCUCUGUGGUUGCCGAAAUACUUCGGAUCCUUCACAUCAGAAAGUUGUUGGAUACUGAUCUAACUGUCCAAACUUUCCAUGCUAAAAUACUACAGAGUGAAUUCUGUAAGGUGUGGCGCCCCCUUGAAAAGGCUAGGAGAGCCGAGUUUAGGGUUUAUCACCCCAAAGAAAACCCUUUGAUUUCUUUUAGCCAUGGAAAACCAAAACAACAAUAGAUCAGGAAACCAACCAAUUUCUGAACAGGCAUCCACUUCGGCCAUCAGAGUUACUACUGAUAGCUCGCCCUCCAUAAACUUCCAUUAUGAGACCCGAGAGGAUGAAAGCAGUGAGAGAGCAGUCCAGUCCUUCAGACUUGAUCACCUAAGAGCCAUAAUCCCCAUCAAACAACCUAAGCUUAAAACCAUCUAUAAAUCAUCUGAAAUCACUGUCCAGUCCAUCUCCUCCAGCUCAAAAGAAACAUACCUUCCCAUAAUCUCUACUAAUGAGGUUACAAGGUACAAGAUGCAGGGAUACAAAGGCUUGCACCUUGGAGCAAUCCAGAUAGGAAUACAACCAUUAUUUCUAGUUGGAAAAGAUAUAACAUGUUUUAUUGCCAUUCUGGAUACUAGAUGACAAACUUUAAAAAAGGCCUUGAUAACUGUAGUUGAAGCAGGACUCAACCAAGGUCAUGUUGUCCUCCAAGUUGAACCAAACUUCACCCUUGACAUACACAAACCAUCCCUCACAGAUGACAGAGUCUUUCAACCCAAGACUUAAAGGCAAAACCAACUCAUUUUUCCACCACAAUGGAUCAAUGAGUAUGAGAAAAACAACAGACCUCAACAGAUCCAUGAGGUCCCAAAGAUAAGCAGGUUGCAGGAAGGAAGGGUAUUAGUCUCUUUUCCUACAGAGACCAAAGCCCUCUACCCAUGUGAGAAAUGCCAACUUGAAGGAAAGCAUCCCUCUUUGUGCACACACAUGCCAAGAAGGACGACCUCUUGUAGAAUCAUUGGUCCAGUCAACAUGAUCACCACCCCAGACCUUAAUAAUGAAUUUGUCAUGGAUAUUCCUGGCGGUAUAUAUGCAGCCAAAUGGGUUAUUCAAAAAACUAACCCAACUGAGUUUGGUCAAAUAGAGAAUGCACUCAAUUGGUCAAACAUCAAUGUUGUAGAGUAGAAUCAGGCUCUCGGAGAUAUCAUGGCCACUCAACAGCAAAUUCUUUCUGACUUAGCUGUUAUCAUAAAACAGCUAAAAAAGACCUGAAAGCAUCAUAAGAUGACUAAUCAGCAGUUCUCACAACAGCAUGAUGAUGCCGCCAGAUCAAUCAACAUGAUUGUCAUGACAGGAGCUGCAAAUGAAGAUGAAAUGGAAAGAACAAGGGAAAGCUGUACCAGAAAGAAAGUGUCCAGACACUGGAAGAGCAAAUCCACAAAACCAUGGCAUAUCUGGGAGGAAAAUGCAUCUGGCAACUAUCAGAAGGCAUUCUGGAGAAGUUAUGCUCAUCCUCUGCAAUAUCAGUGGCCUCAAAAGGCUACAAGAUGGAACGAAGAAGAUGAUACUGGCGAUGAGACAAGUGUCUCCUCAGAUGAUCAGUUCCCUCCUAUACCAGUCCUUAUGCAAAGAGCAAAUCCUGCCAAUUCAUUUUAUGUGAAUACUCGUGCAAGAUUUACUAACCCAACACAGGGUCAGACUUUUAAUCCGAACCGGCCAGAACCAACCCAAAAUCUGUCAGGAACAACCCAGUUCACUGCCCCAAAAUUCACUGGUCAGACUGAAUCCACUGCUCAACCAGCUACAUCCGGAGUAGAUUCAUCUAAUCCGGCAGAGCAGGUACCAUACAUGGAUGAGGUGUCUCAAGGAGAAGAGUGGGAAACCCGUGUACAAAUCGGGCACUCAACAACUAGCAAAAUAUUCUGGAACGUUGACGGCAUGAAGCCAAAAGAACGAUUGGCUUACUUCGAAAAAAUGGUGGCCUGGUACGAAGGCGAAUGUCAAAGAGCCCCCCAGUUGAGCAGAAGAUCAGUAGCACUAAGGCUGAUUGGUUCGUAAAUCUUGAGAUCGGCAAUGGCUCUGGAUGAUCUCCAUUGACAUCUGAUAUAGCUGAGCUAGGCUGAGCUGUGCUAAGUCAACAAUUGCACUUCAAGACUCGAUUCCUAGAUACAAACCAAGGGUUCCCUUUUAUAGGCACAAGGGAACCACUAUUACUUACUGUAGACAUUAUUGAUCCUUAUCACAAAGGAAUCUACUUUACAACUCAUAUCCUACUUUAUGUCUUAUCACACUUUAUACACUCUUAUCCUUAUCCCUAAGGAUAAUAUACAAUACAUAAAUACAAUACAUAUAUUAUUAUCACCAUUGCUUCUACUGUAGGGUUCACUAAGCUUCCGCUACAGUCCAGAGUUGCCACUUGUUGGCGUGCUUCUUCCUAACCUGUGGUUCCAUCGUUCUUCGGAUGCGGCAUCCAUGUCAUCUCCCAUAUUAGGCCAUAUGGGAUCUUUAACAUUGCCUGGUUGGGGGUUUAGUUCUGGUUGGGGCCAGUCUUGGAGGUCUAACCAAUGGGCCAUUUCUUCGAGGUCGUUCCUCCAUCUGUCAAUAUCUAGAGUGUCCAGAUAAGUGACUUCCUUUGGCCUGCCAUGUCGAGUGAGGUAGUCAUUAUACCUCAGAUGCAUGUCUGCUGCUUCAUCUUCUUCGUCAUGGAGCUUGAGAUUCCUAAUCUCUUCCCUGUAGUAGAGAUCUGAAGUAUUGCAGAAUUAUGGGGAAACUGGGCUGUGAGUAUUGUACAUAGGAACACUCCCAUAUACAUCUGCCAGUGCCCUUCUUGCAUUCCAGCAGUCUGUCCACAUGGAGUCUAUUUCUUCGUGGGAGUGGUCAUGCUGGACCAUUUGUACAAGCGGCUGCUUGUAUCUUCCCCAGAUAUCUGUGAGUUUCACAAUCACUAUAGUAGAGUGAGUGAUGUGAUACCCGUUGAUAAGCUUUAGCGUUAGGAUAUCCUCAAAGAUAGGAGCGAACAUUCGGUCGAACCAUUUUCCUUUGCCAUAUCUUCUGCUGGUGUGGAUGAGAUUUGGUUCGAACAAUAUCGCCGCCGAGUAGAUGUUAAGCCAAUACCACGUUAUGUAAUAGGCUUGUGGGGUUAUGUCACAGAUAAUAUAAUGUCCCCAGUUGGAGUUCUCAUCUAUUACAUAAUGGAAGGUGCAAUCGAUCUUGAAGACCGUUUCAUGCAUCUGGUCAGGAUUUGGAUGCAGAUCAAAAGCUCUUUGACAUCUUUUAUUAUGGGCAGGUCUAUGUUCUUGCAUGGCCAUGAGCUGCCAUACCUGCCAUGUUAGAGCUUGAUCUUCUGGAUCUCUUUUGUGGGUGAUGACUUUCUCAAAGAUAUCUUCCUGGACUUCUGAGGGAAGCCAUGCGAUGAAAGUGUUAAGAUCCUUGAGAAAGUGUGCUCUAGUUUCAUGAGCACUAGAGCUACCUUCUUCCCAUCUUCUUGGGAGAUUCCUCCUUCUGAUCAUAGAGAUUGGUCUGGAAAGGAAAUCCGCUACAGUGUUGGAUUCUCCUUUGAUGUGUCUUAUUUCGAACUUGAAUCUCGAGAGAGACUCAGACCACCUUGCAAGCUGUGGAUAUGAGAUUUCUCAUUCUUUUCUCCUGAGUAAUCCCUGGAGUAUUUAUAGUCUGUUUCAAUCACAAAGGGAGUUAAUGAGAGAAAGAACUGGAAUUUCUUGAUCCCUUUGACGACAGCUAAGACUUCUUUCUUAGAGGAAGGGUAGUGGCUUUGGGCAUCGUUGAACUGGCCAGAUUUAUAGCCACAUACUUUCUUGUUUCCCUCGGUUUCCUCUAUCAACAAUGCUCCCCAAUAAUGGUCACUAGCAUCUGUCUGUAGGAUGAGCUGUCAUUUGUCAGGUAUCUUUAAUGGCGGAAGUGACUGGCACUUUUGUUUUAAGUCUGUCACUGCUUUUGUCGCAUCUUCCGACCAUUGUGGGGCAUUCUUCUUUAAAUGCUUGAAUAUCUGACUCGUCAUCUUUGACAGGUCCUGCACAUGGUCUGCUGCAUAGUUGAUUAUCCCAAGGAAUUGCUGGAUCUACUUUCUUGUAAACAGCUGGUUAGGAAAUUGUGAUAUUUUCUCAGCAAUAUGUGGCUGAGGAAUAAUGAAUCCCUGCUUGAUGUGUAAUCCCAAAAAGUCUACCUCAUCAAGGCCUAUCUUCAUCUUUGGUUCGGACAGGGCUAACCCAUGUUUGUAGGUUAGAGCUUUGAAUUUAGAUAGGUGCUCAACAUGUUCUUCUUCACUGUUGCUGAAGAUGAGAGCAUCGUCGAUGUAGAUAAGGCAAAAUCCUGAGAUGGAUUUGUAUACCUCAUCCAUUCUGUUUUGGAAUUCUGACGGUGCAUUCUUUAGACCGAAAGGCAUCACGUUCCACUCAUAAUGCCCAUGGGGGACCACAAACGCUGUCUUGUGUCUGUCUUCUUCCUUGAUUCCAAUUUGCCAAAAGUCUGACUUCAUGUCAAACUUUAAGAACACCUUUGCUCCAGCAAUGCGUUUCAAAAGGUGUUUCCUGCGUGGAAUGGGGUAUCUUAUGUCCUGCAAGCAAUCAUUCAGUUUCCUGUAGUCUAUCACUAAUCGCUUCUUUCCACAUAUCUGUUCUGAAUGCUUGUUGACAUAAAAUGCUGGGCUGGCCCAAUGAGAUUUUGAGGGCCUGAUGAGCUUCAGAUCCAUAAGUGCUUGGAUCUCAGUUCUGCGUAGUCCUUCGUCAUGGGGCAUGUCUGGAUGUGAGGCUGUCUGGUGAGGAUGGUCCAUCCAUCCUUGUAGGGUAGAGACACAAAAUGCUGUUCUCUAGCCCAAAAUUGGUUAGGAGCUUCUGCACAACAUUCCAAGAGCUCGUUGAUCUGGGGUUCAUAUUAUGGAUAGGGUAAUUUUCUAGUUUUCCACCCUCCCCAAAAAUGGAGUGUUUUUCAACCCAAGGAACUUGGAAAGAAUGACUCGUACCAUCCAGAGGAUUGCGAAUGGUAUAAGAGAAUCCUUCGGGAAAAAAGGCAAAAGGGGCAACCAGACUAAAAAAGUCGGUUCCCAACAAGAUAUCUUCACCGGAAUAAUCAAAAGUGAAGAAACCAUGCAUGAUCAUGAAUGGUUGGAUUUCUAUUGGUCGAGUAAUCUUUUUGCUAUAGAAGUCUCUGCCACUGGCGGAUCCAAAAGAAACUUUAGUAGGAACAUAAAAGCUUUUUGGAAUACAAGCUUCUCAGAUAAACGAGCACAUUGCUCCUGUAUCAAUAAGAGCAGUUAGUGCUACUUGAGUAUCCUCUGUUAGAUUGAGGAUAAUUUUGAUAUGUGGCCUAAAAAGAGAUGAUGGUUGCAUAGCGAGCUUUAUCUGUAAUGGGUCAUGGACAACCAUAACAAGGUCCUCGUCAUCAGAACUGCUAUCAAGGCUUGUGAUGGAGUCGGUAUCCUCAAUAUCUGAAUAAGGAUACUCAUCUAAUGUGUAGACUGCUCCGAGUGGACUAUCCUACCAGGCAUAGAUUUCAUCGUCAAAAUCGUCCUGUUGGAUUAGGUGGAGGAGCUUUGCCGGAAGCUUUCUCUUAAAUUUGCAUUGUUUGGCAUAGUGACCUUUCUUUCCACAGAUAAAACAUCUACCAGAUCCCUUCUUCUGGUUUCGCUUUUUGAUGAAGCGGUGUUUCUUGCCUUUGUAGGGUUUCCAGGGCUGUUUUUCUUUUCUUCGUUUGCCAGUAUUGCAGGAGCACAUUUUGUCAGUAUGUUGGCAACCAAACUUGUUUGGUUCGUCGUUACAAAAUUUUUGCAGAGAGGAUUUCUCAAUCUGCUUCAUGUGCUUUCGUAAAUCUUGAGAUCGGCAAUGGCUCUGGAUGAGCUCCAUUGACAUCUGAUAUAGCUGAGCUAGGCUGAGCUGUGCUAAGUCAACAAUUGCAUCAGCUUUGAAUUUUGCCUCCAUCAUUUCUGCAACUAGUCCUGGCAUAUUCAGCACGAACGUUCUGUGGAUGGUGUCAGAUGUUUUAUCAAAGGUGUAGUACAACCUUUCUUGCUCCAUGUAGUACUCUUCCAUCCUUCGAACGUCACAGCAUUUGUUUUGGAGAAAUUACUUUUCUGCAACUUCCUCUUCUUUUGUGAACUGUCCUAGAAAAUCUAAUGAUAGAUUUUCUAGAAGACUUCCACAAGGAUCAUCUCUGUUGAGAAUGUGCUGCCGUUGUUCUCUUGUGAGCUUUCUUCCCCACCAUCGUCGUAAUGAGCCGACGAAUCCUGCAAUCAGCCUUAGUGCUGCUGAUCUUCUGCUCAACUGGGGGGCUCUUUGACAUUCGCCUUCGUACCAGGCCACUAUUUUUUCGAAGUAAGCCAAUCGUUCUUUUGGCUUCAUGCCGUCAACGUUCCAGAACAUUUUGCCAGUUGUUGAGUGCCCGAUUUGUACACGGGUUUCCCACUCUUCUCCUUGAGACACCUCAUCCACGUGUGGUGCCUGCUCUGCCGGAUUAAAUGAAUCUACUCCGGAUGCAGCUGGUUGAGCAGUGGGUUCAGUCUGACCAGUGAAUUAUGAGGCAGUGAACUGGGUUGUUCUUGAUGGAUUUUGGGUUGGUUCUGGCCGGUUCGGAUUAGAAGUCUGACCCUGUGUUGGGUUAGUAAAUCUUGCACGAGUAUCCACAUAAAAUGGAUUGGCAGGAUUUGCUCUUUGCAUAAGGACUGGUAUAGGAGGGAACUGAUCAUCUGAGGAGACACUUGUCUCAUCGCCAGUAUCAUCUUCUUCGUUCCAUCCUGUAGCCUUUUGAGGCCAUGGAUAUUGCGGAGGAGGAGCAUAACUUCUCCAGAAUGCCUUCUGACAGUUGCCAGAUGCAUUUUCCUCCCAGAUAUGCCAUGGUUUUGUGGGUUUGCUCUUCUAGUGUCUGGACACUUUCUUUCUGGUACAACUUUCCCUUGUUCUUUCCAUUUCAUCUUCAUCUGCAGCUCCUGUCAUGACAAUCAUGUUGAUUGAUCUGGUGGCAUUAUCAUGUUGUUGUGAGAACUGCUGAUUAGUCAUCUUAUGAUGCUUUCGGGUCUUUUUUAGUUGUUUUCUGAUAACAGCUAGGUCAGUAAGAAUUUACUGUUGAGUGACCAUGAUAUCUCCGAGAGCCUGAUUCUGCUCUACAGCAUUGAUGUUUGACCAAUUGAGUGCCUUCUCUAUUGGACCAAACUCAGUUGGGUUAGUUUUUUUAAUAACCCAUUUGGCUGCAUAUAUAUAGCCAGGAAUAUCCCUGACAAAUUCAUUAUCCAGGUCUGGGGUGGUGAUCAUGUUGACUGGACCCAUGAUUCUGCAAGAGGUCGUCCUUCUUGGCAUGUGUGUGCACAAAGAGGGAUGCUUUCCUUCAAGCUGGCAUUUCUCACAUGGGUAGAGGGCUUUGGUCUCUGUAGGAAAAGAGACUGAUACCCUUCCUUCCUGCAACCUGCUUAUCUUUGGGACCUCAUGAAUCUGUUGAGGUCUGUUGUUUUUCUCAUACUCAUUGAUCCAUUGUGGUGGAAAAAUGAGUUGGUUUUGCCUAUAUGUCCUAGGUUGAAAGACUCUGCCAUCACCAGCAAGAAAUCUGGUAAUAGGUUUGCCAGAGCUGUUCAUGGAGAACAGAUGGGUUUGGACAUUAUAGGUCAUGGUGUGGUGAAUUGUCAAGGCAGAUUCAUCAGGUUUCAUGGUUAAACCAUUGACCUGAAUUAGUACCUUUAUGGCAUCUGUGAGGGAUGGCUUGUGUAUGUCAAGGGUGAAGUUUGGUUCAACUUGGAGGACAACAUGACCUUGGUUGAGUCCUGCUUCAACAGUAGUUAUCAAGGCCUUUUCAAAAGUUUGCCAUCUAAUAUCCAGAAUGGCAAUGAAACAUGUGAUAUCUUUUCUAGCUUGGAACAAUGGUUGUAUUACUAUCUGGAUUGCUCCAAGGUGCAAGCCUUUGUAUCCCUGCAUCUUGUACCUUGUAACCUCAUUGGUAGAGAUUAUGGGAAGGUACGUUUCUUUUGAGCUGGAGGAGAUGGACUGGACAGUGAUUUCAGAGGAUUUAUAGAUGGUUUUAAGCUUAGGUUGUCUGAUGGGGAUUAUGGCUCUUAGGUGGUUAAGAGUAGGGCUAAAGAUGGAAGAGUACUUGUUGAGGGUUAGAAAAUGUAUAUUUAUAAAGGAGAAAAUCAUAAUUUUACACUACAACCUUUACUAACACCCUUACUUUUAUGCAUUUAACAUUUUUUUGAUUUAAUUCCGUGUGUUUUAUUUUAAUUAAGCAUUUUAUGUAUUUUAGGGGCAUCAUAGUCAUUUCACAAAAAACGAGAGAUCAGACGGCAAAACGGACAUCACUUUUGAACUCAGGACGGUCGAAAACCUUAGGAGGAGCAUAAAAGGAAAAAUGGCACUAUUCACAUGUACGAUACUAUUCACGUGUACGGUACUGUCUACGUUACUGUUCAUGACACUGUUCACAUAGACGGAUCGAUGACGUGGCAUUAACCGAUGAUGUGGCAUUGACUGAUGAGGUGUCACGAUCCUAUUGGGCUAAAAUUCUUAUGUACUGUCGAUGGUGACGUGACAGCAUAUUAGUGGACGAAAAAUCUCGCGUACGGUACAUGCAUCACACAGGAUUAUUUUCAACCAAACCGUGUCACUGUUCACCCAGGUCAAACUGUGUUACUGUUCAUCCGCGUGGUCAAACCGCGUACUGUUGACUGAUGACGUGGCGCAAUCCUGAGCGUCCAAACUGUUUUUAAUCCGAUUGCCAUGAUUUACUCCAUGUAUCUAUAAAAAGGGGGCUCCCCCCCCUAAUUUGAUAUCUCUGAAUCCAUUUUUGGGAUCCAUUUUCUGUAAUUCCUUCUCCAUCUUAUAUUUUCUAUGUAUUUUAAUAAAUUCUCUUUUUGCCCCUAGUUCAAUUAUGAGUGGCUAAUUUUCUUUCAAACUUGGGUUGAAGGUGAAGUCUCAACAUGUGUCAUGGGCUUUAUUUGGUAAAUUUAUUUUCUUUUCCCCUCUAAUUUUUGUGGAUGAUUUGACUUUUCGUCGACAAAUAAUAAUAAUCUUGUCUAGAUACCGCCUUGGUUACACCGGUUCUCUAGUACAAGGUUAUUAUUAUUUGGCACGAUAAGUUUUUAGCACCAUAUUGAUUAGAGUGUGGUUCAUGAGGUGUGGAUUCCCCCCUCAUGAUUUAACUGGCAUUAAUAAGGAUUAUUUAGCCUAUGAUGCAUGUUGAUACGGAUCCAGAUACCCAAGUACGUCAUUUCAAUAGAAUUCUCUUCAAUUUAUUCUUGCCAUUUCAAUUCCAAUUUUAGAAUUUAUUCUCGCCAUUUUAAUUUAAGUUUUAGCAUAUUCCAAUUCAUUUCCACCACAAAUCCAAUCACCCAUUUACAAAAUUAAUUCUACACACAAUUAAAAUCCACCUCCUCGUGGGAUCGACACUCGUCACCAUUGAUCUAUACUACAAUAGAUUCGUGCGCUUGCGAGUACAUUAAAAUUUGCACAACAAGUUUUUGGCGCCGUUGCCGGGGAGGUAAGUAAUUUUAAUUCAUAGAAUUAAUUUUUGUGAAUAAUUUCUUUUAUUUGUUUUCUUGUAUUUUUUAUAAAAAAAAAAAGUGAAUCCGCAUUUAGAGGUUAGUAUUUCUUUUCUUUUUCUCUUCUUUAAAAUUCUGUAAUUUAAUUUUUAAUUUAUUUUUCUUUGUAAUUUUUGUUUAUCUUAUUAAUUUAAUUUCUAGUUAAUUUAUUUCACGUAUUUAUUUUUGUAUUUUUAUGGUAAGGUUGUAAUAGCGCAAUAAGGUUAGUAUCGUAAUUUCUCCCUCUUAUUUAUUUUUAUUUGUUUUGUUCCCAUCUUUAUUUUUAUUUUUAUUUUAUUUUGCAUGCAUGGUCGUAGGUCAUUAUUACCUAAUCUUGAACCUAUAGACAUUGAAUUAGAAAAAACACUUCGCACACACAAACACGUUAAAAAUAAAAUGAAUUUGCAACCACAGGAGAGGCAAUUUAAGGACUAUUUUAGUCCCUUAGCUAAUUUGAGCACAUCAUGUAUUAGAUACCCAAAUGUAGCUGCUAAGAGCUUUGAACUAAAACCUAGUGUGCUAAAUUGUCUGCCCACAUUCUAUGGCUUAGAAAAUGAGGACCCAUAUAAUCAUCUGAAUGAUUUUCAUACUAUUUGUCAAACAUUUAAAUAUGAGAAUUUUUUAGACGAUGAUGUUAAACUCAGAUUAUUCCCAUUUUCUUUAAAGGAUAGAGCUCGUUCAUGGCUUAAUACAUUGCCUGCUAAUAGCAUUGCAUCAUGGGAACAAAUGGUUACAAAAUUUUUGAAUAAAUAUUUCCCAGUGCAUAAAACCAAUGCUAUUCGCAGGGAAAUCUCAGAGUUUACCCAGAGAGAGGACGAGCAGUUUUUCGAAACAUGGGAGCGAUUUAAUGGGCUACUCUUGAAGUGUCCACAUCAUGGGUACGAGAAAUGACACCAAUGCCAAUACUUUUUGGAGGGAUUAUUGCCGAAUGUGCAAGAAUGGCUAAUGGCAACAAGUGGAGGAGAGCUAAUGUCAAAAAGUGCAUCAGAGAUUUGGGAAUUUUUCCAGCGACAAGCAGAUAAUUCCCAACAACGGAGUCGAUCACUCAGGAAUACUAGAAGAAUUAAAGGAGUAAAUGAGGUUCACAUUGGCGAGUCAAGUUCAGAAAUCAAAGAAGUCAAGGAGAUAAUUGAAGGUCUCUCUCGACAAAUAACAUCAUUAUCAACUACUAAAUCAACAGAGCCACAUGAUUAUGACACAUACUCAGAUCAAGCCAAUGCCAUAGGUGUAAUGAGAAAACCAUCAAAUUACAACCCAUACUCCAACACAUAUAACCCGGGAUGGAGAGACCACCCCAAUUUUUCAUGGUCUUAGGGAUUCCAACAGAAUGGACCAACAGCUCCAGCUCCACCAAUGCAACCAAUUCCUCAAAAUCCUCAAGCCUCUCAGCCACCAUUUAGACCAUACAAUCAGAACCAGAACUACUCUCAACCCAGACCAUGGGAGGAUUCAUUCCAGAAUUUCAAGAAUGCUACUCACUCUACGAUUGAGCAACAGAAUCGCACCAUUGAUGGACUACGAAAUGAGUUAAGAGCAGGCUUCAACUCACAAGCUCUAUCAGUUUCAAGCCUGGAGAAAAUGGUGGGACAACUUGCUUCUUCAGUUCAGACUUUGGCAAUGACUGUUGAGAAAGGCAAGUUUCCAAGUCAACCAGUGCCUAAUCCUAAAGGAGUACAUGAAGCAAGUACCAGUUCACCACAGCAGCAUGGAGAGGUCAAAGCAGUCAUGACCUUGCGAAAAGGAAAGGAAGUCGACAACAAAGUGGAGAUGCCGGUGACAAAAGAAAAUCAAAUUAUACCUGUGAAUGUUGAGGACUCACCAUCGGAGGAGAAAGAAGAAACCAACCCGCGAGAAUAUGUUCCGAAAGCUCCAUUUCCUCAGAGGUUAGCGAAAGGAAAGAAGGGAAAAUCCACAGGUGAGAUUCUCAAAAUCUUCAAACAGGUAAGUGUUAACAUCCCUUUACUUGAUGCUAUUAAACAAGUUCCAUCUUAUGCCAAGUUUCUUAAAGACCUUUGUACUAAAAAGAGAAAUAUGCAUGUUCAAAAGAAGGCAUUUUUAACAGAAAACGUUAGUUCUAUACUCCAACAUAAAAUUCCUUUAAAAUGCAAAGACCCAGGCUCCCCCACUAUCUCAUGUAGUAUAGGGAACCACACAAUUGAGAAUGCUUUGUUGGAUUUAGGAGCUAGUGUAAAUCUUUUGCCUUACUCUGUAUUCGUGAAACUUGGACUAGGAGAAUUACACCCAACUCCAGUGGUGUUACAGCUUGCAGAUCGGUCCACGAAAAUACCUCGUGGUAUUGUCAAGGACGUGCUUAUCCAGGUAGACAAGUUUUAUUUUCCUGUUGAUUUCAUUGUAAUUAACACUCAACCAAUACAGGAUUCAAGGAAGCACAUCCCCAUUAUUCUAGGCCGACCUUUCUUGGCAACUGCGGAUGCUCACAUUCAAUGCAGGACUGGAAAUAUGCAGUUGUUCUUCGGCAAUAUGACUAUGGAGCUAAACAUUUUCAACAUUGCCAAACAACCUCACAAUGCAGAUGAUGAAGUUGUUGAUGUGGAUGAAAUUGAAGCAUUAGUUGAUGACACUUUUCUUUCAAACCUUAGUGAUGAUCCUUUACAGACAUGCUUAACUCACUUUGGUUUUGAUUUUGAUAUUGACAGAUCGGUCAAUGAGGUCAACGCCCUACUUGACUCAGCACCAUCCAUGGACACUAAUAAAUGGAAGUCAAGAGCUGAACAACUAGCACCAUCAGAAAAGAAACUCAUCCCAUCAUCAGAAUCACCACCAAAACUCAAGCUCAAACCAUUGCCCAACACAUUGGAAUAUGCAUUUUUGGGAGAAGAAAGUACUCUACCGGUAAUCAUCUCAUCAUCCCUAAAUGAUGAACAAAAAGGUAAGUUGUUGGAUGUUUUAAAAGAGCACAAAGGGGCAUUAGGAUGGACCAUAGCAGACAUAAAAGGUAUAAACCCAGUAGACUGCAUGCAUUACAUUCACCUUGAUGAAAAUGCUAAAUCUACUAGGGAAAUGCAACGUCGGUUAAAUCCUAAUAUGAAAGAAGUUGUUAGAACUAAAGUCCUUAAGCUAUUAGACGCAGGUAUCAUUUACCCAAUUUCUGAUAGUUCAUGGGUCAGUCCUGUACAAGUUGUCCCCAAAAAGUCAGGAGUCACAGUAGUUACGAAUGCUGAUAAUGAAUUGAUACCCACUAGAGUGACUACAGGAUGGCGUGUAUGCAUUGAUUAUAAAAAGUUGAAUUCUGUCACACGUAAAGACCAUUUUCCUUUACCAUUUAUUGAUCAAAUGCUUGAUAGAUUAGCAGGCCAUGAAUUUUAUUGCUUUCUAGAUGGCUACUCAGAAUAUAAUCAGAUUCCCAUAGCACCAAAAGAUCAAGAGAAAACUACUUUCACUUGCCCUUUUGGCACUUUUGCAUAUAGGAGAAUGCCAUUUGGAUUAUGUAAUGCACCUGCUACGUUUCAACGAUGCAUGUUAAGCAUUUUUUCUGAUAUAGUUGAACGAUUCCUUGAAGUCUUUAUGGAUGACGUUUCUGUCUUUGGUGAUUCGUUUGAUCAAUGUUUACAUCAUCUAACGCUAGUUCUGCAGAGAUGUACCGAGAAGAACUUAGUCUUGAAUUGGGAGAAGUGUCAUUUUAUGGUAAAACAAGGUAUUGUUCUAGGUCACAUCAUUUCGAGCAAAGGUAUUAGGUUGACAAAGCCAAGGUGGAUCUCAUUUCUAAUCUUCCUCCACCUAAAACAGUCAGAGAAGUAAGAUCUUUCCUUGGGCAUGCUGGUUUCUAUAGACGUUUCGUUAAAGAUUUUAGCAAAGUUUCUAGACCCUUAUGCAAUUUACUUGCUAAGGAUGUACCUUUUAUCUUUAAUGAUUCAUGUCUUAUGGCUUUUGAAAAAUUAAAGCAAUUGUUGACAUCAUCACCCAUCAUUCAGGCCCCAAACUGGAGCUUAUCAUUUGAGCUCAUGUGUGAUGCAUCUGAUUAUGCAGUAGGAGCAGUAUUAGGACAAAGAGUUGAUCGAAUUCCCCACGUUAUUUACUAUGCUAGUAUGACAUUGAAUGAUGCACAGUUGAAUUAUUCAACUACUGAAAAAGAAAUGCUAGCAGUAGUGUUUGCAUUAGAGAAAUUUCGAUCUUAUCUCAUUGGUUGUAAAAUAAUUAUAUUCACAGAUCAUGCUGCUCUUAAAUAUCUUCUCACAAAAAAAGAUGCAAAAGCUAGACUAAUUCGUUGGGUGUUACUUUUGCAGGAAUUCGACUUGGAAUUUAAAGAUAAGAAAGGCACAGAGAAUGUUGUGGUUGACCAUCUCUCUCGUCUCCAUUUUGACACAAUUAUAGAGCCAUUAAUAUUGAAUGAGUCAUUUCCAGAUGAACAAUUAAUGAGUGUGGAAGUAUUACCUUGGUAUGCUGAUAUAGUUAAUUAUCUUGUUACAAGUAAACUUCCAGAGCAUUGGACCAAGCAAGAUAAGGCUAAAUUCUUUGCAGAAAUAAAGAAUUUCUUUUGGGAUGACCCGUAUUUGUUCAAGUAUUGUGCAGACCAAAUUGUUAGACGAUGUGUCCCAGAAAGUGAAAUUCAGAAUAUCCUUUCAUUCUGCCAUGAACAAGCUUGUGGAGGCCAUUUCAGCGCUAAGAAAACAACGACUAAAGUUUUACAAUGUGGUUUCUAUUGGCCAACUAUAUUUCGAGAUGCUUACACUUUCUGUUCUUCAUGUGAUAGGUGUCAACGAAUGGGGAGCAUUACACGAAGGAACAUGAUGCCACUAAAUCCAAUUUUAGUGGUUGAGAUUUUUGACGUAUGGGGUAUCGACUUUAUAGGACCAUUUCCCCCUUCUUUUGGCCAUCAAUACAUAUUGGUUGGUGUUGACUACGUCUCAAAAUGGGUAGAAGCAAUUCCAUGUAGAACCAAUGAUCACAAAGUGGUGAUAGGAUUUUUGAAAAGCAACAUUGUCUCACGCUUUGGAUUCCCUCGAGCAAUAAUCAGUGAUGGUGGUGCCCACUUUUGUAACAAAGCAUUCAAAGCUCUUUUGACAAAGUAUUCAAUCACACACAAAGUGACGACUCCGUAUCAUCCGCAAACCAGUGGCCAAGUUGAGAUAUCCAAUCGAGAAAUAAAGCACAUAUUAGAAAAAACGGUGAGACCAGACAGAAAAGAUUGGUCAUUAAGACUUGAUGAUGCAUUAUGGGCAUAUAGAACGGCUUUCAAGACCCCGAUUGGGAUGUCACCCUACAGGCUAGUGUAUGGAAAAGCUUGCCACCUACCUGUGGAACUUGAGCAUCGUGCAUAUUGGGCCAUCAAGAAAUUCAACUUUGACAUGCAGCAAGCCAGCUUAGAAAGAAGAUUACAACUGGCAGAACUUGAAGAAAUUCGUAAUGAUGCAUACGAAAAUACCAAGAUUUACAAGCAACGGAUGAAAGUCUUCCAUGACAAGCAAAUUAUGAGAAAAUCGUUCACUCCAGGUCAGAAAGUGCUUUUAUUCAAUUCUCGCUUGCACUUAUUCCCAGGUAAGUUACGCUCUCGAUGGUCUGGUCCAUUUAUGGUUUAUACUGUUUUUCCACAUGGGGCAAUUGAAAUUAAGGACCCAAAGAACGGUGUCACGUUUAAAGUUAAUGGUCAAAGAUUAAAGCCAUAUCUAGAAUACCAACCACAUGGAGAAGACACCGAAAUAAAUUUGAGUGACCCACCAGAUUUGAAUUGAUUUUUAUUCUUCUUUUUGUUGAUUUGAUUUUUCUUUCUUUCUUUUUAUUAUUCUUUUGCUAAUUGAAAUUAUUUUUGCAUAAGUGUGUUUGUUUAAGUUUUCUCUUAUCACUUUUAAUCAUGAGUACCUUACUUAGACCGUUCCUCCUGAACAUUCUUAAACCACUUCAACGUGUCAAAACUCAUCUCAAAAGGCAGAUUCAAUUUUGUAAAACACAUCGCAUUUGGACUCUACAGCCACCAGAGUUAGUAGCCUAUGUUAAGGGUUUAGAAAGCCAACUCAGAGACAUUGAGAGAAGUGUUUACGACAUCCAGUUGGAGCUUGAGGUAAGUUCAAUAAGAGGACAAUUUUAAUUUUCUUUGUGUGUUUUAAUUUUUUUUCUGUUUGUGUGCUUUAGUUUGUUACCCCGGUGAAGUGGCGGAUAACGGUACUUCGUGACAAUCAAGUCCGUUACUUCAGUUUCCCAUAAUAACUGACAUUCUGAGGCGAAAGUAUGGACAGAAACGAGAUUCUAGCGAAGCUUCACAAGCGAUUCCUUUCACUUCCUCAGAAUGCCCUCCUUACGAUCUAUAAAGCUCGGUCCCAACGCAUGCGAUUACUCAUGAGGAAUAACAUACCUGCUGACAUCCGUUGAUUAAUCGAGGCUAAAGUACGAUUGGCAGGUGAGUUACCUCCAAAAUUUAUUGCAUACAUGCCUGGUUGUGGUAAAGGAAAUUAUGCAAGAAAACGACGAGCUCGAAGAAUUUCUGUUGCUUGUCAUAAGUGUGCCAGAAUGAGUUGCGAUAAAAACCCAUGUUCUUUAGGAAUGGUGUCUGAUAACAGGGAAGAUAAGAUUCAAUUCAUUAGGGAUGGCUUGAAUAAGGAGUCAUUGGAUGAUAUCCUUUUGUCUCUUGAAACGCAUCCCAGUGGAUAUGUGCAAGGAGCGAUUCUCCAGUUAUGGCCAUUAUUCCAGAAAGAGCAUGCACGAUAUAGUCUUGGGAAUCUGACUAUAAACGACCAUGUUUGCCAGUUUAUAAGAAAACUGGAUGGGAAGCCCAUCCUCGACCCAUAGAGGGCGUUCAAGCCGUUUCUGGACGUAAAACCAGAUGAAGAUGUGAGCCACAAUCGCAACUACCUGUAAAUAUCAUUUUACUUUACUGUUGUUUUAUUUUACUGUUGUUUUAUCGUUUGUAUUAUUGUCUUUAAUAAUUUUAUUACUGUUUACUUUUUCCUUUUUACUGUUUCCUAUUUGACUCGCGAGCCACGUGCUUUACGCGUUAUUUGACCCUGACAUGUUACCUCAUUCACAGCUGUGAUCCACUGUCACCAAGAUUCUUAAAUGUGAUUUAAUUUUUGUCAAGCACUUACAAAUUAUUUUUGAGAAGUAUCACAAUGGCAGCUACUCCCAAUAGACAAUUCAAGAACAUUUGUGUUCUUUCUGGAUUUACCUAUGGCAAACAUAAAGAGUUCGUGGAGGCAGCCAUAGAUCUUGGUCGAAGUAUAGCAGCGAGAAAAUUACACUUGGUGUAUGGAGGAGGUAACUGAGGGUUAUCAAAAAUGGUCUCAGAAGCAACUUUUAUCAGAGGAAGUCAAGUGUUAGGCAUCAUCCCCAGAGUCCUAAAACCAUUGGACAGUUCGUCUGACUCAUCAACUGGAGAAGAGUUAGUCGUCUCAGGUAUGCAAGAAAGAAUAACUGAAAUGCUUAAUUAUGCUGAUGCUUUUAUUUUCCUUCCAGGAGAUCUUGCAACACUAGAGGCACUUAUCACACUAGCAUCUUGGGCCCAUCUGCACAUCCACCAGAAACUCAUCGGUUUGUUAAAUGUCAAUAACUUUUAUGAUAGCUUUAUCGCAUUUCUUAACCAUGCAAUAAAAAACUAUUUCAUUCCUUCUAAUGUGAAAAAACUCUUUAUUUGUGCUCACACUGCUAAUGAGCUACUUGAUAUGUUACAAACUUAUAAACCGGAGCCAGACCUCUGGACCUUUGUGUUGGAGCGACCAAAUAAUGAUGGUAACAGUAGCCGUAGUAAGAAGUACAAAUUAGAUUUAACUCUCCACCUAUAAAUAUUUUCUUCUGUGUUGCACCACCCAGGUGAUGUCUUCUAAACUCUACUUCUUUCCUUUAAAACAUUGAGGACAAUGUUUCGUUCUGGUUGGGGGGAGGGAAUAAUCGACAAUUGUGGAAUCUUGGUUAAGUUUUUACUGAUUUUUUGUUGUAGAAACUAACUGUUGCUAACGUUUUAUGUUGAAGAUGGCUGAAUAUGGAGUGUAGUUGCUCUAGAAACGCAUCUUCAUCGUUCAAAAAGAAAAAAAAAACUGUUUUCUUCCUCUUUCUCCUUUAUAAAUAUAUAUUUUCAAAUUUUUGAGUCGAAGAUGGCUGAAUAUGGAGUGUAGUGCCUCUAGAAACGCAUCUUCUUAGUUUUAAAAAAAAUUCUUUUUCUAAUUAAUUUUUCUACAUCAUUUUCACAUUUCUGCAUGCAUAUUUUCCUUUCAUGUUUAGAAUAGGUUGGGGGGGGUAGAAUGUUGUUUAAAAAAAAAAACAAAAUUGUGUUAUUUGUUUUAACAUUGAAUGACAUGAUUAAUUUCAAAUUUUAGUAUUUGCAUUAUCUUUGGUCUUAAGUGAUGUUACGCUAUGUUUGCUACUUUACAUGUUGAUGUCGGAGACAAAUAUGAGUUGCUUGAAGGAAUGAACAUGUCAUAAAUAAGUGCCCAGUGAGUUGUUGAGCCUAUCAUUUUCUUGGAGAGUAGCCCUUUUGCCCAUUCUCUAUACAGCUUAGCAGUUUAUUAUUUUAUACAUGAUCUCUAGAUUUCUUUUGAGUUAACCCUUUAAAAAAAUGGUAAAAUUAAAAAAAAAAUGUGUGUUGCUACAUUGGGAGGCCCAUCUAACUAGUAGAUAUGGAUAAUUAUUUAGAGCCCUAAAAGACGAUGGAAAUGCCAUCUUUGAUUUGGUUGAGCCUUUCUAGCCAUCCCUUUUAUUAAAUAUCCAUAGUUACCCCUUUUGAGCCUUUAAAAAAAAAAAUCUCUGCUUUUCUUUGUCAACUUAUCAUCUUUACCCACUCCGAUUUGGAGUAUUACCCGAUGUCUUCUAAGUUCCAUCACCUAUUUAUGUUUGAUAAAAUGUAAAUAAUUAUUUUGUUCAGUGAAGUUAUGCCAAAAAAAAAACAACAAAACAAAAGUUGUUGUUUCAAAAGAAUAAAAAUAACAACAACAGGUGAAAUACACCUUGCAACUUAAAAAAAAAAAAUCUCUGUAUUUUUCUCAAACAUAUACUUUGUUUUCCUUAUUUCCCUUCUGUGUUAGCCAUGUCCCUAGCCUACGUUACGUCCUAAUAAAAGUCCUUGAUUUUAGGGAACUAUAGUUUGAAGUAGAAGCUAGUUAUAUGGGCUAAAAAGAUGUAGUGGUGCAUAAUAAUAAAAGAAAAAGAGAUAAAUAAAAUGGGUUCACUAGCAUUUUUGUUUGACUUGAGAUCAUAUUAUUUCUAAGCUGGGGGCAUAUUUCAUUCAUCUUGGUGAGAGCAUGUGAUAUCACUUCUUUAUUAUUUUCUCUCAAUUACCAUUCAUUGGAGUGACUAUUUUUAUUGGGUUUAAUUUCUUUGUGAGAGCGUCACUACUUCCAGUGAGAUUUUGGGGUUUGACAUGUCAUUCUUGAAAGUAGUUAUAACAAAGUCUACUGGGCUGAUUCAUGUGGAUGGUUGAUGUGGAUGUGAUGUUUCUUUAGACUGGAGAUAAUGCUUAUACUUUUAUUUGAUUGCUAUCAUUAAUCUGAUUGAAUAAACACGAGUGUUUCUAUAAAAAAAAAAAUCAUUUUGGAUUUGAAUUUUGUUUUCGCUUUAUUUGCUAGGGACUAGCAAUAAGCUGGUUGGGGGGUGUGUUGAGUGUUAGAAAAUGUAUAUUUAUAAAGGAGAAAAUCAUCAUUUUACACUACAACCUUUACUAACACCCUUACUUUUAUGUAUUUAACAUUCUUUUGAUUUAAUUCCGUGUGUUUUAUUUUAAUUAAGCAUUUUAUGUAUUUUAGGGGCAUCAUAGUCAUUUCACAAUAAACGAGAGAUCAGACGGCAAAACGGACAUCACUUUUGAACUCAGGACGGUCGAAAAUCUUAGGAGCAUAAAAGGAAAAAUGGCACUAUUCACAUGUACGGUACUAUUCACGUGUACGGUACUGUCUACGUUACUGUUCAUGACACUGUUCACAUAGACGGAUCGAUGACGUGGCAUUGACCGAUGAUGUGGCAUUGACUGAUGAGGUAUCACGAUCCUGUUGGGCUAAAAUUCUUAUGUACUGUCAAUGGUGACGUGGCAGCAUAUCAAUGGACGAAAAAUCUCGCGUACUGUACAUGCAUCACACAUGAUUAUUUUCAACCAAACCGCGUCACUGUUCACCCGGGUCAAACCGUGUUACUGUUCAUCCACGUGGUCAAACCGCGUACUGUUGACUGAUGACGUGACGCAAUCCUGAGCGUCCAAACUGUUUUUAAUCCGAUGGCCAUGAUUUACUCCAUGUAUCUAUAAAAAGGGGGCUCCCCCCGUAAUUUGAUAUCUCUGAAUCCAUUCUUGGGAUCCAUUUUCUGUAAAUUCCUUCUCCAUCUUGAAUUUUCUACGUAUUUUAAUAAAUUCCCUUUUUGCCCCUAGUUCAAUUAUGAGUGGCUAAUUUUCUUUCAAGCUUGGGUUGAAGGUGAAGUCUCAACAUGUGUCAUGGGCUUUAUUUGGUAAAUUUAUUUUUGUUUCCCCUCUAAUUUUUGUGGAUGAUUUGACUUUUCGUCGACAAAUAAUAAUAAUCUUGUCUAGAUACCGCCUUGGUUACACCGACUCUCUAGUACAAGGUUAUUAUUAUUUGGCACGAUAAGCCCUUAGCACCAUAUUGAUUAGAGUGUGGUUCAUGAGGUGUGGAUUCCCCCCUCAUGAUUUAACUGACAUUAAUAAGGAUUAUUUAGCCCAUGAUGCAUGUUGAUACGGAUCCAGAUACCCAAGUACGUCAUUUCAAUAGAAUUCUCUUCAAUUUAUUCUUGCCAUUUCAAUUCCAAUUUUAGAAUUUAUUCUCGCCAUUUUAAUUUAAGUUUUAGCAUAUUCCAAUUCAUUUCCACCACAAAUCUAAUCACCCAUUUACAAAAUUAAUUCUACACACAAUUAAAAUCCACCUCCUCGUGGGAUCGACACUCGUCACUAUUGAUCUAUACUACAAUAGAUUCGUGCGCUUGCGAGUACAUUAAAAUUUGCACAACAGUACUACCUGGAGCAAGAAAGGUAGCAGUGAGAGAGUGUUGAGUGUUAGAAAAUGCAUAUUUAUAAAGGAGAAAACCGUCAUUUUACAUUUCAAGUCUUACUAACAAUCCUUACUUUUAUGUAUUUAACAUUCUUGUGAUUUAAUUACGUGUGUUUUAUUUUAAUUAAGUAAUUUAUGUAUUUUAGGGGCAUUAUAGUCAUUUCACAAUAAAGGAGAGAUCAGACGGCAAAACGGACAUCACUUUUGAACUCAGGACGGUCGAAAACCUUAGGAGGAGCAUAAAAGGAAAAUGACACUAUUCACAUGUACGGUACUAUUCACGUACACGGUACUGUAUACGUUACUGUUCACGGCACUGUUCACAUAGACGGAUCGAUGACGUGGCAUUGACCGAUGAUGUGGCAUUGACUGAUGAGGUGUCACGAUCCUGUUGGGUUAAAAUUCUUAUGUACUGUUGAUGGUGACGUGGCAGUAUAUCAGUGGACGAAAAAUCUCGCGUACGGUGCAUGCAUCACACAGGAUUAGUUUCAACCAAACCGCGUUACUGUUCAUCCGGGUCAAACCGCGUUACUGUUCAAAGUCGGGUCAAACCGUGUUACUGUUCAUCCGCGUGGUCAAACCGUGGACUGUUGACUGAUGACGUGGCGCAAUCCUGAGCGUCCAAACUGUUUUUAAUCCGAUGGCCAUGAUUUACUCCAUGUAUCUAUAAAAAAGGGGCCUCUCCCCCCUAAUUUGAUAUCUCUGAAUCCAUUUUUGAGAUCCAUUUUCUGUAAUUCCUUCUCCAUCUUGUAUUUUCUUAGUAUUUUAAUAAAUUUUCAUUUUGCCCCUAGUUCAAUUAUGAGUGGCUAAUUUUCUUUCAAGCUUGGGUUGAAGGUGAAGUCUCAACAUGUGUCAUGGGCUUUAUUUGGUAAAUUUAUUUUCUCUUCCCCUCUAGUUUUUGUGGAUGUUUUGACUUCUCGUUGACAAAUAGUACUAAUCUUGUCUAGUACCGCCUUGGUUACACCGGCUCUCUAGUAUAAGGUUAUUAUUAUUUGGCACGAUAAGCCCUUAGCACCAUAUUGAUUAGAGCGUGGUUCAUGAGGUGUGGAUUCCCCCCUCAUGAUUUAAUUAGUAUUAAUAAGGAAUAUUUAGCCUAUGAUGCAUGUUGAUACGGAUCCAGAUACCCAAGUACGUCAUUUCAAUAGAAUUCUCUUCAAUUUAUUCUCGCUAUUUCAAUUCCAAUUUUAGAAUUUAUUCUCGCCAUUUUAAUUUAAGUUUUAGCAAAUUCCAAAUCAUUUCCACCACAAAUCCAAUCAUUCAUUUACAAAAUUAAUUCUAUACACAAUUAAAAUCCACCUCCUCAUGGGAUCGACAUUCGUCACCAUUAGUCUAUACUACAAUAGAUUCGUUCGCUUGCGAGUACAUUAAAAUUUGCACAACAAGUUUUUGGCGCCGUUGCCGGGGAGGUAAGUAAUUUUAAUUCAUAGAAUUAAUUUUUUUGUGAAUAAUUUCUUUUAUUUGUAUUUUUUUUAAUUAUUAAAAAAAAAGAAAAAAAAAGUGAAUCUACAUUUAAAGGUUAAUAUUUCUUUUCUUUUUCUCUUCUUUAAAAUUCUGUAAUUUAAUUUUCAAUUUAUUUAUUUUUUUCUUUUUAAUUUUUGUUUAUUUUAUUAAUUUAAUUUUUAGUUAAUUUAUUUCACAUAUUUAUUUUUGUGUAUUUUUAUAGAAAGGUUGUAAUAGCGCAAUAAGGUUAGUAUCGUAAUUUCUCCCUCUUCUUUAUUUUUAUUUGUUUUGUUCCCUUCUUUAUUUUUAUUUUAUUUAUUUUGCAUGCAUGGUCGUAGGUCAUUAUCACCUAAUCUUGAACCUAUAGACCUUGAACUUGAGAAAACACUUCGCACACACAAACAAAUUAAAAAUAAAAUGGAUUUGCAACCACAGGAGAGGCCAUUUAAGGAUUAUUUCAGUCCUUUAGCUAAUUUGAGCACAUCAUGCAUAAGAUACCCAAAUGUAGCUGCUAGGAGCUUUGAACUAAAACCUAGUGUGCUAAAUUGUCUCCCCACAUUCUAUGGCUUAGAAAAUGAGGACCCAUAUAAUCAUCUGAAUGAUUUUCAUGCUAUUUGUCAAACAUUUAAAUAUGAGAAUUUUUCAGACGAUGAUGUUAAACUCAGAUUAUUCCCAUUUUCUUUAAAGGAUAGAGCUCGUUCAUGGCUUAAUACAUUGCCUGCUAAUAGCAUUUCAUCAUGGGAACAAAUGGUUACAAAAUUUUUAAAUAAAUAUUUCCCAGUGCAUAAAACCAAUGCUAUUCGCAGGGAAAUCUCGGAGUUUACCCAAAGAGAGGACGAGCAGUUUUUCGAAACAUGGGAGCGAUUCAAUGGGCUACUCUUGAAGUGUCCACAUCAUGGGUACGAGAAAUGGCACCAAUGCCAAUACUUUUUGGAGGGAUUAUUACCGAAUGUGCAAGAAUGGCUAAUGGCAACAAGUGGAGGAGAGCUAAUGUCAAAAAGUGCAUCAGAGAUUUGGGAAUUUUUCCAGCGACAAGCGAAUAAUUCCCAACAACGGAGUCGGUCACUCAGGAAUACCAGAAGAAUUAAGGGAGUAAAUGAGGUUCACAUUGACAAAUCCAGUUCAGAAAUUAAAGAAGUCAAAGCAAUAAUUGAAGGUCUCUCUCGACAAAUAGCAUCGUUAUCGACUGCUAAAUCAACAGAGCCAAAUGACCCUGACUCAUAUCCAGAUCAAGCCAAUGCCAUAGGUGUAAUGAGAAAACCAUCAAAUUACAACCCGUACUCCAACACAUAUAACCCUGGAUGGAGAGAUCACCCCAAUUUUUCAUGGUCUCAAGGAUUCCAACAGAAUGGACCAACAACUCCAGCUCCACCAAUGCAACAAAUUCCUCAAAAUCCUCAAGCCUCUCAGCCACCAUUCAGACCAUACAAUCAGAACCAGAACUACUCUCAACCCAGACCGUGGGAGGAUGCAUUCCAGAAUUUCAAAAAUGUUACUCACUCCACGAUUGAGCAACAGAACCGCACCAUUGAUGGACUACGAAAUGAGUUGAGAGCAGGCUUCAACUCACAAGCUCAAUCAGUUUCAAGCCUGGAGAAGAUGGUGGGACAACUCGCUUCUUCAGUUCAGACCUUGGCAAUGACUGUUGAGAAAGGCAAGUUUCCAAGUCAACCAGUGCCUAACCCUAAAGGAGUACAUGAAGCAAGUACUAGUUCACCACAGCAGCAUGGAGAGGUCAAAGCAGUGAUGACCUUGCGAAAAGGAAAAGAAGUCGACAACAAAGUGGAGAUGCCGGUGACAAAAGAAAACCAAAUUGUACCUGUGAGUGUUGAGGACUCACCACCGGAGGACAGAGAAGAAACCAACCCACGAGAAUAUGUUCCCAAAGCUCCAUUUCCUCAGAGGUUAGCGAAAGGAAAGAAGGGAAAAUCCACAGGUGAGAUUCUCGAAAUCUUCAAACAGGUAAGUGUCAACAUCCCUUUGCUUGAUGCUAUUAAGCAAGUUCCAUCUUAUGCCAAGUUUCUUAAAGACCUGUUUACUAAAAAGAGAAACAUGCAUGUUCAAAAGAAGGCAUUUUUAACAGAAAACGUUAGUUCUAUACUCCAACAUAAAAUUCCUUUAAAAUGCAAAGACCCAGGCUCCCCCACUAUCUCAUGUAGUAUAGGGAACCACACAAUUGAGAAUGCUUUGUUGGAUUUAGGAGCUAGUGUAAAUUUGUUGCCUUACUCUGUGUUUGUGAAACUUGGACUUGGAGAAUUACACCCAACUCCAGUGGUGUUACAGCUUGCAGAUCGGUCCACGAAAACACCUCGUGGUAUUGUGGAGGACGUGAUUAUCUAGGUAGACAAGUUUUAUUUUCCAGUUGAUUUCAUUGUAAUUGACACUCAACCAAUACAGGAUUCAAGGAAGCACAUCCCCAUUAUUCUAGGCCGACCUUUCUUGGCAACUGCGGAUACUCACAUUCAAUGCAGGACUGGAAAUAUGCAGUUGUCCUUCGGCAACAUGACUAUGGAGCUGAACAUCUUCAACAUUGCCAAACAACCUCACAAUAUAGAUGAUGGAAUUGUUGAUGUGGAUUUAAUUGAAGCAUUAGUUGAUGACACUUUUGUUUCAAUCCUUAGUGAUGAUCCUUUACAAACAUGUUUAACUCACUUUGGUUUGGAUUUUGAUAUUGACAGAUCGGUCGAUGAGGUCAACGCCCUACUUGACUCAGCACCAUCCAUGGACACUAAUAAAUGGAAGUCAAGAGUUGAACAACUAGCACCAUUAGAGAAGAAACUCAUCCCAUCAUCAGAAUCACCACCGAAACUCGAGCUCAAACCAUUACCCAACACACUGGAAUAUGGGUUUUUGGGAGAAGAAAGUUCUCUGCCGGUAAUCAUCUCAUCAUCCCUAAAUGACGAACAAAAAGGUAAGUUGUUGGAUGUUUUAAAAGAGCACAAAGGAGCAUUAGGAUGGACCAUAGCGGACAUAAAAGGUAUAAACCCUGUAGACUGCAUGCAUUACAUUCACCUCGAUGAAAAUGCUAAAUCUACUAGGGAAAUGCAACGUCGGUUAAAUCCUAAUAUGAAAGAAGUGGUUAGAACUGAAGUCCUUAAGCUAUUAGAUGCAGGUAUCAUUUACCCCAUUUCUGAUAGUUCAUGGGUCAGUCCUGUACAAGUUGUCCCCAAAAAGUCAGGAGUCACAGUACUUACGAAUGCCGAUAAUGAAUUGAUACCCACUAGAGUAACUACAGGAUGGCGUGUAUGCAUUGAUUAUAGAAAUUUGAAUUCUGUCACACGUAAAGACCAUUUUCCUUUACCAUUUAUCGAUCAAAUGCUUGAUAGAUUGGCAGGCCAUGAAUUUUAUUGCUUUCUAGAUGGCUACUCAGGAUAUAAUCAGAUUCCCAUAGCACCAAAAGAUCAAGAGAAAACUACUUUCACUUGCCCUUUUGGCACAUUUGCAUAUAGGAGAAUGCCAUUUGGAUUAUGUAAUGCACCUGCUACGUUUCAACGAUGCAUGUUGAGCAUUUUUUCUGAUAUGGUUGAACGAUUCCUUGAAGUCUUUAUGGAUGACUUUUCUGUCUUUGGUGACUUGUUUGAUCAAUGUUUACAUCAUCUAACGCUAGUUCUGCAGAGAUGUAUCGAGAAGAAUUUAGUCUUAAAUUGGGAGAAGUGCCAUUUUAUGGCCAAACAAGGUAUUGUCCUCGGUCACAUCAUUUCAAGCAAAGGUAUUGAGGUUGACAAAGCCAAGGUGGAUCUCAUUUCUAAUCUUCCUCCACCCAAAACAGUCAGAGAAGUAAGAUCUUUCCUUGGGCAUGCUGGUUUCUAUUGACGUUUUAUUAAAGAUUUUAGCAAAGUUUCUAGACCCUUAUGCAAUCUACUUGCUAAGGAUGUACCUUUUGUCUUUGAUGAUUCAUGUCUUGUGGCGUUUGAAAAAUUAAAGCGGUUGUUGACAUCAUCACCCAUCAUCCAGCCCCCAAAUUGGAGCUUACCAUUUGAGCUCAUGUGUGAUGCAUCUGAUUAUGCAGUAGGAGCAGUAUUAUGACAAAGAGUUGAUCGAAUUCCCCACGUUAUUUACUAUGCUAGUAUGACAUUGAAUGAUGCACAGUUGAACUAUUCAACUACUGAAAAAGAAAUGCUAGCAGUAGUGUUUGCAUUGGAAAAAUUUCGAUCUUAUCUCAUUGGUUGUAAAAUAAUUAUAUUCACAGAUCAUGCUGCUCUUAAAUAUCUUCUCACAAAGAAAGAUGCAAAAGCUAGACUAAUUCGUUGGGUGUUACUUUUGCAGGAAUUCGACUUGGAAUUCAAAGAUAAAAAGGGCACAGAAAAUGUUGUGGCGGACCAUCUCUCUCGUCUUCACUUUGACACAAUUACAGAACCAUUACCAUUAAAUGAGUCAUUUCCAGAUGAACAAUUAAUGAGUGUGGAAGUAUUACCUUGGUAUGCUGAUAUAGUUAAUUAUCUUGUUACAGGUAAACUUCCAGAGCAUUGGACCAAGCAAGACAAGACCAAAUUUUUUGCGGAAAUAAAGAAUUUCUUUUGGGAUGACCCGUAUCUGUUCAAGUAUUGUGCAGAUCAAAUUGUUAGACGAUGUGUCCCAGAAAAUGAAAUUCAGAAUAUCCUUUCAUUCUGCCAUGAACAAGCUUGUGGAGGCCAUUUCAUUGCUAAGAAAACAGCGACUAAAGUUUUACAAUGUGGUUUCUAUUGGCCAACUAUAUUUCGAGAUGCUUACACUUUCUGUUCUUCAUGUGAUAGGUGUCAACGAAUGGGGAGCAUUACACGAAGGAACAUGAUGCCACUAAAUCCAAUUUUAGUGGUUGAGAUUUUUGACGUAUGGGGUAUCGACUUCAUGGGACCCUUUCCCCCUUCUUUUGGCCAUCAAUACAUAUUGGUUGGUGUUGAUUACGUCUCAAAAUGGGUAGAAGCAAUUUCAUGUAGAACCAAUGAUCAUAAGGUGGUGAUAGGAUUUUUGAAAAGUAACAUUGUCUCACGCUUUGGAUUCCCUCGAGCAAUAAUCAGUGAUGGUGGUGCCCACUUUUGUAACAAAGCAUUCAAAGCUCUUUUGACAAAGUAUUCAAUCACUCACAAAGUGGCAACUCCGUAUCAUCCGCAAACCAGUGGCCAAGUUGAGAUAUCCAAUCGAGAAAUAAAGCACAUAUUAGAAAAGACAGUGAGGCCAGACAGGAAAGAUUGGUCAUUAAGACUUGAUGAUGCAUUAUGGGCAUAUAGAAUGGCUUUCAAGACCCCGAUUGGGAUGUCACCCUACAGGCUAGUGUAUGGAAAAGCUUGCCACCUACCUGUGGAACUCGAGCAUUGUGCAUAUUGGGCUAUCAAGAAAUUCAAUUUUGACAUGCAGCAAGCCAGCUCAGAAAGAAGAUUACAACUGGCAGAACUUGAAGAAAUUCGCAAUGAUGCAUACGAAAAUGCCAGGAUUUACAAGCAACGAAUGAAAGUCUUUCAUGACAAGCAUAUUAUGAGAAAAUCUUUCACUCCAGGUCAGAAAGUGCUUUUAUUCAAUUCUCGCUUGCACCUAUUCCCAGGUAAGUUACGCUCUCGUUGGUCUGGUCCAUUUAUUGUUCAUACUGUUUUUCCACAUGGGGCAAUUGAAAUUAAAGACCCAAAGAACGGUGUCACGUUUAAAGUCAAUGGUCAAAGAUUAAAGCCAUAUUUAGAGUACCAAGCACAUGGAGAAGACACCGAAAUAAAUUUAAGUGACCCACCAGAUUUGAAUUGAUUUUUUUUCUUUUCGUUGAUUUGAUUUUUCUUUCUUUCUUUUUAUUUGUUAAUUGAAAUUAUUUUUGCAUAAGUGUGUUUGUUUUUCCAUUAAGUUUUUUCUUAUCAUUAUUAAUCAUGAGUACCAUACUUAGACCGUUCCUCCUGAACAUUCUUAAACCACUUCAACGUGUCAAAACUCAUCUCAUAAGGCAGAUUCAAUUUUGUAAAACACAUCGUAUUUGGUCUCUACAACCACCAGAGUUAGUAGCCUAUGUUGAGGGUUUAGAAAGCCAACUCAGAGAUAUUGAGAGAAGUGUUUACGACAUCUAGUUGGAGCUUGAGGUAAAUUCAAUAAGAGGACGAUUUUAAUUUUCUAUGUGUGUUUUAAUUUGUUUUUCUUUUUGGUGUGUUUUAGUUUGUUACCCCGGUAAAGUGGCGGAUAACGAUACUCCGUGACAGUCAAGUCGGUUACUUCAGUUUUCCCAUAAUAACUGAUAUUCUGAGGCGAAGGUAUGGACUGAAACGAGAUUCUAGCGAAGCUUCACAAGCGAUUCCCUUCACUCCCUCAAAAUGCCCUCCUUACGAUCUAUAAAGCUCGAUCCGAACGCAUGCGAUUACUCAUGAGGAAUAACAUACCUGCAGACAUCCGUUGGUUAAUCGAGGCUAAAGUACGAUUGGCAGGUGAGUUACCUCUUAAAUUUAUUGCAUACAUGCCUGGUUGUGGUAAAGGAAAUUAUGCAAGAAAACGACGAGCUCGAAGAAUUUCCGUUGCUUGUCAUAAGUGUGCCAGAAUGAGUUGCGAUAGAAACCCAUGUUCUUUAGGAAUGAUGUCUGAUAACAGAGAAGAUAAGAUUCAAUUCAUUAGGGAUGGCUUGAAUAAGGAGUCAUUGGAUGAUAUCCUUUUGUCUCUUGAAACGCAUCCCAGUGGAUAUGUGCAAGGAGCGAUUCUCCAGUUAUGGCCAUUAUUCCAGAAAGAGCAUACACGAUAUAGUCUCGGGAAUCUGACUAUAAACGACCCUGUUUGCCUGUUUAUAAGAAAACUGGAUGGGUAGCCAAUCCUCGACCCAUAGAGGGCGUUCCAGCCGUUUCUGGACGUAAAACCAGAGGAAGAUGUGAGCCACAGUCGCAACUACGUGUAAAUAUCCUUUUACUUUACUGUUAUUUUAUUUUAUUUUACUGUUGUUUUAUUGUUUGCAUUAUUGUCUUUAAUAAUUUUAUUACUGUUUGCUUUUUCCUUUUUACUGUUUCCUUUUUGACUCGCGAGCCAUGUGCUUCACACGUUAUUUGACACUGACAUGUUACCUCAUUCACAGCUGUGACCCACUAUCACCAAGACUCUUAAAUGUGAUUUCUUUUGUCAAACACUCACAAAUUGUUUUUGAGAAAUAUUCCAAUGGCAGCUACUCCCAAUAGACAAUUCAAGAAUAUUUGUGUGCUUUCUGGAUUUACCUAUGGCAAACAUAAAGAGUUCGUUGAGGCAGCCAUAGAUCUUGGUCGAAGCAUAGUAGCGAGAAAUUUACAUUUGGUGUAUGGAGGAGGUAACCGAGGGUUAUCAAAAAUGGUCUCAGAGGCAGCUUUUAUCAGAGGAAGCCAAGUGUUAGGCAUCAUCCCAUCUGCACAUCCACCAGAAACCCAUCGGUUUGUUAAAUGUCAAUAACUUUUAUGAUGGCUUAUCGCAUUUCUUAACCAUGCAAUAAAAAAUUAUUUCAUUCCUUCUAAUGUGAAAAAACUCUUUAUUUGUGCUCACACUGCUAAUGAGCUACUUGAUAUGUUACAAGCUUAUAAACCGAAGCCAGACCCCUGGACCUUUGUGUUGGAGCGACCAAAUAAUGAUGGUAACAGUAGCCGCAGUAAGAAGUACAAAUUAGAUUUAACUCUCCGCCUGUAAAUAUUUUCUUCUGUGUUGCACCACCCAGGUGAUGUCUUCUAAACUCUACUUCUUUCCUUUCAAACAUUGAGGACAAUGUUUCAUUCUGGUUGGGGGGAGGGAAUAGUCAACAAUUGUGGAAUCUUGGUUAAGUUUUUACUGAUUUUUUGUUGUAGAAACUAACUGUUGCUAACGUUUUGUGUUAAAGAUGGCUGAAUAUAGAGUGUAGUUACUCUAGAAACGCAUCUUCAUCGUUAAAAAAAAAAAAAAUUGUUUUCUUCCUUUUUCUCCUUUAUAAAUAUAUAUUUUCAAAUUUUUGAGUCGAAGAUGGCUGAAUAUGGAGUGUCGUGCCUCUAGAAACGCAUCUUCAUCGUUAAAAAAAUAUAUAUAUAUUUCUUUUUCUAAUAAAUUUUUCUACAUCAUUUUCACAUUUCUGCAUGCAUAUUUUCCUUUCAUGUUUAGAAUAGGUUGGGGGGUAGAAUGUUGUUAAAAAAAAAUUGUGUUAUUUGUUUUAACAUUGGAUGACAUGAUUAAUUUCAAAUUUUAGUAUUUGUAUUAUCUUUGGUCUUAAGUAAUGUUACGCUAUAUUUGCUACUUUACAUGUUGAUGUCGGAGACAAAUAUGAGUUGCUUGAAGGAAUGAACAUGUCAUAAAUAAGUGCCAAGUGAGUUGUUGAGCCUAUCAUUUUCUUGGAGAGUAACCCUUUUGCCCAUUCUCUAUACAGCUUAGCAGUUUAUUAUUUUAUACACGAUCUCUACAUUUCUUUUGAGUUAACCCUUUAAAAAAAAAAUGUGUGUUGCUACAUUGGGAGGCCCAUCUAACUAGUAGAUAUGGAUAAUUAUUUAGAGCCCUAAAAGAUGAUGGAAAUGCCAUCUUUGAUCCGUUUGAGCCUUUCUAGCCAUCCCUUUUAUUAAAUAUCCAUAGUUACCCCUUUUGAGCCUUUAAAAAAAAAAAAACCUUUUCUUUGUCAACUUAUCAUCUUAACCCACUCCGAUUGGGAGUAUUACCCGAUGUCUAAUAAGUUCCAUCACCUAUUUAUGUUUGAGAAAAUGUAAAUAAUUAUGUUGUUCAGUGAAGUUAUGCCAAAUAAAAGCUAAAUAAAAAAAAAACAAAAGUUGUUGUUUCAAAAGAAUAAAAAUAACAACGAUAGGUGAAAUACACCUUGCAACUUCAAAAAAAAAAAAAAUUCUCUGCAUUUUAGGGAACUAUAGUUUGAAGUAAAAGCUAGUUAUAUGGGCUAAAAAGAUGUAGUGAUGCAUAAUAAAAAAAAAAGAUAAAUAAAGUGGGUUGACUAACAUUUUAUUUGACUUGAGAUCGUAUUAUUUCUAAGCUGAGGGCAUAUUUAUUUCAUCUUGGUGAGAGCAUGUGAUAUCAUUUCUUUAUUAUUUUCUCUCUCAAUUACCAUUCAUUGGAUUGACUAUGUUUAUUGGGUUUUAAUUUCUUUGUGAGAGUGUCACUACUUCCAGUGAGAUUUUGGGGUUUGACAUGUCAUUCUUGAAAGUAGCUAUAACAAAGUCUACUGGGCUAAUUCAUGUGGAUGGUUGAUGUGGGUGUGAUGUUGCUUUAGACUGGAGAUAAUGCUUAUACUUUUAUUUGAUUGCUAUCAUUAAUCUGAUUGAAUAAACACGAGUGUUUCUAAAAUAAAAAAAAAAUCAUUUUGAAUUUGAAUUUUGUUUUCGCUUUAUUUGCUAGGGACUAGCAAUAAGCUGGUUGGGGGGUGUGUUGAGUGUUAGAAAAUGCAUAUUUAUAAAGGAGAAAACCGUCAUUUUACAUUUCAAGUCUUACUAACAACCCUUACUUUUAUGUAUUUAACAUUCUUAUGAUUUAAUUACGUGUGUUUUAUUUUAAUUAAGUAAUUUAUGUAUUUUAGGGGCAUUAUAGUCAUUUCACAAUAAAGGAGAGAUCAGACGGCAAAACAGACAUCACUUUUGAACUCAGGACGGUCGAAAACCUUAGGAGGAGCAUAAAAGGAAAAAUGACACUAUUCACAUGUACGGUACUAUUCACGUACACGGUACUGUAUACGUUACUGUUCACGGCACUGUUCACAUAGAUGGAUCGAUGACGUGGCAUUGACCGAUGAUGUGGCAUUGACUGAUGAGGUGUCACGAUUCUAUUGGGUUAAAAUUCUUAUGUACUGUUGAUGGUGACAUGGCAGUAUAUCAGUGGACGAAAAAUCUCGCGUACGGUGCAUGCAUCACACAGGAUUAGUUUCAACCAAACCGCGUUACUGUUCAUCCGGGUCAAACCGUGUUACUGUUCAUCCACGUGGUCAAACCGUGUUACUAUUCAUCCGCGUGGUCAAACCGUGGACUGUUGACUGAUGACGUGGCGCAAUCCUGAGCGUCCAAACUGUUUUUAAUCCGAUGGCCAUGAUUUACUCCAUGUAUCUAUAAAAAGGGGGCCUCUCCCCCCUAAUUUGAUAUCUCUGAAUCCAUUUUUGGGAUCCAUUUUCUGUAAUUCCUUCUCCAUCUUGUAUUUUCUUAGUAUUUUAAUAAAUUUCCAUUUUGCCCCUAGUUCAAUUAUGAGUGGCUAAUUUUCUUUCAAGCUUGGGUUGAAGGUGAAGUCUCAACAUGUGUCAUGGGCUUUAUUUGGUAAAUUUAUUUUCUCUUCCCCUCUAGUUUUUGUGGAUGUUUUAACUUCUCGUCGACAAAUAAUACUAAUCUUGUCUAGUACCGCCUUGGUUACACCGGCUCUCUAGUAUAAGGUUAUUAUUAUCUGGCACGAUAAGCCCUUAGCACCAUAUUGAUUAGAGCGUUGUUCAUGAGGUGUGGAUUCCCCCCUCAUGAUUUAAUUGGUAUUAAUAAGGAAUAUUUAGCCCAUGAUGCAUGUUGAUACGGAUCCAGAUACCCAAGUACGUCAUUUCAAUAGAAUUCUCUUCAAUUUAUUCUCGCUAUUUCAAUUCCAAUUUUAGAAUUUAUUCUCGCCAUUUUAAUUUAAGUUUUAGCAAAUUCCAAAUCAUUUCCACCACAAAUCCAAUCAUUCAUUUACAAAAUUAAUUCUAUACACAAUUAAAAUCCACCUCCUCGUGGGAUCGACACUCGUCACCAUUAGUCUAUACUACAAUAGAUUCGUGCGCUUGCGAGUACAUUAAAAUUUGCACAACAGAGAGCGGUCCAGUCCUUCAGACUUGAUCCGGUAGACCCUUAUAGAUACUACCUGGCAGGAUUUGCUCUUUGCAUAAGGACUGGUAUAGGAGGGAACUGAUCAUCUGAGGAGACACUUGUCUCAUCGCCAGUAUCAUCUUCUUCGUUCCAUCCUGUAGCCUUUUGAGGCCAUGGAUAUUGCGGAGGAGGAGCAUAACUUCUCCAGAAUGCCUUCUGACAGUUGCCAGAUAUGCCAGAUAUAAAAGUUACUUAUCUCUCCAUCCUCACUUACCUCUCCCUCACAUUUAUCAUCUACCACACAUCAACAUCAACAUCACCACCAUCAUCACCUCUCAUUGGACCCCAAUUCCUCAAGCCCAUCACAGCCGUCCAUAACCUCACCCUCCUCCUCCUCUCCCUCAUCAUGGCCGUUGGUUGCCCUCUCUCCAUCAUCCUCCAUUUACCCCACCUCUGUUACAAACUCUGUUUACCCCCUACCAUUUCUCCGUCUGGCAUGGCCUAAUUCCGACGGAAUCAACGACGGUCGUGAUAGGUUUUGGCUGCGACAAUUCGCGCUUCAAACGGCGGCGUUUCGGUUGGUUUUUGGCGACAGUGACGGUGGGAAAGUGAUGGCUGGCUUAGGAGCUUUCGUUGCUACCAUCCAUGGCCGGUGAGGUGGCCGAAAAUUGGAGAUAUGUCUGCGUUGGGUUCGCAGUUUUGGGUUGGGUUUUCCGGGUCGGUUUGACAGCUUCCUCUAUCCCUCUCCCCCAUAAAACAUUACGCAGCUUCCUCUUAUUAUUAUUAUUUUUUUCACAUACGUUAUAGAACAUUAAGAACAUUAAUGAGAUAUGUUUAGUAAGGACUAUUUUGAUAUUUCGAUGAGUAGUAAAAAGUAAUGUUAAAAUUUUAUAGACGAGUGUAUAGUAAGAUGCUCAAAGUACUAGAACAUAUAUAAAUAAUCCCAGCUCUAAUAAAUUUUUGCCACAUAAUGAGUUUUAUCCCUUAAGCAAAACAUAUCGAUAAAGUAAACAAAAGCACAAUGCAUGAGUACAUGUCAAUAACAAAUGAAAGUAAUUAAGAUAAAGAAUAUGCUUUAUUUUCUUUUAUUUUAGUUUUUUUUUUGGUUUCUUUUGAAAGGAGACCAACUAGAUCAUGCAAGAAGUUAAUUUUUUUUUUUAAAUAAAAAGGGAGAAAUGAUGGUCUUACAAAGUUCGAAUAUAAAGUUUAUAAUCUAAAAUUAAUGAUGUGACAAUUAACCUAAUGGAGUAAGAAGUCCCAAAUAGAUUAUAUUUUGCUAAAGAAGUCAAUUCUACCGAGAAUACCUCUUUCUAUUGAAUUUAAAUGAUGAUUAUUUGUUUAUAUCAUAAAAGCUAAAAUAAUUGUGUGAGUAAUUUGAUUCUUUUACAGUAUAAAAAUAAAUUCAGAAAAUGUUAGGGCAUGUUCUGUAAUAUAUUUUUAAAUUUAUAUUAUGAGAAUGAAAAUGGUGUUUUCAAGUUGAUAAAAUUUCAAUUGAAAUAUGUGUUUGUUAUUAUUUUAUUUAUCAUAUAUUUUCAAAAUGAAAAUAACCGAUAGAUAAAGUUAAAAAUGAUAAAAUAAUGGAUAUAUUAAGCAAUUUUACUACAUGCAAAUUAUUAUCUGUGUUUAAAGUUCAUAUAAAGCUUGUUUAUUUUUCAACAUACCAACUUACAAUAAUAAUAAUAAAAUUUUUGUGAUAUCCAAUAUUAACUUUUUAAAGUAAUUAUUUUUUGUUAAUGUGUCCGCUGUUCAAUCGAUCUUCCUACUUUCUAUGCUUGAGAUUAGAUCAUUUGCUUCAAAGAUUCGAACUGGACUUAUAGUAGGAAAAAGAAUUUUCUUCAAUAUGAACUCCAAUUCUCUUUUAUAUAUAUAUAUAUAUAUAUAAAUCUAAUUCUCCUUUCAACAUUUUAACAUUUUGAUGAAAUAAACAAUUAUUGGCGAAAGAUUACAUGCUUCCUUACAUUAGAGAACCAAAUACUCAGAUAGGUAGUGUAAAUCUCUACUGAUCGUUGGUGAUUUUAUCAAAAUAAAAUUCAAUACAAUGUAUAAGCACACUUAAAUCCGUCCAAAAAAACAUAAAUGACCCAGCAAAUAAAGAAAAGUACUGUGAAGUAAAAUUGAAAAGUACAAUCCGUCGAUCAUUUGAUACGUAUUUUUCUUCACAGAACCUCAAUUCAAUAGACAAAAGCUCCUCUUAAUUUUUCUUUUCUAUUUAAAUAAAAGAACAAAAGAAAUUGAUUACGGAGCCAUUAAUUUCCAAGAAUUAAUAAACGAAAAGGCCCAUAAUUUUUGUAAACCCACCCCACUCUCAAGAAAUAAUUACAAUAAGUUCAAAUUAUUUUUUAAAAAUUGAAAUAAAGAAGAUGUAAUUACAAUAAGUUUGGAGAUUGAAUCAAAUAAAAUAAAAUACCUAAACUAUUAUAUACAAGAACUCUUGAUUCUUGGGGUAUUUUAGUCAUUUUAUAUUAUCAUGGUAAAUUAGUCAAAUAAAACUUAUCUUGAAGCAACCUAAAUGGUCAAAGACACCUAAGUUAAAAAUAAAAAUUAUAUGAAUGAUUUAAUUUAUUGAUUGUCUAUACGUUUUAUUGAUUUAUGUAUUUUAAAAAUAGUAUGAACGUAUUACAAUUAUUUUCUGACAGCAAGGUAGAUUUGUAAAAUAAGUGGGUAGAAACUAUCCCCGUCCUCAAACAAAUAAAUGAAUUAUCGGUGAUGCAUGCUUUUUCCCAACUUUCCUUUUUUUUUUCUUUUGGUUUUUUGUUUUUGUUUUAAAUGUAGAAGAAGGAAGAGAUGAAGAUCCAAUCCAAUCUGAUAGUAGUAGUUUAUUUUAAUUUUUAUUAAUUUGAUUUCAUAGGAGUAGUUUUCAUUUUUUGUUGAAAAUUGGUAUAAAAAAAAACUGAAAUGAGAUGAUUACUUUAAAACAAUCUUCAAGAACUAAAAUAAUUUAAAAAAAACUCAAAAUAAACAAAAAGUCUUAAAAAUAACCCUAAUCCGAACAUUAUUUGAAUCCAUCCUAACUAGCCCGAAUAUGAUUUUAACCCAAACCCAACCUAACUCGCUUAUAAUUAUAACCCAAUGCGAUCCAAAUUCAACUCGAAUUUUUGAUCCGAUCUAAUACAAUUUGAAUAUUCUAACCCUAUCAACCAGAAACCCAAUUAGGUUGAUCUGAACCCACAUUUGUCCACUCCCAGAGGGGAUCAUGACCCUACAAGCUUUGAAAGUUUUUUGAGAUUUCUAAGUGAAUAUUAAAAAUUAUGUAUAAAAAGACUGAUUUGACCCCUAAACACUUGAUAUAGAAACUUUAUACAUAUAAUAGAAAUUUAAUUUUAUAUUUUGUGAAAUAAAGUCAAAGUAACUGAAUUUUUUUUUAUUUUGUUAAUUAUUUUUCUAAUAUGACAAAAUGACAAAUAGCCUUGUGCCUAGCUCUUUGACUUUUAUUUUGCUAAUUAUUUUUUUCAUUUCUCUUGCAACAGUAACUUCAAUUAUCAAUCAAAGUCGCCAAAUCAAAAUCUCUGCAGCCUGCAGCUACAAGCAAACUUCUCAAAUUUUGAAAUUCCUUAUGACUACAUAAUAGCUAUAAAUAGAAAAAGCGUCUAAAAUAACUAUGUUUUUCUAAGUUUGAGCUUGAGCCCCCUGAAGAUUUACUCCAUACGUAACAAAAUAUUGGUUUUGCUAGUAAAAUUGCUAACUAUGUUUUUCUUUGUAUUUCCGCUCAAGGAUGAAGAAAUUUCCCUAGACUUUUGUGGUGAAUAUCUUACGAACAUAUGACAAUUUAAUCUUUGGCUGAGACUUGUUUAACAUAAGAGAUGACACUUUAAAGCAAUAGGAGAGAUAGAUAACAAGCUUUGUUCCCCAAAAAAAAUCUAUCAGAUAUAUUAUGCCCCCGGUUGCUAUUGCUAAAUAUAGUCAUAAUUACUAAAAAAUAAGUAAUUCUUUUUUUAUAUAUUAAAAUGGUAAACGGGUGGAUAAAAUUUAAAAUAAAUUUUUAACUUUUUAUCUAUUUUGACAUUCGAAUUUUAAGCUCGAGAAGUCAAGCAAUAAAUAAAGCUUUUUGAGAGGCUAACUAAAUUCUUAGUAAUUGCAUAUAAUUUCAUUUCAUCAGAACAGUUUUAUCAAAAGCAAUUUUAUAAAUCUUUUUGGAAAGCUUUAAUCCUUAAUUAUCUUUCACAUAUUUUCUUUGUAAUAUGAGGUAAGUCGUGGACCAUAGUAUGGUAUUUAUUGUAAAUAAAAUCAUUAUGAAACUGAUUUUAUUCUUCUUUUUUUCACAAACAAAGUAUCUAGCUAACUGCAGAUGUAAUGAAUUACUAAUUACCAUUAUUUGAGUCGCUCUCUAAAUUAGAUCUUGGAGUCUGUCCUGGCAUAAUAAAAUUAACGACAUAAUGGCUUUUGAUUUUGCCUACCUGAUAAUAAAAGUUGUCUGCGAUAUAGACAAGAAAUGGAUCCAUACGUUAAAGCAAAAUUGAAAAAUAUAAAAACAUAAAUUGCUAGGAGAUGAUUUUAUCCGAAAUUUCACUUGCACGGUAUUGGCCACAUAUAAAUUUGUGAUGAAAUUCAUAACGGAUUAAUAUAAUUGAACGAAAUUACUCCAUACAAUUUCAUAAGUAUGUAUUAUACAAUUAAAAAUCUAUUGAUAUUUAUAAUAAAAUAAUAUAUCUACUAAGUGCUGGGAUAUAUAUUUGUGGGGAAAGACAAAUGUAGAGAAUUGCAGUAAUAAAGGUGGAAGUGAAACUUUAUAAUAAUUAAUUAAUGUGUUCACAAUUCUGUAAGUAUAAUAAAAUCAUAUUAAUAGGUAAAUUGUAGAAAAUUAAUGUGUACUUAAGGGCACAUUACAAAUGUCGCUUUCCUAAAGAUAUCAUUUGUCCCACCAAUUAAGUGAUGCAUAUAGGCUAAACAAAUAUACCUCCAGGAUACAAUGAAUCACUUAUUUGUUUGCAUGUGUUUUUCAUCGAUGAAAGCAAACUUGAAUACUUUUGAAUGUUGCAAGCUUUUCGAGAAUCAAUAUAUUAUUCCUAUAGUAAACAAUAUAUUAGAUAUUUGAUGCAUAUAGUAUAGAUGUUAUACAAUAAAAUUUGUUUCAGGAAAGAGGGUUGAGAAGAGAGUGAUGUAGUAUCAUUAUUUCCAUGUUUAAAAAUUAAUUCUAAAUUAGCUAUAACAUGCAAUCUUUUAAUAUUCACAUGUCCUAAAUGAAUAUGCUACAAAAAUAAUGAGUCAAUCAUGUAAGAAGAAGAAACAUUAAUUUUAUUAAUAUUGAGCUUGAACAUUCCCAAAUACAUGUAUCCUUUCCCAAUAAAGGUACCUGAAACGACCCGCCCCGAAAACCCCUAGGCGAGUCUAUCUAGUCUCAUCAAAACGGACUAGAAAAUCUAUUCAUAAAGAGUCUGCCGAAAAUUCGGCAGAGUCUCCUUUAUAUAUAUAACACUCCCAAUCUACAAAUAUGAAAAUAACACUCCCAAUACAAAUCUCAUAUACAACAAACUCCAGUACUCAACAUACUCAACCAAAAUGCUGAGUCUUAUAUUAUACAAUCCCAAAAGAACAAGAUGACCAAAAUGUCCCAACAAAAACAUUUACACAAUCUAGCACCAUCACGUGGCCAAGACUCAAAAUAUAUAUACAGUCGCUGGGUCAGUCUGGUGUACCUGCAACCUCCUGGUGAGGGGGGAAAAAUAUAAUAAAAGCAGGGUGAGUUUAAAACUCAGUGAGAUCAGUGAGUGGAUAGUAGGUUUGAAAAUUAAAUCUUACUUUAAAAGAAAUAAUCAUAUCAUUUCCAAAUACGGUUUCAUUAAACCAUAAGCGAGAAAUCAGAAAUAAAUCAUUAAACAUUUAAAUCAGAUUACCAACCAUAGAAAUCAUAUCACCAAAUCAUAUAGGAUUCACAAAUCUGAAAAUCAUCAUAAAACAAGUACCCAGGGAAAUAAUCUCGUCAUAUCCGGACCUCAACGGACGGGCAAUGACGUACUAUCUGGGUAACGUCACGCCCCGGAGCUACACAGAUAGACAGGGAAAUACCAUCUCAUAUCNNNNNNNNNNNNNNNNNNNNNNNNNNNNNNNNNNNNNNNNNNNNNNNNNNNNNNNNNNNNNNNNNNNNNNNNNNNNNNNNNNNNNNNNNNNNNNNNNNNNNNNNNNNNNNNNNNNNNNNNNNNNNNNNNNNNNNNNNNNNNNNNNNNNNNNNNNNNNNNNNNNNNNNNNNNNNNNNNNNNNNNNNNNNNNNNNNNNNNNNNNNNNNNNNNNNNNNNNNNNNNNNNNNNNNNNNNNNNNNNNNNNNNNNNNNNNNNCCAAAGCCUCUAUGUGUGUUUAGACGGGCCCCAAAGGCCUCUCAUCUCAUAUCAUUUAUAUCACUAUAUCUGGAGGGAAGGGUACUGUUUAAUGAUUUUAAAAACAAUCAUAAUACUCAUAUUCUCAUACCUCUUAACCAUAUUUUAAAUCAUACCACACAUUUUAAUAUAAUCUCAACACGUGAAUAAAAUCCAUUUCGAGGGAAUCACAUUAAAUCCAAUUCGAGAAAAAUCGCAUUAAACCCAUUUCGAGAAAUCAUUAAAUCAAAACAUUUAAAAUGCUUAUUCCGCAAACAUGCUUACUAUCAUCGCUAACUAUAAAAAUAAGUUUUAUAUAUUCCACUCACAGUGAUGGUGUUCAGGGUCGGUUAUCGUCCAUGUCCGCAGUCCGGUUCUCGCUCGCGGAUCCUCCUAAAUCAAGGAAACGACAUAAUUAUUUUCCAUAAAUCGGAAUUCCGACUCAAUAUAUGCCAUAAACUCGAAACGAACAUUUAUCCAUAAUUUACAACUCCCGUGUCGAUAAAAUUACUAAAAUGCCCUUGCCGGUGAACGGUCGCCGGAAAUUGGUCAACGACGAUGGGAAGCUUAGGUCUGCUAGUUCAGACCUCGGUGAGUCCAAUGGUGGUGGCUGUGAGUCCCCACGCGCGGUACCGACGGCGGAUCGAGCUUCCCAAGCCGUGAGCUUCCAAGUGGCUAUUCGUCGGCAAUCCGGCCGUUUCAGAUGACGAGGUUGGUCGGAAAAUGAUUCUGGUGACGUGAGGAGUAGAAACCAGCUAGAGGUGUGCCCAAACUCUGGCAAAAUCGACGGCGGCGAAAACGGGUCUUGGCCGCGACUUUUCAAGCUCAAACGCCGGCGUUCCAGUCGGUUUCCGGCGACGAGGAUGGCAGGGUUAUGAUGGCCGGCUUCCAAGCUUCAGAUUGGUACCAAGCUCGGCUGGUGAGGUGGCCGGAAUCGUGAAAUCCGUCCGGGUCAAAGUCGCGGGUCGGGUCGGGUUUCCGGGUAAAAAAUCGGGUCAACUCUCUUUCUCUGUGUUACACGUGCAUGUGUUUUCCUUUGUUUCCAACUUAUUCCUUUGCUUAUAAACUCCUUAACCGCCUCAUGCCAUUUUACAACCACAGGUGUUACAGUACCACCCUUAAACAAUGCAAAUUUGCUUUGACUCAAAUAAGGUACCACCCUAAUAUAGAUACAAGAUUUUUCCUACCUUUAGAUACAUGAUAAACAUCAAUAUGAGUUAAAGUUUUUCCACAAGUGAACUCUAGUUGCACAUUCCCUCUAAUUGUUGCAAUGGAGGAAUUUCCCAUCUAAAGAACACUUCAAUCAUCCAUUGCUUUGUAAGAUGUGAAAAGCCUACGAUUCUUGUACACAUACUUGAUUGCACCGGAAUCUAUUCACCAUGCAUUAUCAUGUUCGAGAAUAUUAAUCUAAGAUAUUACGGCCAUAAAUUUUGUCCACAAAAUUUGUGUUCGAGCACUUUUUUUCUUUCUUAAGAAGCUGACAGUCAUUUUUAAAGUGGCUAGGCUUUUCACAUUGGUCACAUGUACACCUUUCUUUUUUAUUUUGUUGGUUUGAUUCUAUUUGGAAUCAAAUUUUUGCUUUUGGUUAUUAAUGCGGGUAUUAGACUGCUUAAGCUCCUUCUCCUCCUCCACAACAUUAAUUUCAGAGGACAUAGCAGUCUGUUCCUCAAGACUAUUAAGUUUAAGUUUCUAUUCAAUAUGAAGACUUUGCCAAGCCUUCCAGGCUAACUUCCUCUUUGUUAUAUUUAAGACUUUUUUCAUAGUCUUUUCAAGAGGGGGGAAGUUUAUCAAUAAUUGAAGAAAUAAUAAUAAACUUAUUACUUUUCAUGUUGUGUUGGUUGAAUUGAUCAAGAAUGCAAAAAUCUCAUUAUAUUGUUCAAUCACAAGUCUAUUAUCAAUCUUUUUAAAACUAAAAAAAUUAGAAGUCAAGAAUUUCUUACUUGUGGUGUCUUCCAUCAUGUACUAAGACUCCAAUAAGUCUUAUAUUUCUUUUGCUGUGGAUUUUGUUGUGGUACUUAUGGAAACAAAGUACUAGACACGGCAUUGUAAAUGUGUCUUAUGCACACGUAGGCAUCUUGCUUCCACUUUUGCCACACUCGAGUUUCUCAUUCUCACGUUCUUCAGGCUUUGAUAUUGUAAGAGCAUUAACAACAUUGAGGCUUGUCAACAAGAAAUGUAAUAUUUUUUGCCAACGUAUAAAAGUUGUGACCAUAAAUAUUUAUUUAUUAUUGAUUUUGAUGAUAACAAACUUGAUUAAGAUUGAUUAAUCUCUUAAAAGCUCAAAAUAAUUUUCAUAUACUUUUAAAUCAUCACUCUCACUUUAUAUUCUAUGGAAAUAUUUUUUGUUAUUCUCAUGUUAAUGGUUUCAAUUGAAAAAGCUUUGAGAAUUUUGAUAAUAACAAAUAUUGUUUCAAAUCCUGUAAAUGGAUCUAUUUGAUAAGUUUUAUAAAGUGUUGGGUCAUAGUAUAAUUUUAUGAAGUUUUGGGGUCAAACUAUUAUUUUACAAAAUAGUUCAUUUUAGCAGUUACUGUAGAAAACGGCGAUCCGACAUCUUGAUAAAGGCUCGCCGACAUCGAACAGAACUGAAGAUUAGCCUCUGGACACUAACAACAAUCCGACAACUUGAUAACGGCUAACCGACAUUGCACAGAAUUGAGGAUUAGUCUCUGGACACUAACGGUGAUCCCACAUCUAGAUAACGACAAUCCGACAGUGUGCAGAAAGUCAAUAACAGCUAGUUUUCAGCUCCAGCAAUAAAUAAGCUCAAUCAAAUUCAAACUAAAACGAUUGCAACAAUUAUUAUUGAGCAAAGUUAUGAGCAUACAACAUUCAUUGAGCCUUAAAUUCUUGUAUUCAUCUCAUUUACUCACACUUUGAAUCUUCAUUUGUAAUCAAACACAUAGUGUGAGAGAAAUUUAUUUUGUAACAUUCUUUAAAAUCAAAUUGAGUGAUUGUAAGUGUUGAGAUACACUUGGGUUAAGAGAUUAGGGAUAAUCUCUUGUUGUAAAGGUUUAUUGACACCUUAAAAGUCAAGUGUAAGCAUUUGAAGCCUUGGAGGCUUGCUUAGUAGAAUCCUCAAGCCCGAAAAGCUUGGAGGCAUGGACGUGGGAGAGGUUGGCCGAACCACGUAAAAAUCCUCAUGUUUGAAUCUCUCUUACCUUAUCUUUUUAUAUUGUGAUAAAUUUAUUUGUUAUUGCUUUAAAUUCGUUUUAUAUUUGCAUUGAGUUUUGCUUUAAAAAUUGUAUAAUUUUUAGAAUCUCAAUUCACCCCUCCUCUUGGGUUGCAUAACUAGAAUUUCAUUUGGUAUCAGAGCCUUGUGCUUUUGUUAGGACGUAAUCGUCUAGAGUAAAAGAUCAAUGGCAACCCUAAAUGACUCAACCUUUAGAGAAGGACAAUCUACAACUAGACCACCGUUCUUUGACGGUAAUGACUAUGCAUAUUGGAAAACUAGGAUGAGAAUCUAUUUGCAAGUUUUAGAUUAUGAAAUUUGGGAAGUUGUUUAUGAUGGUCCAUUUAUGCCUAUGUUUAAAAAUGAAGAAGGAGAUGAUAUUCCUAAACCAUCAAGUCAAUGGAGUGAGUUAGAAAAGAGAAAGAUGUCCUUAAACUCCAAGGCAAUGAAUGCCUUGUUUUGUGCUCUUGAUAAGAAAGAAUUCCAUAGAGUAUCUAGCUGUGAAAGUGCACAAGAAAUAUGAAAUAAACUUGAAGUUGUCUAUAAAGGGACAAAUCAAGUUAAAGAGUCUAAAAUUAGUAGAUACACUCGUCAAUAUGAAUUGUUCCAAAUGGAAUAAAAUGAAAAUGUGUAUUCUAUGUAUAUUAGAUUUACGGACAUAGUAAACACCCUAGGAACUUUGGGAAAAACUUUCUCAAAUAGUGAGAAAGUAAAGAAAAUCAUUAGGUCACUUCCUAAGGAAUGGAGAUUUAAAAGGACUGCUAUUUAAGAGGUCAAAAAUUUAAAUACUUUACCUCUUGAUGAUUUAAUUAGCUCUCUUAUUUCAUAUGAACAAGACUUAGCAGCUGAAAAAAGGGAUGAGGAGAAGAAGAAAAGUAUUGUUCUCAAAGCUUCAAAAUUUAAGAGUGAUGAGGAAAGUGAACCGGAUGAUGAGGAGUAGGCCAUGCUAGCAAGGAGGUUUAGAAAAUUCUUUAAGAAAACCGGUGAGCGAAGAAGAUUUAGAAACUUCAAGAAUCAAAAGGAGAAGAAAAAGGCAAUCAUAUGCUAUGAGUGCAAAAAGUUCGGCCAUAUGAGAUCAGAAUGCCCACUUCUCAACAAACUCAAGAAGAAAGUCAUGGUUGCUACUUGGGAUGAUAGCGAUGAAGAUUCAAGUGAUGAAGAUGAAUUGCAUGAAGCAUCAAACCUAACACUUAUGACAUAAGAGAUGAUGAUGAUCUCAAUAAGGUAAGUGAUCCUACCUAUGAUGAAUUGUAUGAUGCUUUUAAAGAAUUACAUGAAGAGUUGAUGAAAAUUAGUAAAAAGAAUGCAUGCCUUAAAAAGAAAAUACUAGAACUUACAAAUGAAAGGGAUGCCCUAGAAAAAUGCAAUAAUGAGAAGAUAAAAGAAUUAGAAUUAGAGAAUAAAAUGUUGCAUGAUAAAACUUUAGCUCUUAAAGGUAAACAAAGCACUUAUGAACAUGAAAAGUCACAUGUGGAUGAGUUAAUGAAAGAGAAUGAAGUGCUUAAGAAGAAAAAUAAUGAACUAAAUGAAAUUGUGCUAAAGUUUACAAAUGGACAAAAGAUGUUGGAAAAUAUGCUCAAUUCACAAAAAUGUGUGUUUGAUAAAAGAGGUAUUGGCUAUAAGCCAAACUUGAAACAAAAAUAUUAUAAGAACUACUUUGUGAAAAGUACCUCUAUUAACAAUCAAAUUGUAUGUCAUCAUUAUAAUCAAGAUGGACACAUGAAAAAUAUAUGUCCAGUAAAAAGAAAUGCAUAUUAUGGUAUGAAAUGUAUUUGGGUUCCAAAAGGAACCAUUGCUAACAUAUAAGAACCUAAGAAGUUUUGGGUACCUAAAACUUAGAAACUUUUUCUGCAGGGAUCAAAGAAAAGGAAAAAUAAGUGGUUCUUGGAUAGUGGUUGCUCAAGGCACAUGACCAGAAACUAUGCAUGGUUUUCAAGUUUCACCAAAAUUGAAAAUGGUGGAGAUGUUUCUUUUGGAGAUAACUCAAAGGGAAAGAUUCUCGGAGUUGGAAAUGUCAGUAAAAUUUCGUCAACUUUAAUUGAAAAUGUAUGUUUAGUUGAAAACUUAAAACACAAUUUGAUUAGUAUUAGUCAAUUGUGUGACAAAGGUUAUAAAGUUGUUUUUGAUAAAUCUAAAUGUAUUAUUGAGAAUGCAUGUGAUAACAAGAUUUUAUUUAUUGGAAAUAGAUGCGGUAAUGUUUAUACCAUUGACAUAGAAUGUGCAUCCACUAAUGAUAAAUGUUUUUCGGCUGUGCAUGAUGAUAGUUGGUUAUGGCAUAGAAGACUAGGACAUGCAAGCAUGGAUUUAAUUUCAAAGAUUUCCAAAAAUGAUUUAGUUAAAGGUCUUCCAAAAAUUGGUUUUCAAGAAGAUAAAAUUUGUGAAGCAUGUCAAUUUGGUAAACAAAUCAAAACCUCUUUUAAAAGCAAAAAUCAUAUUUCUAGUUCAAAACUGCUUCAAUUACUUCAUAUAGAUUUAUUUGGACCUUUAAGGUAUGCUAGCUUGAAUGGAAAAUAUUACGCUUUUAUAAUUGUUGAUGAUUUUUCAAGAUACACUUGGUUAUUAUUCUUAACUAAUAAGGAUAAUGCUCUUGAUGCUUUUAAAGUACUUUGUAAGAAAAUUCAAAAUGAAAAAAAGGGUAUGGUAUUGCAUGCAUUAGAAGUGAUCAUGGAGAAGAGUUUGAAAACUAUGCAUUUGAAACCUUUUGUAAUAAUCUAGGCAUUGUGCAUCAAUUUUCAUCACCUAGAACUCCACAACAAAAUGGAGUUGUUGAGAGAAAAAAUAGGUCAAUUCAAGAAAUGGCUAGGAUUAUGUUGAAUGAAAAUUCCUUGCCUAAGUAUUUUUGGGCCGAGGCCGUCAACACCGCUUGUUAUGUUUUAAAUCGUGUGUUGAUUAGACCUAAUCUUAAUAAAACUCCAUAUGAGCUUUGGAAAGAUAGAAAACCCAAUAUUGGUUAUUUCAAAGUUUUUGGAUGCAAAUGUUUUAUUUUGAACACAAGAGAUAAUCUUGGCAAAUUUGAUUCAAAAUCCGAUGUUGGUAUUUUUCUUGAAUAUUUAAACUCAAGCAAAGCUUAUAGAGUUUAUAACAAAAGAACUCUAGUUGUAGAAGAAUCGAUGCAUGUUACAUUUGAUGAAUCUAACCCCUCUUCUACGGAGAAAGUUGUUGUUGAUAAUGAUGCAGAUGAAGACUUACAAAAAGAGUCAUCAAAAGAUAACCAAAAUGAUGCAUCUCAUGGGAAUCAAGAUGAGCAACAUGAAAAAAAAAAUGUAGAGCAAAAUGAAGGUACUUCUCAAUCACUCCCCAAAGAGUGGAGGUAUGUUUCUUCUCACCCUAAGGAUAUAAUUUUAGGAGAUCCCUCACGAGAUGUUACAACUAGAUCAUCACUUAGGAAUACCUGUGAGCAUAAUGCAUUUAUUUCUCAAAUUGAACUCAAAUCCUUUGAGGAUGCGGAAAACGAUAAAUCUUGGAUUAUGGUAAUACAAGAGGAGUUAAAUCAAUUUGAAAGAAACAAUGUGUGGGAAUUAGAUCCUAAACCGGAACAUUAAUCUGUCAUAGGUAUUAAAUGGGUAUUUAGAAAUAAGAUGGAUGAAUCCGGUGUGGUUGUAAGGAAUAAAGCUAGAUUAGUGGCUCAAUGUUACAACCAAGAAGAAGGAAUUAAUUUUGAUGAAACAUUUGCACCCGUAGCUAGAUUAGAAUCAAUUAGAAUGUUGUUGGCAUUUGCAUGUUAUAAAGAUUUCAUUUUAUUUCAAAUGGAUGUGAAAAGUGCUUUCUUAAAUGGUUAUAUUAUGGAAGAAGUGUAUGUAAAACAACCCCCUGAUUUUGAAAAUGAAAAAUUUCCAAAUCAUGUUUAUAAGUUGUUUAAAGCCUUGCAUGGAUUAAAACAAGCACCCAGAGCAUGGUAUGAUAGGCUUAAAAAUUUCUUAUUAGAAAAUAAUUUUUCUAUGGGUAAAGCGGAUACUACUCUCUUUGUCAAACAUAAGAACAAAGACAUACUUGCUGUUCAAAUUUAUGUGGAUGAUAUUAUUUUUUAUUCUACUAAUGAAUUGUUGUGUAAAGAAUUUUCAUCUUGUAUGAGUAAUGAAUUUGAAAUGAGUAUGAUGGGAGAGUUGAAGUACUUCCUUGGGCUGCAAAUAAAACAAAAUGAGAAAGGAAUAUUCAUAAAUCAAGCCAAGUAUGUAAGAGAUCUACUCAAACGAUUCGACAUUGAUGACUGAAAGACAAAAAAUACUCCGAUGAGCACAACAACCAAGCUUGACAAAGAUGAAAAAGGCAAAGAAGUAGAUAUCAAAAUGUAUCGAGGUAUGAUCGGAUCUUUACUUUAUUUAACUGCAAGUAAACUCGAUAUCAUGUUUAGUGUACGUUUGUGCGCAAGAUUUCAAUCAUGUCCCAAGGAAUCCCAUUUGCUUGCUGUUAAAAGAAUUUUUCGUUAUUUGAGUGGAACCAUAGAUAUUGGCCUUUGGUAUCCUAGAGGAACUCAUAUAGAUUUAACUUGUUAUUCGGAUGCCUAUUUUGCCGGUUACAAAGUCGAUAGGAAAAGUACUAGUGGAACUUGCCAUUUUCUAGGUCAUUCACUUGUUUCAUGGUUUAACAAGAAACAAAUUCGGUUGUACUCUCAACAACUGAGGCAGAAUAUAUCACCGCCGGGAGUUGUUGUGCACAAGCACUUUGGAUGAACUUAGAGAUUGUGGCAUUAAUCUUGAACAAAUUCCUAUUAAGUGUGAUAAUACUAGUGCUAUAAAUCUUUCAAAGAAUCCAAUUCAACACUCUAGAACCAAGCAUAUAGAAAUUAGACAUCACUUCUUGAGAGAUCAUGUUCAAAAGGGAGAUAUUGCAUUAGAGUUUAUUUAUACGGAAAAACAAUUUGCCAAUAUUUUUACAAAACCUCUUUGCGAAGAUUAAUUUUUAAAAAUUCGGUAUAAACUUGGGAUGAUGAAAUUUUCACAUUAACAUUUCUACUCAUGUUAUUUAGUCUAAUGAAAUUGAUUGAUUGAUUAUUUGAUGAUUUUGCUUUAAGUGUUUGAGCAUGAUUAAUAAGUGAGAUGUUUAUAUUAUUCAUUGAAUGUGUGUAUGAAUUAAUGGUUGAAAUUCUUACAUGUUCAUGAAUUAUGCAUUGAACUGGCACUUAAAACAUUUUGGAUCAAUGAAAUGAUCCUGAAAUGUAUUUAUUUUAGCCAAAUAUUAAAAUAAAUGUGUGAAAUCAUAAGUUGUAGAAAACGGGUAAUCGUUUUUCAAGCAGAAACCUUGCAAGUAUUCUGGACGCUGUCGGUUCAUCGACAUUUCACUAACGGCUCGCCAUUUUCAUGAAAAAUUUUGGGGAGCUCUCUGGACGCUGCUAGUUCGCCGACAUUUCACUAACAGCUCGCCGUUUUCAUGAAAAAAUUUUGGGCAGCUCUCUGGACGCUGUCGGCUCGCCGAUAUCUCUAUAACGGCUCGCCGUUAUCACGCGAUAAGUGAACAAUCUUUUGUCUCCUUCUUCAUUUCGUUCUUGCUCUCUCUCUCUCUCUCUCUCUCUCUCUCUCUCUCUCUCUCAAACCCGUGACUAUACCUGUUUUCCUCUCUCAAAUUCAUCAUUUUUUCUUGUCAUUUUUCGCCAAAUUGAAGUAUUAAAAACCAUCCUUAUCAUCUUUAGACCCUUUUUCACCGAUUAAAACCGGUUUUCACUUCAAAAAUUGAAAAAUCCCAAUUUAAAACCCUAGAACCAGCCGCACUACCUUUGCCAAUAUUGACCCGAAUUUCUUCCAUUUUCAAUCACUUUUCAACUUGUAAUCACUCUCUCGUCUCUCAAACUUCAUUUCUACUGAUUUAAAUUUCUCCAAAAUCAUCAAUGGCAGCAAGAUCACAGUCACAGAGGCGUGCUCGAACCAAGCACACUGCCCCACGACGUUCCAGUCCAGGCCUCCUUCUCAGGACUUCGAGAGCCUCCAUUUUUCCAAUGCUAACUUUGCUCAGCGAUUUCGUGACAAAUUCAUGGGCAAGCCGGUAACUCUCUCAUUUUCUCUUAACAUUGCAGAGUUUUCAGAUAUUUCAAUUUGUGGUAGUAAUAUUACUCACAUGCUUAGUCAUUAGAAUGAAGCUUUAAAUAUAAAAGAACCUGUUUAUGAAAAUCUUGUACGUGUAUUUUAUUCUAAUAUGGAACUCUCCUCUUCCCGACAAGUUGAAAUUUAUACAUCCGUAAGAGGAGUUCGUAUUGCGUUCAAUGAGGCAGAAUUAUGUGGUAUACUUGAAAUUCAUUAUGUUGGCUUAGACAUUUACACCAUUAGGAAAGAGUUUGAAUUUAGUGAUUUCUGUUAUGUGGAUGGCGUACAGAACAUUUGUAGACGUCGGGAUCUUUCCGAUGACCUCUGCUCUUUGCCCUUUAGGUCUCAACUUCUCCUUUUCCAGGUUCGCAUACUUCAUAUCAUUCUCCAACACAUGGUCACCCUUAGACAGGGCCAUACUGAUGAGGUAACUAGGCUUGAUGUUGGUUUAUUAGAUUCCCUCAUCCGUAGACGACAUGUGAGCUUAUCUUACACUAUCCUUUGUCAUAUGAUGUCCACACCUAAAGUGACCAACCGAUCCCUUCCAUAUGGCAGCAUCAUUACUAGGAUUUUGAAAUUCUUUAAAGUACCUAUCACUAAGCCUGUUUAUGUCGAGACCCAAAAGCUCGGUCGAGAGAUUAUGUCUGCGAUCAGAUUUUUUAAGAAGCAUGGGAAGUGGGAAAAGACAACAUCCUCUAAGAAUGAAGACUAAAACGACUCGUCCCGCACUCCCAGGACGAGUCUAUCUAAACUCGUAUAAUCGAAUCGAUAUUAAUUAUGAUAUCUAAGAAUUCUGUAAAAAAUUCGGCAAAAAUCUCCCCUAUAAAUAAAACAUCCCUAAACCUGCAAUUUAAAAAACAAUAUUUCCAAAAUAACUCAAUAUCCAUUCAUCCUUCAUAACCAACUUCUCAAGUCAACAUAUCAAAUAUCACCCAAAUCAUUCUAAUAUUAAAAUAUAAUGGUUAUCCUUAAUUACAAAAUAUAACAAAUAAAUACAAUUCGCAAUAUCCCAAAUAUCAAAAUAUUAAAUCUACGACUCCUAGCACCAUCACGUGGUCACAAUUUUGAAUCUAACUAUCGUUGCUGGGUCGACUGAUGUACCGACAAAUCUCCUGUGGGGGGGAAAAAUAUAAUAAAAACGGGGUGAACAUAAAACUCAAUGAGCUCAGUGAGUGCAUAGUAAUUUUUAAAAAAUAAAUUUAUUUAAAAUGAUUUAAUCUUUCUCAAAUCAAUUUCAUCAAAAUAUCAUAAGAACUUAUAUAAACAUAUUCAAUUCAAAUCAUGCACUGAAAUAACUAUAUUAUAUAAAUUUGCAUAAAAUCAAUGAAAUCAUAAUACUUAUAAUAUCAAUUACUGAAUACUAAAAACUAUCACCAAACAAGUACUCAGGGGAAUAGUCUCAUCAUAUCCGGACCUCGACGGACGGGCAAUCAGGGAACAAUCAUGCCCCGGAGCUACAAUAGAUAGAUGGGGAAAUCUCAUCUCAUAUCUCAUGUAUCUCAACAUCUGUAUCUCUGUAAUCAUUAUACUGCAUGCAUAAGCCCCCAAAAGGCAAAAGCGCCCAAACACACGGCCUAAAGCUUCUAUGUGUGUUCAGACGGGCCCAAAAGGCCUCUAUCUCAUCUCAUAUGUAUCUUUGUAUUCAUCUCGUAUUAUCUGUAUCUCUGUAUCUGGAGGGGAAGGUUACUAUCCAAUGAUUUUCCAAACAACAUUUAUACACAUGUUCAUAAACAUAUAAUCACAUCUAAAAUCUCAUUUUUUUUUAUUCAACAUAUCUCAAAUCUACUCAAUUCUAAUGUCAUGCGUUUACUCCAAAACGAUAAUAAAAUCAUUAAUCAAACUCAUUCUUAAUAACAAUAAAUAUCAACACAUAGAUAAAAAUCAAUUUUCUAGAAAAUCAUUAAAUCGAAGCAUCAAAUACUUAUUUAUCAAAACAUACUGCACUGUAUCAUAAAAUCAGCAUAUACUAUGAAAAUAGGUUUUGUAUAUUCCACUCACAGUGACGAAGUCCAGACUCAGUAUCAACAACGCCCGCUGGUUGAUUCUCGUUCGCGGAUCCUCCUAAUCAAGGAAACGACAUAAUCAUUCUCCGUAAAUUUGAAAUACAACUAAUCUUACAUAAUAAUUCUCGAAACGAAUAUCUAUCAAUAAUAAACUAUUCCCGCAUGCACAAAAUUACCGAAAUACCCCUACAUGCCAAAAUUCAUUAUUUUACCAAAAUUAUCUUCAGAAUCUUCAAUUACUAAAUUGUCUUCAAUUCAGAUCACGAAAUUACCACAAUGUCAGAAAUUACGAAAUUAUCCUUGGCACGUAAAAUCACCAAAAUAUCCUUAACAACUUAAAUUACCGAAUUACCCUCAAAAUCUCAAAUUACCUCGCUGCCCUAACCUAAAAUUACCAAAUUAUCCACUGAUUCCAUAAAUUACAAAUUCACCCUAAAGUUUUAUGAAUUUACCGAAUUGCCCCUGCCAAUCAACGGUGACCGGACUUCAGUCAACGACGACGGGAAGCUUAUGUCUGAUAGUUCAGACCUCGGUGAGUCCAAUGGUGCCGACGGUGAUCUCCCACGCGCGGCGAAAAGCGGUGGAUCGAAGCUCCAAAAUAUGUGAGAUUUUCGAUGGUCGUUUGCAGCAAAGACGAAAUCCCUGGUGGUCGUGGUCAGUCAGAAAGUGAUGAGUGUAAGUUGAGGAACAAGAUCAGAAUGGUGGCGUGCUAAAAAUCCAGCGGGAUUAACGGCGGCAAAAACGGGUCUUGGCCGUAAAUUUUCGAGCUCAAUCGCCGGCUUUUUGGUCGGUUUCCGGUGGUGAGGAUGGCAGGGUUAUGACGGUCGGCUUCCAAGCUUCAGAUUGGUACCAAGCUCGGCCGGUGAGGUAGCCGGAAUCGCGAGAUCCGUCCAGGUCAAGGUCGCGGGUCAGGUGGAAUCCGGGUCAAAAUCAGGUCAACUCUCUCUCUCUCUCUCUCUCUCUCUCACGUGCCCCUCUUUCUUUCCUUUUUUGGAAACCAGCUUCUCCUUUCCAUUUAUAGAAAUUGGCUUUUUUUUUUUGCACUUAAGCUUAAUACAAUUAAGUUUAUAUCGGACCCGUGACGAAAAUAAAAUCCGACUACUCGAGCUUUUAAUCGCGCUCAAUUUAUCUCGAUUUAAUGUUGUGACAAUUAAUAUCGAAGAGGAAAAAUUAAAUCAUACACUUAAUUAGAAAAAAUCAAAGUGCAUAUGUUACAAAGACACUUUUAUUGCUCCAGAGGAUGAUUGCAUGCUAAAUGAUGUCUAUUUCGAGGAUGAGUUACCUGACUUCCGCCUUGGGGCUAGACCGCGUGCCCCUCGCUGAGCAGCAGUAGCAUCCGCAGUAGCUUCCUCUCCGGAUGAUGAGCCAGCCGAGCCAGCCGUCCCUCUUGCAGCAUCUUCUGCUUCCGAGGGCCGCUUUCAGCAGCUCUUCGACAAGGUGGAUACACUCUCCCAGUAGCAGCAGCAGCAGCAGCAGCCUUAAUAUGAUUUUGUGACUUUUCGACGGCAGAUAUUAGAUCAGCAGAGGGAGUUACUUGCUGGACAGCGCCGCAUUCUUGGUCACCUUGGCUAUGUUCCCGAUAGUUCCUCUUCACCGCCCCCAUCUUAAUUUUCUGCCCCUAUGAUUUUCGCACAAACAUUACUCAUUUCAUGUAGUUUGUUGUGGUACUUUUUGUUUUUUUGUUUUUAUUGUGCUUGUGAUGCUUUUAUGAUGUUUUUAUUGGAUAUGUGAAUUUUAUUUAUGUAACGACUCGCCCCGACCUCCACAGGGCGAAUCUUACUGAUAGAUGCUUAAAAAUAAAAUAAUAAUAAUCCUUUUACAAUCCAUAACAAUUAUAUCCUUGAAAAUACAAAUAUAAAAUGCAAACUGCAGUGGAAGAAUUUAAAAUUCAUGUCAAACCAUCUAUUUCCUCCAUUCAAGUCCUUCUCGACGAUCAUCACGAAUCAAUCCUGAUUUACAGAAACUGAAUCACAAUAAACUAUAAUGAGUACCAAACUCAGUAAGUAAACUAGUUUUGAAUGACGUGCCAUGAUAUUCGAAAACAUCAUAAACAAAUCAUCGAAAUCUCAUUCUGUCUUUCUCAAACUUUCACAUUCUCUUUCAAACCACUUACUUGAGCUACCUUCAUUCGAUUAUCGCUUAGUAGGACACUCCCUUAACUUUCAUAACUUUCAUACUCUUUGGGCUUCUCGCCAAUGCGUCCUUCGCCCACUCAUCUCAUAACUAUAUAAACAUCUAGAGUGUCUUCUACUAAGCCAAUAACGAAUUCAAGCAUCCAAGCUAAAACUGUAAAACAAUCUUUCUUUCUACAAAUUCCAUUUGGCUAAAAUUCACUUUCUCAUUUUAUAGAAAACAUAAUGCAUUUCGUGCUCAUGCCAAUGAAAUAUUCACACAUACGUAUGCCCAUGUCCAUAAACACACAUAACAACACAUCGUAUAAACACAUGGAUAGAACAUAUAAAUCAAUAUCCGUACAUAUAUAAAAAUAGACUUUCCCAACAUGUCAAACAUAUAUAUUGUUUAUUGUGAUUCGUUUGGAAAUCUAGUUUACUUACCUCCUGGUAUCCUCGAUUAACAAAUACACAUCGAUAUCAUCGGCCUAAAAAUAAAAAAAAAAUACUCUCAUAAGAAUAAAAUUAAACCAUAAUCAUAAACUCCAAUAUUCUCAAAUUCCUCAAUAUAAUCACAUUCCAU